ACCAGAAAACGUACCGUUACAUGAUGGCAAUCGUGGUGGAGCAGAGCAGAACCAAGAAGAUGAAACCAAGCUCUCCAUGUUAUGGCAUUCCCGAAUGCUGAUGCGCUCCAGUUCAGUUGCAUUCUCUAAUGACAAAACAUCACAUAAACUUCUUGCAUCGAUGCAUUCACAAAUCAGUCCUUGAAUGCCAUUUAAGAACUUGACCUGAAAAUCUCUAUCUCCGUUGAUACUCAAAUUACCCAACCCAACUGUUUUACUUGGAAAACGUUCAAUGAAUUGCUCUGAAUAUCUACCCACCUCUCCUACUAAAAUCUUGCAUGUGCUUAAUGAUAGGAUCCCAUCCCGAGAUCUGAGAUACUCCACGAAGUCAGAAAAACCUUCGAAAUGGCACUCCAAAGUUUCCAAAUUUCUCAAGGAUACUACUUCCUUUCCUUUAACUGUUAUCGGAGCAUAUCUUCGAUCAAUUAACCUUUCCUCUAGUACAAAGACUUGCAGGUGAGAGAGUUUUGGUAAUAUCCCACUAGGAAACUCCUUUUCACCACAUCCAUUCAUUCUAAGAUACCUCAGGUUGGUUAGGCAUUCCAUUCCUUGUGGCAUCUUUUCAAGUGUAGUGCAAGAGAGAUCCAACCUUCUCAGUUCCCUGAGCUUCUUUAAUGAUGGAACAUGUCUUAACUUCCAACAAUCAUUGAGCAAUAAUGCAGUGAGACUCACCAAAUCAGAGACAGAGUCUGGCAAAUUUUCAAUACCUAUGGAAGACAGAUCGAGGACCUUGAGCCCAUGCAAUUGCUUGAAAAAUGAAUCUGCAAUAAAUCGCAACCAACGAUUUUUACAUAGCAAUAGAGUUGAUAGAAAGGGACACCUAGGUGAAUAGCUGGAAGGAAUUUCUUCGAUCUCGUUUCUCAUUAGUGAAACCAUCGUCAGAUUCUCCGUCCACUGCUCUGCAUCUGGCAACUCUUUUAAUUGCGCACCUGCUUUAACCAUGACUUGAUAUUCGUCUUGCAGUAUAUGGAUGGCCAUGUCCCUAAUCAAGUCAUGCAUCGUGUUGCCCUCAUCAAAUGCAUCUCCCCUGCUCCUCUUUCCUUUAAUAAUUCCCUCAUCGAUCAAAUAACCUAUCAACUCCUCCCUUGCAAUCAUAUCAUCUUCAGGAAAUAAUGCACAGUACAAGAGACAUUGCUUUAGUGCUAAAUCACCUAACCGAUCAUAACUAAACCUCAAUAACCUGAAUACUUUAUCAUCUAUGUCCCUAAAUUCUGAUUCUCUCAAUUUGUUCAAUGUAUUUCUCCACUCAUGUGGGUCAUCCACUCCCCUCAAGCUUCCUGCCACUGCAAUAAUUCCCAAUGGCAAACCAGCACAUUCCCCAGCAAUAUCUUUCGCAAUUCCUUCCACUUCUGGUAAAAGUGCUAUGUCACGUCCAAGUUUUUCCAUGAACAAAGUCCAAGCUUCUCCCUCCGAAAGUAGCUUCACUUUGAUUUUGUGCUGGCAAGCCAUCCUAUGACAAACCGUUUCUGAUCGAGUUGUCAAAAUCAACUUGCAUCCUUCCAAUUUUUCAGGAAUUCCCACUUCGUGUAGCUCAAAAUUAUUCCACAAAUCAUCUAAAAUGAGAAUCCAUUUUUGUUUCUUCAUUAGUUCUUCCAACAAUUUAGCAGCUCUAUGCAAAUCAUCAUCUUCGCUUGAAAGGUCUAGAUGAAGAUGUUUAGCAAUAAGAUUCUGCAAUCUAUUAAUGCUGAAAUCUUGAGACACAGUCACCCACCAAACAUGAUCACAAAUAUUUGGUUUUUGUAGAAGCUCAUUAUGGAUAUGUUGCAGUAUUGUGGAUUUACCAACUCCCCCCAUCCCAUAAAUGCCAAUGGUUGAGACUUCCCCAUCCAUUAACAAAGACCAUAUCACCUUCGUAUUCUCUUUGAAUGCUUGACCCACUGGCUUUGUAGAGCUAGUAGGUAAUGGAACUCCUCUAGUCUUGUUGUAUUUCAGACUUUCAGAAGAUCUAGCUCCAGCACCAACCUGCACUGAUCUUCGACUAUUCUCCACUUGUUCUGUCCUCGGUCUGCUCUCGAGUGCCCCUUCGGAAACUCCAUCUUCAUGUGCUCUCAUUCCGGUCAUGCUUACUACGUCGUUUCCUGCUAUUGCAUGUGAAGUAAUCCUCUCUUCCCCUACUCCGGGUUCUACAACCUGAACUUCUCUUUGUACCCUUCCAAUUCCUCCUUCCAUAUUUUCAAUCUCAAUGUUUUGUUCUUGUGGACAAGUUGAAAUUCCCAAAUCAUUAACAUUGACUGAACUUGCUGUGCUUUUAUGUCUUUUGUUGCCACCACACAUAGCUAGAAAGGCUGCUUCUUGAACUUCUGUAGUCACCCCAGGACAAAUGGCAACAUUAUGCCCUCUCUCUCUUGAUAAAUGCCAUUUGAUCCUCGAAAUGGAAGUAUCCUUGGCAUAUGUAUGUGGACAAAACUUACACUUCAUCCUACCAUCAGCCCUAUAUUCAACAUAAUUCCAAAACGGAUAAUUUGAUCCAACCAUUUCGACCUACAGAAAAAAAGGGGGGGUCAAAAUAUAGAAUAAAAAUCAGUCAAAAUAAAGAAUAAAAAUCCUAUCUGGAUGGAUGAGAAACUACUUCAGUUCUGUUACCCCUAUUUUGCUAUUAAAAUUGAUAGUUAGUUUAUAGCACAAUCAUAGGGGGAAAAAAGACGACAAUAAUUCAGUUAGACUUCUUACUUGUUGAGUAUUUAAACCCCUAUUUUGACUUUGCAAGGAAGUGUCAGGGCCAGGAUUUGAGGCAUUUGGCGUAGCAGUUUGAUUUUGCAAUCCUCGGACUUGGAGGUUAUCCAUCUGUGACCUAUAUAUAAAUGAAGUGAUCAUAUUAUAAAACCUUUCCAUAAUUGGUAGUCUCUCUUAAGCAGUAAAAGUUAAUGGUAUUAAAACACAACAGCUGGAAGUCAAUCAGUACCUAGGCACGAAGUUCUCUUGUUGCACAUUGUCUAUGUUAGGAAUUACAGCAGCUUGAUCGACUUGUCCUUGAUUAGAAAAAUAUUGACUCCUGAAUCCAAAAUCAUUUGCAAACAAUAUGUUUAGUUUGUUUGAUUCAUGUUCAAGCUAUGAUGUUUCUUUCCUGAUUGAAAAACUACUUUUUUUAUAUAGAAAAUACUAAACAAGAAAAAUUGGAGCAGGAAAAGAAGGUCCAAAUGAGUAUUGGAGUACUGAUGCCUGAAUAAUAUUCAAAUAGUUAAACUUAGAACUGUUAUUCUAACUUGGUUGAUUUUCUAGUUCCAUUAUGUGCACACAAAAAGAGAGAGAGAGAGAGCUCAAAAAGACUUGAAAGAUCCUCGUCAAUUUUGGUCAACUUUGUUGUUUUCAUGAUUAAAAAAGUGUAUAUUCGAGGUUAAUACCAUCGAUUCAUCGCAGGCACAUGAUUGCUCAUAAUUGGUAACUGAUAAUCAGUCCAUUGUUGGUCCCUAAAUUAGCAACAUUUGUUAGUGAUUUCUUUAUACAUAUGCAUAAUUCUUUGCUAUUAAUCCACUAAGCAUUUGAUAUCAUUUUAGCUUACCUCAAAGGCAUUGAUGGUCCAGGCAGCAUGGGAUUGACACAUUGAGGAUCACGUAAAUUAGGAUUAGGCUGAUACCUAUAUUCAAACAUAAUGAAUUCACUGAUAAGUAAAACAACAAGAGGAAGAAGAAGAAGUUAAAUAAUGAUUGAAAAACUUUUUUUUUAAAACAGAAAAUACUAAAAAUGAAAAAUUGGAUACCGGGGAGGAGGAAAAGAAGGUCCAUGUUGAUUGAAGCCACCAUGUUGUGAAGUGGUUGCGUUCGGUGUCAUAUAGCCAUGUCCCGGCUGAGGUUGAUGAAUAAAGGAAUUAUGAUGCCUUGAUGGAGUUUGAGGCCAAUUUGGUUCAUUUUGAUUGAUCCAUGAUGAUGAUGUUCCAUCCAAACCUCCCAUUGUUGUCUGUUUGUUUAACAAUAAACAAUUAGAAGAUGCUCGAGAUAAAUCGAUACACUAAACUUUUUGUAUAACACAAACACUUGCUAAUUCAAUAGACAUUGUAGCAAAUUGGAGUAAGCAUGAGUACUCACCAUGGUUUCAGGAAAUGAAGUUGGAAACUGAGUUGUACUAUCGUUGAUCACAUUGUUCCAUCCAAACCUCCCUUGAUCAUUGCCUUGGUUGACUGGAACCUCCGAUGCCGGCCUGCUUCCAUGGAAUAAUAGGAUAAACUGAAGAAUAACUAAAUUGCAAGCAAUCAUCUUCUGAUAAAAUAUGCUUAAGAAUGACGUACGAGAGAAGCUCAGAUAUAUUGAAUGUAUCAUCUUCUGAUUGAAAAUCCAGCUGAUCCCAUGUCAUGUUGUCAACCUCCUCCAUAGAAGAUGGUUGGAACCCUUCCAUCUGACCAGAAAACAUCAGAAAAGACAAAAAAAAACUGAGGUCUAAAAAGAACAGAAAGCACAGAUCAGAAAAGAAUAUAUAUAUCCCAUUGUUGUCUGUUUGUUUAACAAUAAACAUUUUGAAGAUGCUCGAGAUAAAUUGAUACACGAAAACAUAAAACUUUUUGAUCCAAUGGGUGAUACAAACACUUGCUAAUUCAAUGGACAUUGUAGCAAAUUGGAGUAGGCAUGAGUAAUCACCAUGGUUUGAGGAAAUGAAGGUGGAAACAGAGUUGUUUGUUGAAUACUAUCGUUGAUCAUAUUGUUAUCCACCACCAUGUUCUGUCCAUCUUGAUCAUUGCAUAAUAUGGAGCUUUGGUUGCCUGAAACCUCCGGUGGCGACCUGCUUCCAUAGUCAGUAACAUUAUUGUAAAUAAUAGGAUAAACUGCAAGCAAUCGUCUUCUGAUAAAAUAUGCUUAAGAAUGACGUACAAGAGAAGCUCAGACAUGAAUGCAUCUUCUAGUGAUUGAAGAUCGAACGGAUUCGAUGUCACGUUGACAUCAUCCUCCAUAGAAGAUUGUGGGAACCCUUCCAUCUGACCUCAAGUACAAGACGAUUAGUGUGUACUGAGGUGGAAAAAGAACAGAAAGCUCAGAUCAGAAAAGAAUAUAUAUAUUAAAAAAAUAAUUAUGACUUGCUUAUUUGUUAAAGAAAUUCGGAUGAAAAAUAUGAAAUAUAAAUGUUGUUGUUAAUGAUUUAACCCUUUGUAUUUAAAGCUAAAUUAUCAUACUCAAAUUAUAUCCUAAAACUCUAGAAUGAUAGAUAGAAAGAUGCAGGAGAAGGAAGGUAGAAGAGCUGAUUGUUUUGACGGGGUAAACAAAAACCUCUUUCAAGUUUCAAGUCCUAUUUAUUCAUAAUUUGGGGAGCAAAACACAUGCAAGAUUAUUUUUGUUAACUACAAAAAUCAAUUCCCUCUAUUUUAACCCUUAGUUACACUUUAUAAAGCACACACAAAAAUAAUAAUAGGAUAUUGUUAAUUCAUUGAAUCAUUGUAAGAAAAAAAAAAGUUGAAAAAUAUUGAAAAAAAAAUAAAUGGCAGUCCCAUUAAUUGGAAAAGAAAAGGGUGAAUCUAAAAGGAGGAGUCUAAAAGGAGGAGUUAAAAACAGCAAAGAAUCUUGAAAAGACGAAAACAAUGAAUUCAGUAUUAAUUUAGUAUGAACACCACAAGGCAUGGAUUAUGAAAUCCGAGAAAAAGAUCGAUUAAUUUAUCAUGGAUUACUUUAAAGAUUCAGACAAGAUGAAGUACAAAUAAUUUACCUGGAUUCAAGAUGUUCUUCAAGUGCUAGCUGGAUUACCUAAUAAGGAAGGAAAAUAGGGAAUUGUAUAAUGAGAUGAGAUGUGGAAGAGAAUGUCACAGCAACAAGGUCGCCUCAAUAAUAAUAAUUAAUUAACGUAUUGUUUGAUAGGAAGGAAGUUGCCAGGAAGAUACAGAAAGUUAACGUGUGGACCCGCCCCAAUGUUGACACUUCGAAGAAGCUGCCAAGAAAAUGUAAACACAUGAAAUUUUAAAAAAAAUGAUAUAUUAAUGUAAACACAUGAAAUUUAAAUAAAAAAAAAUAUACUUUUUAUUUAGAAAUACAUUAAAAUAAUAUUUUUUAUUUUUUUAUUUUUUAUAUCAUAAUAUCAAAAUAAUUAAAAAAAAUCAAAAUUUUAAAAAAACACAUUGCGUACGGUAAACUGAUAAUGCUAGAUUAAGUGUUCAAAUGAGAGUGAGGCUCCAAAUCUAAUUACGUAGCAAUUACUAAUUGGGAUAAAAAGAAAUUAAAAGACAAAGUUAUGCUUCUGCCGUUGAGUGUGUAUAUUAGAUCAGAGUGAUUUUACUUAACCAUGAAAUUUGAACAGCUAGGCAGAUAGCAGAAGGCUAGUGGAACCACUGCUGGGCUAGAAAAUGAAUGUUGCCGUUUUUCAGUUUAUUAGAGAGAGGGCAGAAAGCCUUAAUUAGAAAAUAACUUCAUAGCUUCAAACAAUGAGAGGGAGCUUCAGUGCAGCAGGAAACUUCAACAUCUAUUAUAAAAAUUGUGUUUGGUAAACGCUGUGUAAAUUAUGUGUUUAUAAAUUUUAAUUUUUGUUAUUAAAAAUUAUUAUUAUUAUUAUUAUAUUUUCAGAUUAUUUUGAUGUGUUAUAUUAAUAAAAAAAUAAAAAAAAUAUUAUUUUGAUGUAUUUCUAAGUAAAAAACACUUUGAACUAUAAUCGCUAUCACAAUUUCAAAAACAUUCUUAUGAUUUGAUAUCCAAUCUGCACAUGAUUUUUCUACUAAUACAAAGAUCGUGUUUUUUUGUUGUUGAAAAAUUAUAAACCAAUAACUUUUUAUCUUUUUCCAAGCUUUUUGGUGAUUUUUUUAAUCUCAAAUUCAUGAACUAAAAAGGUAGCAGCGUGAAGCCUCGCCAAAAGCCCAAGAUUAAAAAUAACCAUGCUCCUAGCCCAAGCCCACCAACAUCACCCCCAGCAGAUUGGAAAAAUGCUCAUAACCAUUCCGGAAAAACACACCUAGGCUACUAUGGUAUACUAGAAAGUGGAAAUAAAUCGAUAUUAAUCAUCAAAUAAAUCGUUAGCAGAAACCAAAAAUAAAUAAAUAAAUUGUUCAUGCUACUCCAUCUUAUUGAUGGGAAUGGCUUUUGACCAGCAUUAAUACGACUCUGCUAAAAUUAUCUGACAAAUUAUCAGGCUUAUAAAAAAACUUAAUAAAAUCAGGAAAAAAAAAUCAUUUUUAUUCAAUAAAAUGGAGAAGAAAACUCAAGUAAUAAAUGUUCAAUUCACUUUCCAGCCGACAAUAAAGAAUGAAAGUAUUUUUAUUCAAUAAUACUUCUUGGGCUCAUACGGUGCCAACAAUUAUAUGAGAAUCAAAUCUCUCCGAUCACAUGGUCGUUUAAAAUGCUCAAUGCUCAACACUCAAAAAGCAAAUUUACAGAAUAAUAAAUCUAGUAAAUUUCUUGAUUUAUAUAUAUAUUAUUCAAUCAAAUAAUUGCUUGUAACAUAUAUAUGGCGAGCUUCCUAGUAUUAAAAAUUUAAGAUUAUCAAAUAAUUAAACUUUUUAUCCAAACCAAUAAAUUUUAUGUGUCUAUUUUAAAAUUUGGUUUUAAAAAGAAAAUCGAAAUGACAUAUCAAACAAUACCUAUAAAUCUUUUAUAUUACAGAUUAGCUAUAACCAGUGCACCCAUUUAUCAUUUCUAAGGUCAAUAUUUAGAAAUAAAUAAAUAAAAGCUACGUACCAAUAUUUAAAUUAAGUAAUCUCAAAGACUACUAAUUUAGCUUUUGAUAUUAAAAGGGCGUAUGUCGGUACUCUCUACCUAGUUGAUGAGGGAAAUAUCAGGUCUUCUAUCUCCACUACUCCCUGCUAACUCUUUGCCUCAUAUCUUAAGUUAUAUCUAUCAAGUUUGCUUAAUUAAGAUGGAAUAUUUAUGAAUUUUAUAUGUAUUAAAUCAAUAUAAUUGUUUUGACUUAUCAUGAUAAACAUGAAGUGAUCAUAUUAUAAAACCAAAAAUCAAUGGUGUAUCUAAAUAUAAAAAGGUAUAAAUAUUGCUAGGAAGUUAACGUGUGGACCACCCCAAUUAUGAAGAUCGGAAGAAGAUGCCUAGAAAAUGUAAACACGUGAAUAUUGAAAACAAUAACAUACUUUCCUUUUUAAAAUGUUUUUUAUUUUAAAAAAAAAUUAAUAAAAAAUUAAUAAUUUAAAAAGUAAAAAAAAAUUCAAUUUUGUUGAAAAACGUGUGCUUUAACAAUGACAUAUUAAAUAUGUGAUUAAUUAAGAGCAUGUGAUUGCUUUUGUUUUUAGUUGUUUUUUCAAAAAUGAUAAAUAGAUUUUUUUAAUGUUUUUUUUAAUUUUAAUGUAUUGGUAUUAAAAAUAAAAUAAAUAAAUAAUUCAUGUAGUAUAUUUCUAAACCAAUAUGAUAUUGAAGGUCAAAAUAAAAAAAAAUCAAUUAAAAAAAUUAAAAGAUAAAACAAACAUAUUCGAUCAGUGAGUAAAUCUGUCAAACCUGUGAAUCAGGUAACUUGGACUAACACAUCAAAGUCAUUAACAAGUUUAUGGACUCUAGUAGGAUUAUAUUUAAAAAAAAAAUUAUUUAACAAUAUAAUAAAAAUAGAUAAUUAUAAAAUUAAACAUCAACCCAAUAAUAAUAUAUAUAUUUUUAGACAGCGAUACCAUCAUACAAAGAAAAAUAAAACCAAUUAUGGAACUAAAUUCUAAACCAACCCAAAUAUUAAAUAGAAAAAAAAAUUAAAAAAAUUGAUAACCAACAAAAAAGGAAAAGAAAAAAAAAAAGCAAAACCCUAUAAACACGUGAAUAGCAGUUCUCCUACACCGUUUAGCUUUUUUUAAAAAAAUAAUAAGCAAAAAAAUACUUCAUUAAACCAGUAAACUAGUAUAAAACAUGUUAAUUUUAUAAAAAAAAAAUAAAAAAAAUAAAAAAAUUAUAAAGUUAAAUUUUAAAUCACCAGUGUAAAAUAAACAAAAAUAAAAGAAAAAAAACAAAACACAUUGGAUUACUUAUUAUAAUUUACAAUGAAAUAGGUGUGAAUACGUCUCUUAACUAUUCGUGAGCUUCUUAUUUGUUCUUAGUUUUUCUUGUUUUUUUUUUUUCUCUGGUGGAAUUCCCACACGUCUUCUUUGUGGGCAGCCCCACUUUUAAACCCAGUUUUUCAUCACGUCCCCAUGGUCCCCGUGUCCCACACGUUUUCAUCAAAAACCUAAAUUUUAGGACUUCUUUGGCAGCCACGUACAUGCUUUAGUUUUUUUCUUUUAAAAAAAUCAUCAUCAGAGACUAUUUUAUAUACCGGGGAGCUUGUUUUGAAUGCGGUAGUAAUGAUAUUUUAAAGUAUGUUUUAUCUAAAUAUAUAUAUAAAUAAUUUUUUUAUUUUUUAAAAAUUAUUUUUAACAUUAACACAUUAAAAUAAUCUAUAAAUAUAAAAAACUUAUUUAAAAAAAUUAAAAAUUAAAAAAACACAAGCAUUCCCAAACAAGGUAACGCAUCAAGAAUCACAACAAUAUGUGAGUGGAAAGUUGUGAUUAAAAUACUUGAAGUGCAUCCAGGAAAUGUAAUUAUUGUUAUUUUUAAAAUAUUUUUUAUUUAUAAUUUUAUUAAAAUAAAGAUUGUUCGUUUCGUUUUAUUUGUAAUGGUUUCAUAUUAAUUUAAAAAAUAAAAUAAAACAAAAUAAUUUUUAUCUCAUUUUAAAUCUCAAUCCCUUCCAGAUUUUUUGGUUAAAUUCAGUUCAGAAUGUUCCGGUUUUAUUCCACAUGUUCUGUUCCGGUCUUAAAAAAUCAUUGAAUCAAAUUGAACCUAGUUCAAUUAAUUAAUUAAACCAUUAAAGUAUAAAAAACUCCUUUUCAUUACUAUUUUCAUUAACUAUGAUAUUAAUUUUUUAAAAUUAGAUUUAUCACUAAUAUAUAUGGUUUAUAUUCAUAUUGUUUUUUUUUUUUCAAGUUUAUACGUUGUAGGAAUUUAAGCAAAAAUAUGGAUGUUUUAGAUCUUAUUGGUCUUGAUAACAUUGACCUAUCUUUAUAUUUAAAAUAUUAGUGUUAAAAUAUUUUAAUUUUAUAAUAUUUUAAUAUUUUAUUAAAGUUGAAUUGUUUUAAGUUAAAAAAUUAUUUAAUCUUAACUAUUUAAAAAUAUUUUAAAUUUUAAAAUUAUAUUUCAUCACGUCUCCAUUAUCCCCGUUGUGUCAAAAACAAAUUGCCUAAAUUUUAGGCUUUAGCAGUUCCUUUUUUGAAAUCCUCAUUAGUGAAAUUUCACGUCUGCUUUGGCAAUUCCUUUUUUGUGUGUUUUCAUCUUAAACUCGUGACCAAAAGGUAAACACUAUAAAAUUUUAGAUUAUAAUUAAAAAUAAAAAAGAUAAUAAUUAUUGGGAUUAGAAUUUUAGAAAUCACGCAUAUGCUACUUUCUAGUUUUAGUAUUAAAUUUAGUAUUUAAAAAAUGUGUUUAUGAAUAUGGCAGUUUCAGGUUUAGAAACCAAAACUGUCAUAUUCGUACUCUCUUAGACAUUUUAAAAAUGUAACCAUCUAGGUGGUGGCCUAGUAGUAAGAACUUGAAACUAAAAGGUUUGCUUUCUUUGUGGUCUCAGGUUUGAGCUCUGGAUUGCUCAUAUGAUGGCCACUGGAGGCUUACAUGGUCGUUAACUUCAGGACCCGUGAGAUUAGUCGAGGUGCGCGUAAGCUGGCCUGGACAACCACGUUAAACUAAAAAAAAAAAGAUGUGUGUAGAAGAAUACUUUCACUGAUGAUUUAUAAUAGUGAAUAGAUUUAUUAUUUUAUUAGGUUACUUUAAUGAUAAAUCAAUAUAGUAUUUUUUUUAUAUUUUUUGGAUUUUCAUCUUGGGGAAACUCAAUAGGAUGAAAAUAAAAUAUUAAUCAAACUUAAAAUAAUAAUUGUUUAUCUAUCGAAUUAAAAAAAAAAUAUGACAAUUCAGUGGUCUUUAAUGAAAUAAAAAAAAUGAAAAAUGUUAUUUAUGUAAUUGUAAGCAUACUAUUAUAUUACUUUACAAAGGAAUGAAGGACAUCCUUUGCAUUAGGAUGCUCCCACACCACUACUGACUCCCACCAUUGUCUUGGACUUGCUCGGAUUUUUUUAAGAGAAGGGGGAGGAGAUGGCUGGCCAUUUUCAAGCAACGGAAGAUAAAUUGACAUCCUCGUCAGCUUCUCACAAGAUAUUACUUCAAUAUCUUCAAGAGAAUUACAAAUCAGUUUUGCACUGCAAAUGCUUUUCAGUUCUGGUAAGCGAACCAAUUCCAGAGUUAUUAACUUUGGGAGAAUGACUUCCGUGAUGGAAUUGGAGCUACUGCUUUCUUCAUCUGUUGUUCCUAUUAUCUCCUCCAUUUCGUAACAGAAACUCACUUCAAUCCUUUCCAGGUUUACGAGGUUUGGCAGCAACACAAGCGGGAAGAGCUUCUUCAUACUUUUACAUUUAAAACAAAAAAACUCUUUAAGACCAGAAAAUGUACCGUUACAUGAUGGCAAUCGUGGUGGAGCAGAGCAGAACCAAGAAGAUGAAACCAAGCUCUCCAUGUUAUUGCCAUCCCGAAUGCUGAUGCGCUCCAAUUCAGUUGCAUUCUCUAAUGACAAAACAUCACAUAAACUUCUUGCAUCGAUGCAUUCACAAAUCAGUCCUUGAAUGCCAUUUAAGAACUUGACCUGAAAAUCUCUAUCUCCUUUGAUACUCAAAUAACCCAACCCAACUGUUUUACUUGGAAAAUCUUCAAUGCAUUGAUCUAAAUAACUACCCACCUCUCCUACGAAAAUCUUGCAUGUGCUUAAUGAUAGGAUCCCAUCCCCAGAUCUGAGAUACUCCACGAAGUCAGAAAAACCUUCGAAAUGGCACUCCAAAGUUUCCAAAUUUCUCAAGGAUCCUACUUCCUUUCCUUUUAACUGUUAUCGGAGCAUCAUCUUGCGCAAAACUCUUCUAGUACAAAGACUUGCAGGUGAGAGAGUUUUGGUAAUAUCCCACUAGGAAACUCCUUUUCACCACAUCCAUUCAUUCUAAGAUACCUCAGGUUGGUUAGGCAUUCCAUUCCUUGCGGCAUCUUUUCAAGUCGAGUACGAGAGAGAUCCAACCUCUUCAGUGCCCUGAGCUUCUUUAAUGAUGGAACAUAUCUUAAGUCACACUUGAGCAAUAACGCAGUGAGACUCACCAAAUCAGAGACAGAGUCUGGCAAGUUUUCAAUACCUGUCCAAGACAGAUCGAGGACCUUGAGCCCAUGCAAUUGCUUGAAAAAUGAAUCCGCAAUAAAUCGCAACAACGAUUUUUACAUAGCAAUAGAGUUGAUAGAAGGGACACCUGGUGAAUAGCUGGAAGGAAUUUCUUCGAUCUUUUCUCAUUAGUGAAACCAUCGUCAGAUUCUCCGUCCACUCCUCUGCAUCUGGCAACUCUUUUAAUUGCGCACCUGCUUUAACCAUGACUUGAUAUUCGUCUUGCAGUAUUGGAUGGCCAUGUCCCUAAUCAAGUCAUGCAUCUUGACAGUCUAUAUCAUCAUACUCAUUUAGCACUUUCCAAUAGGCAGACAUUCAAGUCUAUUAAGCAUCGUGUGGCCCUCAUCAAAUGCAUCUCCCCUGCUCCUCUUUCCUUUAAUUAUUCCCUCAUCGAUCAAAUAACCUAUCAACUCCCCUUUCAAUCAUAUCAUCUUCAGGAAAUAAUGCACAGUACAAGAGACAUUGUUGUAGUGCUAAAUCACCUAACCGAUCAUAACUAAACCUCAAUAACCUGAAUACUUCUCAUCUAUGUCCCUAAAUUCUGAUUCUCUCAAUUUGUUCAAUGUAUUUCUCCACUCAUGUGGUCAUCCACUCCCCUCAAGCUUCCUGCCACUGCAAUAAUUCCCAAUGGCAAACCAGCACAUUCCCAGCAAUAUCUUUCGCAAUUCCUUCCACUUCUGGUAAAAGUGCUAUGUCACGUCCAAGUUUUCCAUGAACAAAGUCCAAGCUUCUCCCUCGAAAGGCUUCACUUUGAUUUGUGUGGCAAGCCAUCCGAUGACAAACCGUUUCUGAUCUAGUUGUCAUAAUCAGCUUGCAUCCUUUCAACACACAGGAAUUCCCACUUCAUCAAGCUCAAAAUUGUCCACAAAUCAUCUAAAAUGAGAAUCCAUUUUUGUUUCCUUAAUUCUUCUGACAAUUUGGCAGCUCUAUGCACAUCAUCUUCGUUUGCAAGGUCUAGAUGAAGACAUUUAGCUAUAUAUUCUGCAAUCUAGUAAUGCUGAAAUCUUGAGACACAGUCACCCACCAAACAUGAUACAAAUAUCUGGUCUUUGUAGAAGCUCAUUAUGGAUAUGUUUGAGUAUUGUUUUACCAACCCCCCCAUGCCAUAAAUGCCAAUGGUUGGGACUUCAUCAUCCAUUAACAAAGACCAUAUCACCUUAUUCUCUUCAAAUGCUCGACCCACUGGCUUUUGGAGCUAGUAGGUAAUGGAACUCCUCUAGUCUCACAAGAGAUACCUCUCUCCAGAUGCUGCACUUGUUCUGUUCUCGGUAUAGUUUCAGAUCCAUCAUGCAGACGCUCCACAUCCUCAUCUUCCUGCAUUAAAUAGGUAGAGAUUUCAUUUCAGCUGCUGCUCCUUUGAAAGGGCAGAGUGUAUCUGAACCCAAGUGCCAUCAAAUCUGUUCCUGUGUGCUUCUCCUCUAUUCUCAUAAGCAUCAACUCUGUCCAACACUUCUUCAACAAAACGAUUCCUUCACCAGUGUACUCCAUGCCUUGAACUCCCGCUUGCAUCCUUCCAGCAUCCCUGCCAAAUUAACAAGUACUGCAUUGUCUUGUUCUUGUGGACAGGUGGAAAUGGCAUAAUCAUUAACAUUGCUUGAACUUGCUAUGCUUUUAUGUCUUUUGUUGCCACUUCGCAUAGCUAGAAAGGCUGCUUCUUGAACUUCGUUAGGCACCUGACCACAAAUGCCAACACCAUGCCCUCUCUCUCCUGAUAAAUGCCAUUUGAUCCUCGAAAUGGAAGUACCAUUGGCAAAUAAAUGCCCACAAAACUUACACUUCAUGCUUUCAUCAUUCAUAUCUUCAACUUCCUUCCAAAACGGAUCAUCUGAUCUAACCAUUUUGUCCUAUAGAUAAAAAGGGUCAAAAUAUUGAAUAAAAAUUAAUGGAAGUACAUUAAUUGGAAAAGGAAGGUGAAACUAAAAUAAUAAGUUACAAACAGCAAAGAAACUAAGAAGAAAAACCAAUGAAUUCAAGGUUAACUUGGGGUCAGUUUAGUAUGAACUCCAUAAGGCAUGGAUUGUUACAACUGAGAAAGAUCAAAUUAUUUAUUUUUGGAAACUGUUGAUGAUCCUAACUCCAAAGUUUCUCAUUAGAAUUUCUACAAGCUGUGUUUUACUUGAAAGAUUCAAACCAGAACAUGUGAAAAACAAAAUGAAGAAGAUGGAGUAUAAAUAAUUUACCUGGAUUCAAGUUGUUCUUCAAGUGCUGGUUUCGCUUAAGUAGUAUCAGAAAAAAACAAGAACAGAGAAGAAUAUAGGUUUAAAAAUAACAAGGAAGUUGCAAGAUGUUGAGCUCCAGAUGAUUCGAUUCAAUCAGAAAAGGAAGCACUGAUCAUCAGAAAGGUUUAAGAAAUUUGAUGAGGGAAAUGGGAAAUCAAUGGUAUAAUGAGAUGAGAUUUGGAAGAGAAUGUUACAGUAGCAAAGAUUAUUGUAUUGUUUGAGAAGAAGAGAAUUGCUAGGAAGGAAGCCACAAACUUUACCUACCAGAGAUUAUAUUAUAAGAUAUGGCAAGUUGCUGUACACCUCAAAUUUGCUUUUCUUUUGUCUAGCUCUGCAUAUAAUUAAAAACUUCAACAAAAGAAUCAGAAGCUAAUUGCUGUCUGAGUUAACGUGUGGACCCACCCCAUUGUUGAAACUUUGGAAAAAGCUGGCCUGAAAAUGUAAGAGCCUGAAGCUUAGCUUCAAGAGCUGUAGCAAAGCAUUGACCGUCAUUAUCUGAUCCACUCCAGCUUCCAUUCCCUACAAAUUUAACGAAGAACAACAUUAGCAAAAAAAAAAGAAUCUUGCUUAGGGUACUGAAACUACCGUUUUAUAGAUAACUUAAGAAAUUUUACUUAUGAUUACCUACUUAGUUCACACCUUGAGCUUGAGAGAUCAGGCAGAAACACAAGUUUGAUCGCUCCCAGAAAGGUUCAAAAACUGCUUUUCCUAGUUAGCAUUUCCAUGAGCAGUAAGCGUCCUAUUCGUUUCGUUGCCCACGCUUAGUUUCGAGGUGUCAGCAACGUUCUUCUGAGCAUAAAUUCUUCUUUAUGAGUUUUUAUCUUAUGAUUCAAGAAGUUUAUAUUGUAAAUUCAAGAAUUUUAAGUUUAUAGUCAAUUUUAUAGUUCAUAAAAAUAUUUGAUCCCCGAAUGAGUUUUCUAAUUGUGUUCUUAAUUCCUGAACUUGUUUUCUAAUUGUUUUGCAUAAAUUCUUAAGAAAAAAUAUUUUAACAAUAGUUUUUGUGCUAAAAAUGCUACUCUAUUCGACUUUUAAUUCAAAUUGUAUUUAUAUAGUUAAAUGUUUUUCUCUUUAAUAAAUCCAUUAUUGGAUUUGAAAUUUAUAACUUAUUUUAUAAUUCAAAAUGGAGAUUUGGUUUGUUUUUCAUGUUUUUUAUUUUUGUAAAACUGAUUGAAAAAAUAAAAAUUACAUCAAGACAUGUCAACUUAACUCAAAUCAGCAAGAUCAAAGACACAAAUGAAUAAUAAAUUUUAAUAUUCAUAGUUGAUGACCGAUGCAGUAAAAUCUGACUCUGAUCUAUAGUAUUGCACUGCAUUCCUUUAAAAUUUGAUAUUGUUUUUGUUUAAAAACUAAUUUAUUUUUUUAUUGUUUUUACAUUAUUUUGAUAUGCUAAUAUUAAAAAUAAUUUUUUAAAAAUAAAAAAAUAUAUUAUUUUAAUAUAUUUUUAAACAAAAUUUAUUUUAAACCAUAACUGCUAUUAUAUUACCAAACACAUCCUCGUCCCGUUACUUUUUAUUGACCUCUUAAUUUCAAAGAGAACCUUAGCCAUUCCUUUAUGCAAGUGCACGCUUUGCCAAACAAUCCUUUAGGAUAAUGGGUUGCCCUCCGACGGCUUGCCAUAACAGGCCAGGACUAAUUUCGACUCUUCGUUGGCGAUAGCGGUGAUGUGAAUGAUGACACUUCUCUGCAUCCUUGACCAUUUCAAUUCCGAGAACUCCCCCACCAUCCCAUAAAAAAGUAGUCCUUCUUCUUUGAAUAAUUUUCCCAAUUAGUCCUUAUAUUUUAGAUAUGGUCUUCAACAUGCUUUUACAAGUUUAAUUACUCUUAAAUUGCCCUUAAGACAUUUCCUAAUCUAUCCUUUUAAUAAGUAUCUUUGUUUAAGCUAAUAAAGAUAUAAUUAUUAAUUACUUUAAAAAACGCAAUCCUACCUAAUUUAUUAAAAAAAAGAAAAUUAAGAUUUGUUUUUAUGUUAAUUUGUUUCUAAUCUAUCCUUUUUAUGUUUUUAUGUUAAAAUUAAGAAAAUAAAGAUAUAAUGAUUAAUUACUCUGCCGGCGACUUGCCCGUGAAAUUAAUGCAGUUGUUAUCUCUAUAAACUAUCGGCUUGCUCCUGAGUACAAGUACCCAUGCCAGUACGAAGAUGGCUUUGAUGCAUUGAAUUACAUCGAUGACAUGACCUUUGAGAAUUUCCCAGCAAAUUUGGAUCUUGGAAGGUGUUUUAUUGCCGGUGAUAGUGCAGGAGGUAACGUGGCUCAUCAUGUCGUGCUCAAAGCUUGUGAACACACAUUUUUCUAACAUAAAGAUCAAGGGACUCGUAGCAAUGCAGCCAUUUUUCGGAGGGGAAGGAAGGACAGAAUCAGAAAUCAAGCUUGUUGGGGUUCCUUUAAUAUCAGUGGAAGGUACAGACUGGAUGUGGAAGGCGUUUCUGCCUGAGGGAUCGGACCGAAACCACUCGGUGGUUAAUGUUUUCGGACCAAAUGCGGUGGAUAUUUCAGGCGUGAAGUUCCCUGCGACGUUACUCUUUGUCGGAGGGUUCGAUCCCCUGCAAGAUUGGCAGAAGAGGUACCAUGAGGGGCUGAAGAAAUCUGGGAAAGAAGUACAUUUGGUAGAGUAUCCAAAUGCUUUUCAUGGGUUUUAUUGCCUGCCUGAAUCGCCUGAAUGUUCUUUGUUGAUCGGUGAGGUGAAGAGUUUUGUGCAAAAGCAGUCAUCUCUUACAUAGGGUGAGGAGACGACGAUCUCUAUUUUAUUAUUAUAUCUUAUUUUAUUCACAUUCUUGAAAUCAAGGUUGUCAAUUCUGUUUUGGUAAGUGUUUUGUUUUUUUAAUUGGAAUGAAAUGUUUCAGUUUCGGAGUAUUUCGACGUGCCGUUUCGAGGUUGUACUUUAUAUAUAUAUAUAUUCAACAAACAUAAUUCGAAUUCAAGAUAAAUUAAUUAUAAAUUAUGCAAUACAAACACAAUGUCAAACAAAUAUAAUUUUAAAAUUUAAAAUAUUUCUAAAUAGUCAAGAUUAAAUAGAUCGUUAACUUAAAGUAAUUCAACUUAAACAAAAUAUUAAAAUAUUAUAAAAGUAAAAUGUUUUAACAAAAAUAUUUUAAAUAUAAAGUUAGGUCAAUGUUAUCAAGUGGCUAAUAGAAUCUAAAAGAUCCCUUGUUUUGCUCAAAUUCCUACAAAGUAUAAACAUGAAAAAAGAAAAAAAAAACAUGAAUAUAAACCAUAUAUAUUAGUGAUAAAUCUAAUUUUAAAAAAUUACUAUCAUUGUUAAUGAAAAUAGUAAUAAUAAUUUUCAAUAUUAUUAUUAAUAUCAUUGCUAUUGAAAAUAGUAAUGAAAUUUUUUUUUUUAUAAUUGGGUGGUUUAAUUAAUGAAAUUGAGCAAGGUUCAAUUUGAUUUAAUGGCUUUUCAAGAGCGGAACGGAACACGUGGAAUGAAACCGGAAUGUUUCGGGCGGAAUUUAGCCGAAAAAUCCGGAACGGACCGAGAUUUAAAAUGAGAUGAAAUUUAUUCCGUUUUGUUCUGUUUUUUGAAUUGAUAUGAAAUGUUUCGGCCAUUCCGGAUGGAACGAAACAAAAUUGACAACCUUAAUUUAAAUUGCAAUGAUUUUGUUUACUAUUGAAGAUAGAUUAUUAUAUGUGUAUUGAAUUGUUCAAUUAUUUGAUGUAUUAGAUUUGACUUUUGACGGAAUGCUAAUUUGUUUUAAAUGCUGGAAGUACGUCUGAUUGGAAAAAUAUUAAAUUAAUAUUGUUUUUAGAUGUUUUUUAAUAUAUUAAUAUAAAAAUAUAUUUUUAAUUAAAUAACAAUAUUAAAAAAAUAUUUUGCUUUCCAUUACCAAUCACACUAAAAUAAUGUUGUGUCCUUUGAGCCAUUUGGUGAGGGAUGGUGAUGGUGGUUUUUUGUUUUUUGUUUAUUUUUAUACUAAUUCAUAAGUUGUGGGGUUGCCAUGUUAAAUUUCUAUUUUUAAUUGAAUAAUAUUGUUUUAAAGAAAAAACUUACACAAUAUUCUUUUAAAUAAAAAAAAUCUUUGGAGUUCAUACUAGCAGAUUUCACAAUAGUUGAUUUAGAUUAAUCGAGUCAUAAAUUAAUCUGUUAAGUUUCUUGAGUGUUAAUUGAUUUGUUAAGUUAUUUAAAUUUAAUCAAAUUAAUUUUUUAUUUAGAUGAAAAGCAAACUCGGUUGGAAUUAAAUUUUAAAUCAGUAACGUCACCGAGUUGACCCAGCUAGCUGGUUUUUACAGGCUGUGUUUUUGUACAUGUGGAGGGGAAGGGAAAUAAUGUAUAAUGAAAUGUGCAUGACAACUGGGUUGAUGGUUGAUAGUUUGACACAGUUCAUUUUUCAUUGUAUGUGGGAGAGAAGCAAUGAAGAAGAGAAGAGGACAAGAUGCCAAGAAAUAAAACGAAGACUUAUUGGAUGUUUGGUCUUAUUAGCAUAGCCAGUUGGAAGUGUACUGUUUCAUGUGGCUUAUCACUAUCAAAACUUCGGGUUUGUCUGUAAUUAUAGUAGUGAUUAAAAUUUAAAGUGUUUUUUUAUAUAUAAAUAUAUAUAAAUAAUAUUUUUUUUUAUUUUUUAAAUUAACAUAUCAAAAUGAUUUGAAAACAUAAAAAAAUAAUUUUUAACAAAAAAACAAUUGAAAUUUGAGGGAAUGCGAUUUCAACCGCGUUUCCAAACGCUCUCUUCAUGUAUUUUCAAUCACAAAGUUACUAUAAAAAUACAUGUGUGUUUGGUAUUAUAGUAUAAGGUAUUUUUCGAUUGAAAAUAUAUAAAAAUAAUAUUUUUUUAAUAUCAAUAUAUUAAAAUCUUUGAAAAAUAUUGAAAAAAAUCAUCAAUUUAAUGUUAUUUUAAAUCAAACACAUUUUUAAAACAUACUUAAAUGCAUUUUCAAACCCAAAAGUAAAUGAUAUCUUUUUUAUAAUUAUAGUCCAGAAAACAAUCUCCUACAUCUAAGCACAAAAAGGUUUCGAAGUUAAAAGUAAUCUUAUAGUAGCAUGUGUAUUGCCUUAACAUGUAAUUUAAAAUCAGAUUCGGGUUAAGUUUUAAUUUAUACUUAGUUUUGGUUAAGUUUUAAUUUAUAUUAAUUUUGAUAUUAAUAUGGUUAAUCCCAAAUAAUCUUCCUACAAUCCAAUUUACUCUUGUUAAAACUUAACCAAAUCAAAACUAGGAAAUAUCUUUCCUUCUAAAAAAAAAAGGUUUUGAAAAUCCAGAUUGAUCCUCUAACUCAUAAAUUAACCAAGUGACUUGAGCUCUUUUCGAGAUUUUAAGAUCAGAUCCCAGGCCAGUUCUGACUACUAUAAGCUCAAGUGACUGACCCAAUUCAAAAUCAUGUUUUUGACGUUUCUCGUUGGAUCAAAGUGGGCUACCCUUUGUUCCUGAAUGCUGAAAGUCUACUAUUUUUUCACAGAGAUGAAAGCAAUUAGUAAAAGCAACUGAGCCAAGAAAUAUCCAACUAGCUUGAGCACAUCUGGAAGAUUUAGUCUCUGUAUUAUUUCACUUCUCUGAAUAAUUUUUCAGGUUCCUUUUGCUGUUAUAUAAAAAUUGCUUUCUCUCAUGAGUCAAUAUCCAUUCUAUGAAAUUCUAGCGUUAGAGAGAGGUGAAAGUUUACACUUUGUAUACCAUGUUUGUUUGAUUUAAUAGCAGUGAUGACCCUUGAAAGAUUGCUCUAUAAAACAAUGUCCGGUCAUCUUUACAACUUAUUUUCACAAUCCUUCGCCGGCCAGCUGAAGAACUCUUUGAAGCUCAUCUGCCAUCCCUUGUAAGAGAACUGGUUUUCGGAUCAUUCCAUUCAUUCUCAUCCUUAGCUUCAGCACUGUUUUGCCUCCUACCAGAAGAAUUUGUGGAUGAGCUAGCUCCAUCUGAUAGAGAACUUCCUUCUCUGAUCUCCAUGUCAAACAUACAAACUCAUCAGGAGCAUUUGAUUUCCACAUCCCCAACAUUCUAUCUGUCUUGCCCACGCUAUCACUCUCUGAAAAAACUCGAAAUAUGACAUUCCCCCCUCCAUCAUAGAUAUUUAAAAGAUAUCCGACCAUGUGUAAAAUAACUUGAAAGGUCCUUCUUUCAUCUCCUAUCACUAGAUCAGGCAAAGAACGUUGAACAUCAAGUUCAAAAUCAAAACCUUUAUACACACACAAGCACUUAGCAAGGCAACAAGCUUCUUUGAUCAUGGAGCGUAGACGAAAGGGCACCUUCCGGUGUUAUCUUCUGCUGAAAUAUCCACCACAUCGUUAAUCAAAGUUGAAAGCACAUUGCUGGUUUUCACCAAUGUGUCAAUAACAAUCCUUUGCUCGACGCCCAUAUUAUCAUUUUGGAACAUAAAAAGCAAUCCCAGGAUUAAAAUAACGCCCUUUACGAUACCUUUCCAACGCAUCAAGAAUCACAGCAAUCCGAUAUGUGUGUGGAAAGUUAUGAUUAAAAUACUUUAAAUGUAUCUAGGCUGUUUCUAAGAAAAAGAACAUUACUUUUAAGUUUAUCCAGCUUUUGUUUAAAAAGUCAAGAAAAUAAAGUUCUGGAUUAAACUAAAUAAAAUAAAAACUUUAAGGAAAAGAAAAAAAAGCACGCCUAUGAAGCUUGAUAGUAUAUCAAAUUAAAUAGAAGCUCGAUUAAAAAAUGCCCUUUAAUUUCUAUUAUUUCUAUUCACAUUUUAGCAAUUUAUUCCAAUGACAGAGCAUUUGGAAUGCACUUUCAUAGACUCAUCAAAACCCCAGGAACGCCAUCAAGCAUUAGCUUCAAACAACCAGAUCCGGAGCUUCAGUGCAGUAGAAAACUUUAACAUCUACUAUGAAGCUUGAUUUGCUAUCCAAUCCACACACAGGUUUUCGAUUGAUACAAAGAUACUGUAAUUUUAACCGUCUAGUAAGUGAUUUAGUGGUAAGAGAUUUGUUAUCCAAUCCUAUAGUUGCUAAUAUUGAUGGUCACUGGAGGCUUAUUUGGUCAUUAACUUCAAAAUCUGUGAGGAUUAGUUAAGGUGCAUGCAAGUUGGCCCGGACACCCCUAAUAAAUAAAUAAAAAGAUACUAUAUUUUUGUUGUCGGCAAAUUAUCAACCAAUAACUUUUUAUCUUUUUCCAAGUUUUCUAGGUGACUUUUUUUCUCUCUCAAAAUCAUGGAUAAGUGAAUAAAAUAAAAUUUUGAAUCAUAACUAAAAAAAAAAAAAAGAUGCAAAAAGUCUAGGGAUCAAGAUUUUAAAAAUCACGUCUAUGCUACUCUCUAGUUUUAAAUAUUCAAAACAAGGCUCCAUUAUCAUAUAUUCAUAGAGACAUACCAAUGUAGCUUUUGAUGUUUACCGGUUUGGGUAUGUCCAUAUGCUUUUAAAUAUAUUUUAAAAUUUAUAUAUUUUUUUUUAAAAUAUUAAAUUAAUAAUGUUUUAGUUGUUUUUAAUGAUUUUGAUGUUUUGAUAUUAAAAACAAAAUCUAAAAAACUUAUUUUUAAAAAAUUCUCUAUAUAACAGUAUCAAACACAUGAUAACCUGGUCCAAAAGCUUUCCACCGAGCAUAAAAUGGUUUUCAACCCAAUCAUACUUUUUCCUCAUUAUAAAUAUAAAAUAAAGUUCAAGUGAAGUAGGGUCCAAUCUUAAAUGGUUCAAACAUUUUUUUUAUUAUUAACGUGGAUGUCCGGGCCAGCUUGCGUGCACCUCAACUAAUCCCACGGGCCCUAAAGUUAACAAUCAUAUAAGUCUCCAGUUGCCAUCAUAUGAGCAAUCUAGGAAUGGAACCUGAGAUCAAAGAGAAAGCAAACCUCUUGGUCCCAAGCUUUUAUCGCUAGGCCACCACCUAGAUGGUUAAUGGUUCAAACAUUAUUGUUAGAACGUGACAGUGUCCCAGCAUUAGUAGUGUAGCACGUGCCAUGUCUUAAGCUUAUGUGAGCUUAAGACAAGGCAAUUGGUGUUUGAUGAAAUUAGCUGUCACUAAAAAUAAAAUAAAAUAAAAUCCUCUUUGAACUAAUUAAUUACUCAAUUAAUUCCUAAAUUAGUUUUUUAUUGUUUCUCACAAAAUUUAUAAGAAUAAAAAUAUUUUAUUAGAUGUUUUAGAUACUCUACUAUUAUAAUAUUUUAUUUAAGUUUAGAUUUUUAUUUCAAAAUUGAAUUUUAUUUAAUAUAACAAAUAUUACAUGUUUUAUUUUAUCUGAUAAAUUUUGAAGUAUUAUUGGAUUUUAUUAAUUUUUAAAAAAUAAUAUUUUAAAAGAGUACGAAAUGUUGGAUACAAUGUUUUUACUGUUGUAACCCAUUUUUGGGUCCUCACAUAUAAAAUAAUAAAAUACAAAAAAAUUCAAAAAAUAUAUUAAAAAAAAAUAUAACAGUGAAAAAUGCCAGAGCGCCAUAAACAUGCUAAAAAAAUUUGUUUGAGGAUUUUUAAAAAUAUAAAAAUUAUUUUUUUGACAGUAUAUCAUUAACUGAUGAGAGCCCCGAUGAUAAAGAAAAUUCAAUUUGUGGAAGAAAAAUGCAAAAUCAGAAGUUUAUGGACUCAAUUAAAUUUUAUUGAAGGUUUAAUUGAAUUUAUGGAGAUUUUAAUUGCAAGAAAAAUUGAUUUUGGAGUUAAUUUGGGCUUUAAUUAGGAGAAAUUAAUUUUCUGGGGUCAAAUUAUAAUUUUUGGAAGUUAAUUUGGUCAAAUCAGGGGCUUAAUUGCAUAAAUAUUGAAGUUUAUGGCCAAUUAGGGACUUAAUUGAAGAAAUCCGAGACCAAGGACUAAAUUGUAAAACGCGCGAAAUGGAGGGCCGAAAUUUGAAUCUGAUGCUUUUGGCGCCUUUUCCUUUUAAAUGAAACGGCGCGUUUUGACCAAAACGGCGCCGUUUCAUUCACUGUUGCAAAAAAAAAAAAAAAAAAAAAACAGAAGCCCAAAACGGUGCCGUUUUGACGGCACUGUAGCCUUCUUCUUCCCCUGGACACACGAGGCAGGGGAAGAAGAAGAUUUUUUUCUUCCCCUUUUCGCCUAAUUACUUUCCCUCUUUUGCUCAAAAAGACGCCGAAACAAGGACACCACUUGCCGACCACUUUCCACGUGUUGGACGGGCGGCAGCACACCGGCCACCACCAUGACGUCCCCCCCCCUGUUUUUCGCCUAUAAAAACAGGGGAGGAAGAGGAGAAAAAAGGACAGAACAGAAGGGAGAAAGAAGGAGAGAAGGGAGAAGAAAGAAGAGGAAGAAAAGAAGAAAAAAACAGAGGAGAGAGAGAGAAGGAACCGCCGGCCACCGUGCCUCCGCCACCAUCGCUCCGCUGCCACCAGCAGCACCGCCACGACGCCACCGCAGGUAACCCUUGCCCCGUCUCCUUCUCCUUUGCUGCUGCCCUCUCUUUAUUUUCAUGCAGAACGUGAAUUAAUUCACGUUCUGCAACUGAUGAGAGGCUGGUUACUGUGCUUAUGCACAGUAACCAGCCCAUUUAGUUUGGGCCGGUUGGCCCAGCCCACUGAUAUGGGCCGGACCCGGCCCAUUUCAAUUUUAUUUUUUUUUUAUAGAAUUUUUACAAUUUUUCCAGCACAUGUUUUUAUCAAUUUUGCUUAAUAUCGUCUGUAUUUUACAUCGUAAAAAUAUAAAUUCGGUAUUAAAAUACCCGGUCGUCCCGCGGUACUGUUCACGUCACUAUUCAUACGGUACUGUUCACACAGCAUAAAAAAAAAUCAAAAAUAUUUGUUUCAGCAUUUUAUAAUUUUUCCGCGUAGUUUUUUUAUGCCAUUUUGAUUAAUAUCGGGCAGUAUUUUACAUCGUAAAAAUAUAAAUCCGGUAUUAAAAUACCCGUUUUUCGGCAAAAACUUCCAAAAAUAAAUAAAAAAAAUUGAAAAAGAAAAAAAAAAUGUUUUUGUGCAUACGGCCAAGUGUCUCAAAUCUAAAAAAUCAUAUCGUAUUUUGCAUAUGUCAAAAAAAAAAUAUUUUAGCAUGCAUUUUGGCUUUAAUAACCAGUUUAUUAAAGUCAAGAGAACAUUGGCCAAAAUCUCAAAAACAACAAAAUAUUUUAUUUUGUUUUUUUAGUAUCAGAGAUUAUGAAUUUAUACGUAAAUCGUAUUCCUGAUAUUAAAAAGAUAUUUUCUUUUGACGACUUCGAAUAGUUAGUUUUUUACCCGAUAAAGAUAAGGAUCUCCUUACAGAGGAGGACUUUUCUUAAACCGUAAACGAACCAACAAUUCAAAAAAACCACAACAUGAUUUUAGAUUUUAUCAGACAUUAAAACAAUGCAGCCUACCUUAGGUAUGGCGUAGUUGGGGUGCUAAUACCUUCCCUUUACGCAACCAGUCUCCGUACCCGAUCUCUAAAGACCAGUUAAGGUUCCUAGUAACCAGAAUACUAGGUGGCGACUCCCAGUCCAUAUUUUCACAUGUAGAGACAAGAAUUCCUUGUCUCUCCCCUAUUUUCCAGGAAUAAAUUAUUCCGAUUUUUCCUUGAGGGUGGAUGAUCGCCGCGCCGCCGCACACGUGCGACAUUUACAAUAACGCAAAACACAACAAACAUUGAUGCUAUGCUGAAUCCUUGAAACCGUAAUAUACACUUCAUAAGAAACUGUAAUAUAACAAACAGAGUAUCUGUAAGUUUCAGAGAACGACAUCAAUUUAAUUACGCGAAGUUCAAUCCUUUUUCCUCUACAAAUUAAAUCAUGUACGUAAACCUGUUACCUACAUUUUGUAAUAUUUCUGGAUCUGCUCUUUGAUUCAUCAAGGACAGAGUUGAUUGCAGCUUCGUCAUAGAAAAGUUCGUCUUCUUCAUCUUCUUGGUUGGCGAGGAAAUAUAAGUGGAAGUAUUUGAUAGCUAAGAACUCAGAAUCCAUGAGAUGAAGUAUUUGGCAAAGCCUUCCCCGUGAUUGGAGCAAUCUCACUAAUUUAUCGACGUAAUGGCUAGAAUUGUCUUCCUCUUAACUAAUCUUUAGCAAAUUAUCUUAAUAUGGUUUUACCAAAAAGAAAAUAAUAAAUUUAAGGAACGUCAUCCUCGUGGAUGCUAUAAUCUGUAAUUAUUGGCAAGGCUUUAAUAAUCACAGCAGCAGAAGAUUGAAGAAACAGGAGGCCUACGCAUUUAAUUUGGACUUCCUCGUGGAUGCUAUUCCUUUAAAUAUGGACUAAAAUUGUUUUAUAUCACAGCUAGGCAGAUAGCAGAAGGCUAGUGACUGCUGGGCAGAAAGCCUUAAUUAGAAAAUAACUUCAUAUUCUUGGGGUAGAAACCCCACGAACGCAAUCAAGUAUUUGCUUCAAACAAUAAGAGGGAGCUUCAGCCUUCAGUGCAGCAGGAAACUUCAACAUCUAUUAUUAAAAUUGUGUUUGGUAAACGCUGGGUAAAUUAUGUGUUUAUAAAAUUUAAUUUUUUUAUAAAAAAUUAUUAUUAUUAUUAUGUUUUCAGAUCAUUUUGAUGUGUUAUAUCAAUAAAAAAAUAAAAAAUAUUAAAAAAAUUAUUUUGAUGUAUUUUUAAAUAAAAAACACUAGUUUAUCUUUUGAUGUUUUUCGGUUUAUAAAAUGAACAGUGAACAGUUUACAUUGAUAUACUAUUCAUUUGAGCAAGAGAAUUGCACUGUUCACUUAAACAAUAAUGAACAGUGCAAUUCACUUGCACUAUUCACGGAUGAAUUGCACUGCCGAGAACUUUUUUUCUUAGUGUGUUAAUUUUUUCAAUAUUUUUUUUUUAAAAAAACACUAGUUUAGAGUGAAUUAAAUUCACUUGCAAUGUAAUGUGAAUAAUAUUUUUUUUCCCUGAAAAAGUAGUCUAGAGUGAAUUAAAUUCACCCGCAUUGUAAUAUCAAUUUUAUACCUGAUAAUAUUUUAUUUAAUUUGAUUAUAUGCUCAAAACAUUAUGGAAAUUGUAGUUCUUGUCGGAUGUAUUUCGUACAUAAUGGAAUUGUAUAUGGUUUCAUGGAAUAAUAAAAAAUAUUUUAUAUAAAGUAUGAUUUAUUUCAUGAUGUAAUAGCAAUAGUUAAAUCUACAAUAUUUAAAUUAAAAAUCAUCAAUAUUAAUAUAUAUUUUUUAAAAUUAUUUUAUAACCUCAAUUUCAAAAGCAUUCUUACCCAAACACAUUAAAUUACUUUUUUUUUCAACUUCAAUUUCAACUAUAUUUUUAACCAAACACCUAUUUUUUCAAACCAAUCUCAAUUAAAAAUAUUUUUUAUAAAAAUAAUUUUUUUCAAAUCACAACCACAACAUCUAUCGCAAUACUAAACACACUGAAAGGCCUAUAUACCAGCCCAACAAAUCAUACCCAGGGAAGCAAAAGCCAGAAACAAGCUACCUCGAUUCUUGCUCCACCUGGGUAAGAAAUGCAGCAUGCCCACUUGGAAUUAUAAAGCGUCCAAAUUCCAUGGCAAAUAAUUGGUUGGAAUUGUUUUCUGAGGGGUCAUUUCAAAAUCUGAAAAUAAAAAUAGAAAAUAGAUCCAGCAAAUGAUUCCAAAUAUCUUCUAAAAAGAACGAUGAAAUAUGUUUUUUUAUUUACCGUAAGGAAAGAUAUUAACGAAAUUUUUUUUUUAAAAAAUCAAUUUAAAAAAUAUAUAACAAGUCAAAAUCUAUACUUAAAAUCUUUCUCGUAUUAAAUUUAUAAUUGAAUCAAAUAAAAUAUUAAUUUAAUAAAACAUAGUUAAGUUUUUGAUAGUUGAAUAUUUAGUAUAACGGUGACAUACUAAACUAUUAAAUCUUAACAUAAAAAGGAAUUUUUAUUAUAUACCCACGAAUAACCACUGGAACGCAAUCAAGCUUUAGCUUCAAACAACCAGAGGGAGAUUUUAUAGGGAUAAAAUUUUAAAAAUCACGCCUAUGCUAUUUUCUAGUUUUAGUAUUAAAAUUAGUAUUUAAAAAAUGUGUUUAUGAAUAUGGCAAUUUCAGGUGUAGAACCAAAAUUGUCAUAUUCAUACUCUCUCUUAGACAUUUUAAAAAUGUGUGUAGAAGAAUACUUUCACCGAUGAUUUAUAAUAUUAUGUUACUUUAAUGAUAAAUCAAUAUAGUAUUUUUUUUUAUUUUUUGGAUUUUCAUCUUGGAGAAAUUCAAUAGGAUGAAAAUAUAAUAUUAAUCAAACUUCAAAUUAUAAUUGUUUAUCUAUCGAGUUAAAAAAAAAGAAGACAAUUCAGUAGUUUUUAAUGAAAUAAAAAAAUGAAAAAUGUUAUUUAUGUAAUUGUAAGCAUACAAUAUUAUAUUAGUACUGACUCCCACCAUUCUUUUGGAUAUGGCUGGCCAUUUUCAAGCAACGGAAGACAAAUUGGCAUCCUCUUCAGCUUCUCACAAGCCAUUACACUAAUAUCUUCAAGAGAAUUGCAAAUCAGCUUUACACUGCAAAUGCUUUUCAGUUCUGGUAAACCAAACAAUUCCAAAGUUCUAACUUUGGGAGAAUGACUUCCGUGAUGGAAUUGGAGGUGCUGCUUUCUUCAUCUGUUGUUCCUAUUAUGCACUGAUCAUGAGAUGUGGAAGAGAAUGUUACAGUCGCUAUCUCUUUUACAUAAUAUUAUUUAUUAGUAAGGUCGCCUCAAUAAUAAUUAAUUAAUUAACGUAUUAUCUCCUCCAUUUUCUCACAAUCAUUAACUUCAAUCCUUUCUAGGUUUACGAGGUUUGGCAGCAACACAAGCAGGAACAGCUUCUUCAUACUUUCACAUCCGUAACAAAAAAAAUCUUUAAGACCAGAAAACGUACCGUUACAUGAUGGCAAUCGUGGUGGAGCAGAGCAGAACCAAGAAGAUGAAACCAAGCUCUCCAUGUUAUGGCAUUCCCGAAUGCUGAUGCGCUCCAGUUCAGUUGCAUUCUCUAAUGACAAAACAUCACAUAAACUUCUUGCAUCGAUGCAUUCACAAAUCAGUCCUUGAAUGCCAUUUAAGAACUUGACCUGAAAAUCUCCAUCUUUGUUGAUACUCAAAUUACCCAACCUAAAUGUUUUACUGGGAAAACCGUCAGUGCAUUGCUCUAUACCUUGAUCCACCUAUCCUGAGAUCUGAGAUACUCCACGAAGUCAGAAAAACCUUCGAAAUGGCACUCCAAAGUUUCCAAAUUUCUCAAGGAUCCUACUUCCUUUCCUUUAACUGUUAUCGGAGCAUCAUCUAGCGGCAUAAACUGUUCUUGUACAAAGACUUGCAGGUGAGAGAGUUUUGGUAAUAUCCCACCAGGAAACUCCUUUUCACCAUAUCCAUUCAUUCUAAGAUACCUCAGGUUGGUUAGGCAUUCCAUUCCUUGCGGCAUCUUUUCAAGUCGAGUACCAGAGAGAUCCAACCUCUUCAGUGCCCUGAGCUUCUUUAAUGAUGGAACAUAUCUCAAGUUGUCACACUUACGGAGCAAUAACACAGUGAGACUCACCAAAUUAGAGACAGAGUCUGGCAAGUUUUCAAUACCUGUCCAAGACAGAUCGAGGACCUUGAGCCCAUGCAAUUGCUUGAAAAAUAAAUCCGCAAUAAAUCGCAACAUAUGAUUUUUACAUAGCAAUAGAGUUGAUAGAAAGGGACACCUAGGUGAAUAGCUGGAAGGAAUUUCUUCGAUCUUGUUUCUCAUUAGUGAAACCUGAUACGAAUUGAGUUUUACUCUUCGAAGUUUAUUCACAAUCUUUGUAUAUUGAAUUCAUGAUGAUAAUCCAUCAAUUACAUCUGCCUUUUAUAAAGCAGUAGGCAAUAAAGCUAUUAUAGAAAGUAAAGCUAUUAUGGAAAGGCUCCUAUAAUUCCGGCUAUAAUUUCGGUCUGUUACAAACGGAUAUAAAUAUAUUAUGUAUAGCUAAUAGUAAAGUAAAACUAAUAUAAUAUUUAACACCCCCUCUCAAAUUGGUGCAUAGAUGUUAGUCAUGCCCAAUUUGUCGAGACUGGUAUGAAAUAUUUGGCUGGAUACUGCCUUCGUCAGUACAUCUGCAAGUUGAUCUUGAGAUCGAACAUGAGGAACUUCAAUAAUCUUUUCUUCUAAUUUUUCCUUGAUAAAGUGUCUAUCAACUUCAACAUGUUUAGUUCUAUCAUGUUGGACAGGGUUAUGAGCAAUGUCGCAUGCCGCCUUGCUAUCACAAUAUAACCUCAUCGGACUUGUCUGUUCAACCUGUAAUUCCUGCAUUAAAUUUUUUAUCCAUAAUAAUUCACAUAUUGCUUUGGCCAUUCCUCUGUAUUCAGCUUCAGCUGAGGAUCUAGCCACUACUUCUUGUUUCUUACUUCGCCAGGUGACCAAGUUUCCACCCACAAAUAUGAAGUAUCCCGAUGUAGAUCUUCGAUCUUGUAUUGAGCCUGCCCAAUCGGCAUCGAUAUAUCCAUCAAUCUUCAAGUUGGCCCCCUUUUUAAAUAGAAUUCCUUUACCUGGAGAUGAUUUCAAGUAACGCAAGAUACGGGUGACAACUUUCAUAUGUUCUUCACUAGGGGAGUGCAUAAACUGUCUGAUUACACUUAAAGCAUAAGCUAAAUCAGGUCUGGUAUGUGCAAGAUACAUUAACCUUCCCACUAGUCUCUGAUAACGUUCUUUAUUAGUGUGGAUUUGUUGUUGAUGUAUACUUAGUUUCAGGUUUUCUUCUAUAGGAGUGCUGGCAGGGCUACAAGCCGUCAUACCUGUUUCUUUUAACAAAUCUAAGGCAUACUUUCGUUGUGAUAAAAAAAUUCCUUCUUUCGAUCUUGAUACUUCAAUACCAAGAAAGUAUUUUAAGUGACCUAGAGAUUUCAUUUCAAAUUCUUGUGCAAGACGAGUCUGCAAAGCUUUCUGUUCUUCAGGAUUAUUUCCGGUUACUAUCAUAUCAUCCACGUAUACGAUUAGAGCUGUGACUUUCCCCUUCGUUUAUUUUCAGGAAUAACGUAUGGUCAGAGUUACUUUGCUUGUAUCCAAUGGAUUUCAUGAAUUUAGUGAACCUGCCGAACCAUGCUCUCGGAGAUGUUUUAACCCGUAUAGGGAUUUCUUUAACCUGCAUACCUUUGUGCUUCCUUUGAUUUGCAUAAUGCAUCCAGGAGGUAAUUCCAUAUAUACUUCUUCUUGGAGAUCCCCAUGCAAAAAUGCAUUUUUGACAUCAAAUUGAUAUAGGGGCCAGUCACGGUUUACGGCUAAAGAUAGUAGGAUACGAACAAUAUUUAUCUUGGCCACCGGUGCAAAUGUUUCCAUAUAAUCAAUCCCAUAAGUCUGAGUGUACCCUUUGGCGACAAGCCUUGCUUUAAACCUUUCAAUAGUGCCAUCUGCUUUAUGUUUAAUGGUAAACACCCACCGACACCCAACUGGUACCUUUCCUGCAGGAAGUUCAACUACUUCCCAUGUGCAAUUUUUUUGAAGGGAUCUCAUUUCUUCAUUCAUGGCCUCUUUCCAUCUUAAAUCUGUUAUGGCUUCCUGCACACUGUUAGGAAUAGAUAUAGCAGAUAUUUGGUUCAUAAAAGUUUCAUUUUCCUUUGAUAAUCUAUGAUAAGACACAUAAUUAUUCAUAGGAUAAUGAGGAUUAGAGGUAAGAAGUGGUUCAUACGAAGUUUUGGGUUUUCCUCUCGUAGUUCUGUGAGGUAAAAUUUUUAGUUGAGUUUCAGAACUUACUUGAGGUUCAGUUAUGGAUUCAAGUUCAGGAUGCACUUGUAGUGGGGAUGCUGGUAAUUGAGGUACCUGAGUUUCUUGUUGCAGCACCUCUAUUCGGUCUUCUUCACUGUCAAUAGUUUGUUGUUGUUCUGCUCCUAUAUAUUUUCACUAUUUACAUCUAAUGCAUCUUGCAUGGUAUGUGAAGAUGCAUUACUAGUAUGUUUAUCUCUUGUAAUAUAUAGGUCGUCAUAACAUGUCUGCCAGUUACUCUUGUUGUGCUCUUGACUUGAGGAUUCAAGGGGAGAGUAAUACAUUUUAUUCUCAUGAAAUACAACAUCAAGUGUAGUGUAGAGUUUCUUACUUGGUGGAUGAUAGCAGCGAUAUCCUUUCUGAUGCUGGGCAUAACCAACAAAUACACACUUGAGUGCUCGUGGUUCCAGUUUAUUCCUUAAUGGUUUGUGAAGAUGAACAAACGUUGUGCAUCCAAAAACUUUUAGUUGCAAAUGUGACACAGCAGGAGAGCAUAUUGUUUUCUGAAGAACAUUCAGUGGGGUCUGAAAUUCUAAUGUGCUUGAAGGUAUCCGAUUGACAAGAUAUGUUGCUGCUGUGAUAGCUUCACCCCAAUAUUUAGUUGACAUAUGAGCUUCAAAUAACGAGGCUCGAACAACUUCAAGAAGCUGACGAUUCUUACGUUCUGCAACCCCAUUUUGUUGAGGGGUGUAAGGGCAAGUGGUUUGGUGAACAAUUCCAUGAUUAAUCAAAUAUUGUUUCAACUCCUGAUUAACGAAUUCUCCACCAUUGUCGCUACGAAGAACCUGUAUUGCAGAACUAUAUUGUGUAGCUACCAUGUUAUGAAAUUGUUUGAAUAAUGAGCUUACUUCACUUUUGCAUUUCAUUAGGCAAAUCCAUGUCAUACGUGUGUGAUCAUCAAUAAAGGAAAUAAACCAUCGUUUACCAUUAAGAGAGCAGGUAUUUGCUGGACCCCAUACAUCUGAAUGUACCACCAUGAAGGUGCUGGGCUCUUAUCAUGCUGUUUUGAAAAGGAACCCGAUGGCUUUUAGCUAAUUCACAUACAUCACAUUUAAACUCUACAUUGUUAGCUGAACAAAGAGUUUUGGCAUUAAUUUUUCAAAUAUCCAAAGGAUGAGUGUCCUAAACGUUUAUGCCAUAACCAAAUUUCAGAGGUUGCAGCAGAUUCAAUAUUUGUAGCAGAUUUAUUCAUGGAGAAUGCUUGAGCUAACUGGUGACAACUUGCUGGGGCUAAAUCCAGAUAAUAGAGCUUUCCCCUUCUAGUACCAUAACCAAUUGUCUUCCGAGUUUGAAUAUCCUUGAAAACACAAAGGUUAGGCCAAAAAAUAACAAUGCAUUGGAAAGCAAGAGUUAUUUGAGCUACUGACAGUAAAUUAUAAUUAAGAGAUGGGACAACUAAUACGGAGUCAAGACUUAUAUUCUUAGUGAGGAUAACAGAUCCUUCCCCAUUAACAGACGAUGAGGUACCAUUUGCUGAUGAUAUAGUAUAUUGUUCCGAUGGUUUAAAGGAUUUAAGCCACAAUUUGUCAAAGGUCAUAUGAUCAGUAGCUCUAGAAUCAAUUAUCCAUUCAUUUCUACUGCUAAGAGUGGAGGUAUUAAAUACUUUACCAGAUUCUUCCUCUAUGAAUGUUUCUUUCGGAUGUUGAUGUUCUGCCACAAAUGCUUCCUUAGUCGUGAGAUUGGUUUUGUUUGAAGGAUGUUCUGCCACAAAUCUCUCAGGCGUAGCCACUGCAACUAAAGCAGUAUUUGAUUUUGAAUUUCGUUUACGAGGUGCUUUAGCCGGAUCCCACCAUUCUGGAUACCCAAUUAAUUCAUAGCAUUUCAUCUUUGUAUGUCCAGUUUCACCACAGUGUGUGCAGAUAUAUUCUGACUUUGCCUUUCAAUCUCAUAGCUGCUGUUAUGAGUUCUGAUGUCUCGAUUCUUUUCAAUAGUAUGCCAUACGGGUAGUUUUCUUGGCUACCUCGUCUUGCCAUCAUUGCAGAUGACUCUGCAUGGCCAGCUCCAGCUUCAUUGUUUAAAGUAGAUCUGCGAACAGCAUCCGACGUACAUAAGCAUGAGCUUCUUCCAGAUCAGUAUCGGAUCUUUUCUAAGAAUUUCCCCUUGGAUUUGUUCAAAUUCUGCAUCCAAUCCAUUCAAGAAAAUAUGUACCCGUAAUCUUUCAACAGAUCUUCUGUAAGUGAUAAUAUCAUCCGGAUCUUUCAUUUCAGUUCUGUCCCGAUGGUCAAGUUCUUGGAAGAUUUCCAUCAGAUCUCCAUAAUAUGUGGAUAGCGGUCGACCUACCUGUUUUGUGGAGAAGGCUCUCUGGUUAAGUGCAAAAAGUUGUGAUUCGUCCGAUCCAUCAUAGAAAGCUUUAGACAAGGCAUUCCAUAUUUCUCUUGCGGUGCGCAACCGAAUGUAUCUUUUCAUAAUGUUGGUGACAUAGACAUUAGAAGCCAUCCUUUAACUUUUUGGUUUUCUGCAUACCAUCUUGAAUAAGACACAUCAGCUUCCUGUGGUGGUUGUGUUUUGCCCAUAAUAUAUUCAAGCUUUUCUCUUCCUGCAAUCUGCAUUUCCAUGAUCUGAGACCAUACAUCGUAAUUAGUUUCAGUGAGGAUAACACUGGUUGUGAAUCCAGAGUUUUCAGUUUGUACAUGGAUAAUGGGUGUAGGUUCUGUUGUCUUAUCAUUCAUCAUGGAAAAAGAUGAUCUCAGGAUGCAAAGAGGAAGAAAUGUUCAAGAAUAGGCUUCAAGAUCAGAAUGCAGAAGAAUAUUUCAAGAACUGGUUGGAUUUGUACGAUUCAAGACUGGAUUUCAAGAUAAAAAUGCAGAACCGAAGAAAUAUAUUCAAGAACAGGUUUUAUGAUUCAAGAAUAGAUUUCAGGAUCAGAAUACAGAGGGAUAUUUCAAGAACUGGUUGGAAUAGGUGAUAUCUGUAUAGCAGAACAGAUUUGACAGAUAGAAUGCAAGAUCUUUGACAGAUAGAAUGCAAGAUCUUGCUGUUGAAGUAAACUGGAAAAAAGAGAUAUAAACAGAGAAGGAUGCAGAUAAGAAGAUUUCAAGGGAAAAAUAUAUCAGUCAUGCAUUUCCAUGCUCUGAUACCAUGAUACGAAUUGAGUUUUACUCUUCGAAGUUUAUUCACAAUCUUUGUAUAUUGAAUUCAUGAUGAUAAUCCAUCAAUUACAUCUGCCUUUUAUAAAGCAAUAGGCAAUAAAGCUAUUAUGGAAAGGCUCCUAUAAUUCCGGCUAUAAUUUCGGUCUGUUACAAACGGAUAUAAAUAUAUUAUGUAUAGCUAAUAGUAAAGUAAAACUAAUAUAAUAUUUAACAAAACCAUCAUCAGAUUCUUCGUCCACUUCUCUGCAUCUGGCAACUCUUUUAAUUGCGCACCUGCUUUAACCAUGACUUGAUAUUCGUCUUGUAGUAUUUGGAUCGCCAUGUCCCUAAUCAAGUCAUGCAUCUUGACAUGUCUAAUAUCAUCAUAAUCCAUUUGAGCACUUUCCAAUAGGUAGACACAUUCAAGUCUAUUAAGCAUCGUGUUGCCCUCAUCAAAUGCAUCUCCCCUGCUCCUCUUUCCUUUAAUAAUUCCCUCAUCGAUCAAAUAACCUAUCAACUUCUGCCUUGCAAUCAUAUCAUCUUCAGGAAAUAAUGCACAGUGCAAGAGACAUUGUUGUAGUGCUAAAUCACUUAACCGAUCAUAACUAAAUCUCAAUAACUUGAAUACCUUCUCAUCUAUGUCCCUAAAUUCUGAUUCUCUCAAUUUGUUCAAUGUAUUUCUCCACUCAUGUGGGUCAUCCACUCCCCUCAAGCUUCCUGCCAUUGCAAUAAUUCCCAACGGCAAACCAGCACAUUCUCUUGCAAUAGCUUUUGCAAUUCCUUCCACUUCUGGUAAAAGUGUUAUGUCACGUCCAAGUUUUUCCAUGAACAAAGUCCAAGCUUCUCCCUCCGAAAGUAGCUUCACUUUGAUUUUGUGGUGGCAAGCCAUCCGAUGACAAAUCGUUUCUGAUCUAGUUGUCAUAAUCAGCUUGCAUCCUUUCAAUAGCAUAGGAAUUCCCACUUCAUCAAGCUCAAAAUUGUGCCACAAAUCAUCUAAAAUGAGAAUCCAUUUUUGUUUCGUCCUUAAUUCUUCUGACAAUUUGGCAGCUCUAUGCACAUCAUCAUCUUCGUUUGCAAGGUCUAGAUGAAGACAUUUAGCUAUGAGAUUCUGCAAUCUAGUAAUGCUAAAAUCUUGAGACACAAUCACCCACCAAACAUGAUCACAAAUAUCUGGUCUUUGUAGAACUCAUUAUAGAUAUGUUUGAGUAUUGUCGUUUUACCAAUCCCCCCCAUCCCAUAAAUGCCAAUGGUUGGGACUUUAUCAUCCAUUAACAAAGACCAUAUCUCCUUCGUAUUCUCUUCAAAUGCUUGACCCACUGGCUUUGUGGAGCUAGUAGGUAAUGGAACUCCUCUAGUCUCACUUGUGUUGUAUUUAAGGCUUAUAGAAGAUCUAGCUCCAGCGUCAGGCUGCACUAAUCUUCCACUAUUCUCCACACCCUCCUCCUCCACUGGUUCUGUCCUCACUCUAACCAUGUUCUGCACAUCAUACAUAACGACAUCAUUGUUUACUGAUGGAGCAAAUAGUUGGGCAUAAUAUCUUCGAUGAUCAAGACACAAUGGAUCUGUUGGUUGGGAUGAAUCUCCUCGAGGCUCAUCAGCUUGAUUAAUUGAUGGCCUCUCACAAGAGCUACCUCUCUCCAGAUGCUGCACUUGUUCUGUUCUCGCUACAGUUUCAAAUGCAUCAUGCAGACGCUCCACAUCCUCAUCUUCCUGCAUUAAAUACGUAGAGAUUUCAUUCAGCUUCUGCGCCUUUGAAAGUGCAGAGUGUAUCUGAACCCAAGUACCAUCAACAAAUACAUCUGUUCCUGGUGUUGCUUCUCCUCUAUUCUCAUAAGCAUCAGCUCUGAGUCUCCAAGUGUAUUUUCUCAGGCCCAACACCUUGUUCCAUGCCUUGAACUCCCACUUGCAUCCUUCCAGCAUCCCCUGCCAAAUUAACAAGUACUGCAUUGUCUUGUUCUUGUGGACAGGUGGAAAUGGCAUAAUCAUUAACAUUGCUUGAACUUGCUAUGCUUUUAUGUCUUUUGUUGCCAACAUUCAUAGCUAGAAAGGCUGCUUCUUGAACUUCUUUAGGCACCCGAACACAAAUGCCAACACCAUGCCCUCUCUCUCCUGAUAAAUGCCAUUUUAUCCUCGAAAUGGAAGUACCAUUGGCAAAUAAAUGCUCACAAAACUUACACUUCAUGCUUCCAUCAUUUAUAUCUUCAACUUCGUUCCAAAACGGAUCAUCUGAUCUACCCAUUUUGUCCUACAGUUAUUGAAAAUCAUUAAUUGGAAAAGGAAGGUUGAAACUAAAAUAAUAAGUUACAAACAGCAAAGAAACUAAGAAGAAAAAACAAUGAAUUCAAGGCAUGGACUGUUACAACUGAGAAAGAUCAAAUUAUUUAUUUUUGGAAACUGUUGAUGAUCCUAUCUCCAAAGUUUCUCAUUAUAAUUUCUACAACUUGUGUUUUCCUUGAAAGAUUCAAACCAGAGUUACAUGUGAAAAACAAAAUGAAGAAGAUGGAGUAUAAAUAAUCUACCUGGAUUCAAGUUGUUCUUCAAGUGCUGGUUCGCUGAAGUAGUAUUCAGGAAGAAAAACAAGAACAGAGAAGAAUAUAUGGUUUAAAAAUAACAAGGAAGUUGCAAGAUGUUGAGCUCCGGAUGAUUCGAUUCAAUCGGAAAAGGAAGCACUGAUCAUCAGAAAGGUUUAAGAAAUUUGAUGAGGGAAAUCGGGAAAUCAAUGGUAUAAUGAGAUGAGAUUUGGGAGAGCGUUACAGCAGCUAAGAUUAUUGUAUUGUUUGUGAAGAAGGAAGUUGCUAGGAAGGAAGCCACAAACUUUACCUACCAAAGAUUAUAUUAUAAGAUAUGGCAAGUUGCUGUACACCUCAAAUUUGCUUUUCUUUUGUCUAGCGAUGCGUAUAAUUAAAAACUUCAACAAAAGAAUCAGAAGCUAAUUGCUGGCUGAGUUAACGUGUGGACCCACCCCAUUGUUGAAACUUUGAAAAAGCUGACCUGGAAAUGUAAGAGCCUGAAGCUUAGAAAUGUAUUAGCAAUAAAAAUAGUGCUUAGGGGUACUGAAACAACCGUUAAACCUAUGGUUGGAAAUAGAACUCAGGACUCAAAACCCACAGUACUUUGAGAAUUUGUACACGUUAAACGUUUAUCAGGAAAAAAUGUGGAGUCCAUUGAAAUAAAACCACAACUACCUUGAAUAUCUACACAAGUUUUUCCUAAUAAGAAUUCUGGUAGAAAGCCUUGAAUAUGUACAAAAAAAAAUUGCUAAUAAGAAUCAUAGUAUUCUAGAUGAUAAUACCUAUUUGUAAAGCCCAUACAUAUUCUUUAUCUCAAAUUAAUUAUGACAUGGUAACAUCAUGAUUGAUGAAUUUUUGAGUCGAGUUGUAUUUGCUGUGUGUUUUUCCGACUAGUUAAGGUUUUUGUUACGAUGAUGUUAACAUCAAAAGGAAUUUUUACUAUAUAUCCACGAAUGAUACAAAAAUCUAUACUUAAAAAAAAAAAUGAAUUCCUGAACCUAGUCGAAGAACUGUGGCAAAAACUGUUUAAGGAUUCCAACCUAACACAUGAAUGAGGAGAGGCUAGUGAUGAUGGAUCAUGUUCCAUAACUUUAAUCAUGUCGGAAUCGGAAUUAAAGUUAGCUAGCUAGCCUCUGUGGCCCCCGAUCGAAUGCUGAAAGUUUCUGCUUCCAUUUUCCAAAGGGGAAAGGGUGCAGCAAGCGAUCACAAACCAACCAGAUGUAUAAAACGAAACUUUGGUCCUUCUAUUUUCUUGAUUAUGUAUUUACAGUCCCUGUAGAUUUUAUUAUAUGCCCAACUAGGCUUGGUCUUUAUAUAAAAACUUUUCACUUAAUUUUCCUUUUUUUUUUCAAAGUUUUUAUUAUAUGUUUAGAAAAAAAAAAGAAUUAAAAUAACAUUUUUCGUAAACCCAAUGGACUCCAUGAUUCAAGUCGCAGGUUUGGUGGAUUUAGCCACAAAGCUCAUAUCGAUCUAUUAUAUUGUCGUUAACAUAUAUAUAUAUAUAUAUGUUAAAGAUUCAUUUUAAAUGUUUUUUUAAAGCAUUUUGCUUAUUUUAGAUUGAUCUCCAUGAUAUGUUUCGUGUUUGUUAUGUACGAUUAAUUUAUUCUGAUUUGCUUUUUACAAAGUCGCGGGUUUUGUGGGUUUAGUCACAAAGCUCAUGUCGAACUAUUAUGUUGUCGUUUACAUAUUUUUUUUAGAAAAAAAGGAUUCAUUUUUAAUGUUUUUUAAAUCAUUUGGUUUAUUUUAGAUUGAUCUUCAUGAUAUAUUUUGUGUUUGUUUUUAUAUGAUUAAUUUGUUCUUUUUUUUUUUACAAUAUUAUUACAAUCUAUGUCGUAGUAGAGGGCAGACAAUGAUCCUCAUUGUAUUUUAUUAUAUACAAGCAUUGACCUUUUGAUUUAUUUUUAAUUUUUUUUAAAAUAUUAAAAAAUUAUUUUAACAACACUUAUGUCGCACGUUUGCGGCGUCACGACGAAUAUUUAUAUGUCCCACUUUAAAAUCUAAAAUGUAAUAUUCUAUAUUUAUUUGGAAAAUAUGGGGAGACAAGAAAUUCUUGUCGUUUAUUGAUGGAAUGGGAGUCGCCACCUAGUAUUUUGGUCACUAGGAACCCUAACUGGUCUCAGAGAUCGGGUACGAGGACUGGUUGCAUAAAGGGAAGGUAUUAGCACCCCAAAUACGUCUUACCUAAGAUAAGUUGCAUUGUUUGAUUGUCUGAUAAAAGCUAAGGUGUUAUUGUAUUUCUAAUUGUUGGUCUAUUCAUGGUUCAAGAAGAGCCCUCCUCAAUAAGGAGGUCCUUAUUUUAUCGGGUAAAAUCAUAACCAUUCUAACGUCUAUAUACAAACUACAUUUUUAAUAUCAAGAAUACGUUUUACGUAUAAAUUUGUAUCCCAAAUACUAAAACAACCAAAAAAAGAUUUUUAAUUUUUUUUGAAAUAUUGGCCUAGUUCUCGUGGCUCUAACAAACUUGUUGUUAAAGCCUAAAUGCAUACUAAUACAUAUAUUUUUUGAAAUUUCAUUUGUUGUAUGAAAAUAUGAUGUGAUGAUUUUUUUUUUGGAGAGACUAGGCCGUAUGCAUUAAAGCAAAAACAUUUUUUUUAUAUAUAUUUUUUGAUGUCUUGACAAAAAUCGGGUAUUUUAAUACUGGAUUCGUAUCUUUACGGUAUAAAAAUACAAACCAAUAUGAAGCCAUUUUGAUAAAAAUAUGCAGGAAAAUCAACAAUAUUUUUAGGAUUUUUCCGAAUUUUUUUGAAAGCAUAAAAUUUUUAUUUUUAAAUUGUUUUUUGAUGUUUUGACAACAACCGGGUAUUUUAAUACUGGAUUUGUAUCUUUACGGUAUAAAAAUACAAACCAAAUAUUAAGCAAUUUUGAUAAAAAAUAUGCAGGAAAAUCAAAAAUAUUUUUAAGGAUUUUUCAGAAUUUUUGAAAGCAAAACAUUUUUUAUUUAUAAAAUUUUUUUGAUGUUUUUUAAAAAAACUGGGUAUUUUAAUACUGGAUUUGUAUUUUUACGGUAUAAAAAUACAAACCAAUAUUAACCAUUUUGAUAAAACUAUGCAGGAAAAUCAACAAUAUUUUUCAAAGAUCUUUCAGAAUAUUUUUUAAUUUUUUUUAUAUAUAUCCACAUAUAUAUACAUAAUAUAAAACAAUAUAAUAAAUAAUGUAAUAUAUUAUGUGGGCUAGGCCGGGCCGACCCAACUUACUAGGCCAGACUCAGCCCAAAAGGGUUGGGCCGGUCUUGGCCGAACAAACUUCCUUUUUAGCCUGGGCCAGACCCGGCCCAGGCAGCAGGGCUGGGCUAGAACCAUUCUGGCCCACACAAAAAUAUUUCUGGGCUAGAACCCGUCUGGCCCAAAGAAGGGAAAAACCAACAACGAUGGCCAGCAUUAGCCUGGCCCAGCAUAUAACUGAUCGGGGAGGAAUUAUUUCCCCCCUCCCCUCCUCCUGCAUGCGUUCUGCAUGCAGGAGAACAACAAAAUGCAAAAACGAUAAGGGAGAAGAAAAGGUACCUGGCGUGGCGGAGGCGAUGCUGCUAGUCGGACUGCUUCACUGGUGGUGUUGUGGUGGAGGCCGGUGGCGGUGUCAUGGCUCACGGACAGCGGCUCCAAGCGGCGGUGCUGCUGUUUCAAACGGCGGAGGGUGAGGUUAUUGCUCUUCCCUUCUCCUCCGUGUGCCUUCCUCUUCUUUCGUUUUCGGUGGUUUCCCUUUAUCCUCCCGGUUUGUUUUCAAGUUUCCUCCCUCUCAGUUUGGGUUUGCUAGUGGUUCUUUUUGGUUUGGUUCUUUCUCUCCUUUUUCUGCGUUUUCUCUUCUUUUUUUUUCUUCGGUUCGUUCUCUCCGUUCCUUCUUUUAUCUCUGUUUUCGAUUUGCUUUUUUUUUUUGGUUUUUUCGUUUUCGGUUUAUUCCCUCCUCUCUUUAGUUCCUCCUCUCCUCGCGUGCUGGCGUUCAAUCUCCAUUUAUAGGGGGCAAAAGGAGCGGGGCUCAUUAUUGCUGCUCAUGGGGAGCAGGGCAACGCCGGUCGAUUGGCUAAUGGUCGCGGCUGGCAAGGUGCGGCUCCCCCGACUUUUCAUCAUGAGAGUGCAUGGGGGGUCGAGUUUUGGCAGGGCAUGUGGCUAAUGAAGAAAGAGGAAGAAAACGUUUUCUCUUCCCUUGUUGCACGCCCGGGGGAAGAAGAAAGAGGAACAGUGUCGUUCAAAACGACAUCGUUCGGUCCUUUUUUUUUUUUAACACGAAACAGCGUCGUUUUAGAAGAAAAUGUUUUCUCUUCCCCUGCUGCACGCCCGGGGGAAGAAGAAAGAGGAACAGUGUCGUUCAAAACGACAUCGUUCGGUCCUCUUUUUUUUUUUUUUAAACACGAAACGACGUCGUUUUAGACAAAACGCGCCAUUUCAUUUAAAUCAAAAAAGGGCGCCAAAAGGAGUCAAUGUCCAAGUCAGUCCUUAAUUAUAUUUUUUCAUUUCAAUUGCAUCCUUGAAAAAAUCAAGCGCCGCCCUUAUAUUUGGCCGUCUUUUCCACUUUGGUCCUUGGUCUCUGAUUUAUGCAAUUUUCCCUCAAUUAAUCAAUAAACUUUCAAUUUCUUCAAUUUAGCCCCUGAUUUUGUUAAUUACAGCCCCUAUAUUUACGCGUCUUUUCCAAUUUGGUCCUUGGCUUCAGAUUUCCUCAAUUAAGUCCCUAAUUGGCCAUUAAACUUCAAUAUUUAUGCAAUUAAGCCCCUGAUUUGACCAAAUCAACUCUUAAAAAUUAUAAUUUGACCCAGAACUUUAAUUUGUUCCAAUUAAAGCCCAAAUUGACUUAAAAAUCAAAUUUUCUUGCAAUCAAACUCUCUAUAAAUUCAAUUAAACUUGCAAUAAAAUCCAAUUAAGUCCAUAAACAUCCAAUUUUGAACUUCUCUCUUCAAAUUGAAUUCCAACAGGGCUCUCAUCAUACUAUCAAAUUUUUAAUUUUUGUAUUUUUAUCCUCCUUAAUUAAUUUUUCUGACCAUUUCCUGAGCGCUCCCGCCUCCUAUUUUUUUUUUCUAAUUUCUUCCGGCUAUAUAUUUAUUUAUUUAUUAUUAUUAUUAUUAUAUUUAUUUUAUUUUAUUAUUUAUUAUUAUUUUAUUAUUUAUUUUUAUUUUUAUUUUUUGUAGGGACCCAAAAAUGGGUUGCAACAACUUAUAUGUUCAUUCUUUAGUGUUAAGAAAAUUAAAUGUAUACAAAAUGUGGUUCAAAUAACUCAAAUUGUAUUUAUACAGCUAAAUGUUUUUCUCUUUAAUAAAUCCAUUGUUGGAUUUGAAAUUUAUAGCAUAUUUUAUAACUCAAAAAUGAAGAUUUGGUUUGGUUUUUAAGUUUUUUAUUUUUGUAAAAUUGAUUGAAAAAAAGUCGAUCGGGUAAUGUCGGCCUGGCUCGAAUCGGCAAAAUCAAAGACACAAAUGAAUAAUAAAUUUCAAUAUUCAUGGUUGAAGACCGGUGGAGCAAAAUCCAACUCUGAUCUAGAGUGUGUUUGAAAAUGCAAUGCAAACCGUGUUCCCUCAUAAUUUAAUUUUUUUUGCUUAAGAUUAUUUUUUUUAUAUUUUUAAAUUGUUUUAAUGUGUUGAUGUCAAAAUUAAUUUAAAACAAUAUUAUUUUAAUGUAUUUUUAUAUAAAAAAAUAUUUUAAAUCGUAACUGUUAUCAUACACACCCUAAUCUUGAGACUUUUUAUGGAACUCUUAAUUUUCAAGAGAGCCUUAACCAUUCCUUUAUGCAAGUGUACGCUUUGCCAAACAAUCCUUUAGGAAAAGGGGUUGCCCUCCCUCCGACGACUUGCCAUAACAGGCCAGGACUAAUUUCGACUCUUCGUUGGCGAAUGAUGACACUGCUCUACAUCCUUGACCAUUUCAAUUCCGAGAAACUCCCCCACCAUCCCAUAAAAAAGUUGUCCUUUUCUUUGAAGAAUUUUCCCAAUUAGUCCUUAUAUUGAAUUGAUCACACGUAAAUAAACUAUUUUUAUAAAUUUGAGUUGAGUUAAUUUACCAAACUCAUAAAUCAAUCAUAUAAUAAACUAUUUUUAUAAAUUUGAUCACAUGUAAAUAAAGUUUAAUUAGUACAAGACACUAUUGAGUACAAUGACGUUACAUAACUUAAAGAAUAUAUAUAUACAUAACUUAAAGAAUACACACACACAAAGCACAAAUAAUAAUAAUUUUGGAUGCAAAACACAGGUGGAGCAAGAAAUUCCACCCCAAGAAAAAUCCAAAUAUAAGUUCUUCCAACUUUCUUUGUUUCCCAAGAAAUCGAGAAUGCUAGUUUCAUUCAUCAAAAUUAUAAAUCCUAUAUUUAGAUAAAUUAGUGCAAAAUACCUAUAAACUAUAUUAUAAGAUAUAGAAAGCUAACGUGUGGAGUCUGUGGACCCACCCAAUGUUCAAACUUUGAAGAAGCUGCCAACAAAAUGUAAACACAUGAAUAUGAGAAAGAAUAACACAUUUAAAGUUUCUUUUAAAAAAAUAUUUUUUAUUUAAAAAUAUAUUAAAAUAAUAUUUUUAAUUUUUUUUAUAUUACCACCUCAGAACAAUUCAAAAAUAUUAAUAGCAAGCAGUCACUUGAUACAUUUUUACAGACUUUUGAUUAACCCCACUCAUUUGAGCCCUGUUAUUGGUUAAUGGUUAUCAACAACUCUCCAUCCCGUUACCUUUCCGGCUCUCCCUAGAACAACCAACCCCCAGCAAAAAUGCUACAUUUAGAAUCAUAUCCAGAAAAGCAAAAGCCAGAAAAGCAAAAACCAGAAACAAGGAUGAAUAUACCACUGUAGCUUUUGAUGUUUACCGGUUUUGGAAAUGCGCUUACGCUUUUAAAUGUUUUUUUAUGUUUGUUUUUAAAAAGUAAUAAUUUGAUAAUUUUUUAGUAUUUUUAAUAAUUUUAAUAUAUUAAUAUUAUGGAUUGUUGUUGUAUUUGAUCUGAUGACGAUAAAUUCUGAAAUAUUAUUUAAUCUUAUUGAUUCUGAAAAAAUAUAAUAUUUUAUAAUAUUAUGAAAUGUCGUGUGAAUUUUAUAUGUAUUUGUUUUAUUGAUUUAAUUUUCUAUUUCCUGUAUAUGCUACGGAGAUGAAUUAAUCUUCAUUGUGAAAAUGUUCUCUCAUGCUCCUAAAUUCUUACAUUUUUGUUAACAAUAAGAGAUGAAGAGGAGUUGGGUAUGGAGGUGAAGGUAUAAUUAAUGCAACCAACAAAUGAUACAGAAUAAGCUCAGAUCAAGAGAACAAUCGACCAAUUUUUCAACAUCCAAGUUCUUGUAAUCUCACAAACUCUCGAGACCCAAACCCAAUCAACGGAGAGAACCUUUAUUUGUUAAGGCUCCAUAUACUUUCUCGACAAGAACCGGAGAAGGAGGCUGUGGGGUGUUCGAUGGUUGAAAAGGGAACGUGGAUUAUGUUCUCCGACGGUUUCAACUCAUGCAUUCAAUUCCAGGCAAUAGCUGAGAUUUCGUAAUCUGUAUAUUGAGUGACUUUUUGGAGAGGGAGGGGCAGCGCGGGAACGAAAAGGAAAGGUAGCAGCCUCAAGCCUCGCCAAAAGCCCAAGAGAAUAUGCUCAGAUCAAGAGGACAAUCGACACAAUUGUCCCUUCCAAUUUUUGUCUCUCUUCCUUGAACUCUUAACUCAGCAUCUAUCCCUUUUACUCAGACAAAACUACCAGGCACUAAUAGAAAACUUCAUUUUGAUGUUUUUUUUUUUUUUUUAAAUCACAGAAAAAACCACUUUAUGUUGCUCAUAAAGACAGAAAAAACUUAAAAAUACAAAUUAAAAAAUCUUAAGGAAUUGAUUAACCAAUCCUUUUAGUUUUUUUAUGUUGUCUAUAAAGUCAGAAAAAACUUAAUAAUACAGAUUAAAAAAUCUUUGUACAAGAAAAAUAGGAUGAAUUUUUGUACAAGGAAAAAAAUUCCAAGUCAUGUAAUUCGAUUAUCAUUUUUUUUUUUAAAUUGUCUUAUGUCUCUCUCUCUCUUUUUCUUUUUAAUCUGUAUUAUAUAUUUUAAAAGAAUAAUUUGUUGCUAGUAAAUGAUAUAAGAUGAUUUGUAAUAGUGAAUAGAUAUAUUAUUUUAUUAGGUUACUUUAAUGAUAAAUCAAUAUAGUAUUUUUAUUUUUUUGGAUUUUCAUCUUGGAGAAACUCAAUAGGAUGAAAAUAUAAUAUUAAUCAAACUUCAAAUUAUAAUUAUUUAUCUAUCGAGUUAAAAAAAGGUACAAAGAGACGAAGGACUAUUUCAAUAUUAAUUAAUAAGAUUAUCCUUGUUGAUUUAAAGGACUAUUUUCAUCAUUUAUGUCGAAAAUAAUUAUGUUUUGCACAUGAUUUUUAACAACAAUCAUUGAAAGAAUGAUAUAUUAUUGAAUAUGAUCAAAUUUAAGGUUACAAAAAUAAUUAGUAUUCUUACAACCAAAGGAUUACCAAUACGGGAAUGAUGGUAAACCAAACUUUACAAAGGGACGAAGAACAUCCUUUGCAUUAGGAUGCUCCCACUCCACUACUGUCUCCCACCAUUCUUCUGGAUAUGCUCGGAUGUAUUUAAGAGAAAGGGGAGGGGAUGGCUGGCCAUUUUCAAGCAACGAAAGACAAAAUGACAUCCUCUUCAUCUUCUGACAAUUUCGUACUGUAAUGCUUUGGAGAGAAUCGCAAAUCAGUUUAGCAUUGCAAAUUCUUUUCAGUUCUGGUAACCAAAACAAUUCCAGAUUUCUUAACUUUGGGAGAAUGACUUCCGUGAUGGAAUUGGAGGUGCUGCUUUCUUCAUCUGUUGUUCCUAUUAUCUCCUCCAUUUUCUCACAAUUCUCCACAACAAUCACUUCCAGGUUUACGAGCUUUGGCAGCAACACAAGUCCCACCAUUCCUAUUGUCUCCCACCAUUCUUCUGGAUAUGCUCGGAUGUAUUUAAGAGAAGGGGGAGGGGAUGGCUGGCCAUUUUCAAGCAACGAAAGACAAAAUGGCAUCCUCUUCAUCUUCUGACAAUUUCGUACUAUAAUGCUUUGGAGAGAAUCGCAAAUCAGUUUAGCAUUGCAAAUGCUUUUCAGUUCUGGUAACCAAAACAAUUCCAGAUUUCUUAACUUUGGGAGAAUGACUUCCAUGAUGGAAUUGGAGGUGCUGCUUUCUUCAUCUGUUGUUCCUAUUAUCUCCUCCAUUUUCUCACAAUUCUCCACAACAAUCACUUCCAAGUUUACAAGGUUUGGCAGCAACACAAGUGGGAACAACUUCUUCAUACUGUUACAGAGAUAACAAUAAAACUCUUUAAGACCAGAAAACGUACCGUUACAUGAUGGAAAUCGUGGUGGAGCAUAGCAGAACCAAGAAGAUGAAACCAAGCUCUCCAUGCUACCGCAACCAUAAAUGAUGAUGUGCUCCAGUUCAGUUGCAUUCUCUAAUGACAAAACAUCACAUAAACUUCUUGUAUCGAUGCAUCGACAAACCAGUCCUUGAAUUCCAUUUAAGAUCAUGACCUGAAAAUCUCCAUCUCCGUUGAUACUCAAAUUACCCAACCCAACUGUUUUACUUGGAUAAUUUUUGCGUACCCAAAAAUCUCGAUCCACCAUUCCUACUAAAAUUGUGCAUGUGCUUAAUGAUUGAAUCCCAUCCCGAGAUCUGAGAUACUCCACGAAGUCAGGGAGACCUUCGAAAUGGCAUUCCAAAGUUUCCAGAUUUCUCAAGGAUCCUACUUCCUUUCCUUUAACUGUUAUCGGAGCAUCCAUAAACUCUUCUAGUACAAAGACUUGCAGGUGAGAGAGUUUUGGUAAUAUCCCACUAGGAAACUCCUUUUCACCACAUCCAUUCAUUCUAAGAUACCUCAGGUUGGUUAGGCAUUCCAUUCCUUGCGGCAUAUUUUCAAGCGCGGUACGAGAGAGAGCCAACCUCUUCAGUUCCUUGAGCUUCUUUAAUGAUGGAACAUGUUUUAAUUUCCCACAAGAAUUGAGCAAUAAUGCAGUGAGACUCACCAAAUCAGAGAAAGAGUCUGGCAAAUUUUCAAUACCUGUCCAAGACAGAUCGAGGACCUUGAGCCCAUGCAAUUGCUUGAAAAAUGAAUCCGCUAUAGAUCCCAACCGUUGAUUAUAACAUAGAAGCAGAGUGGACAGAUUUGAACAAAUUGGUGAAUGGCCGAAAGGAAUUUCUUCGAUCUCGUUUAGUACUAGUGAAACUAUCGUCAAAUUCUCCGUCCACUCCUCUGCAUCUGGCAACUCUUUUAAUUGCGCACCUGCUUUAACCAUGCCUUGAGAGUUCUCUAGCAGUAUUUGGAUGGCCAUGUCCCUAAUCAAGUCAUGCAUCUUGACACGUCUACAACCAAACAUCAUUUGAGCUCUUUCUAAUAGGCAAACAUAUUCAAGUCUAUUAAGCAUCGUGUGGCCCUCGUCAAAUGCAUCUUCCCUUCUCCUCAUUCCUUUAAUUAUUCCCUCGUCGAUCAAAUAACCUAUCAACUCCUCCCUUCCAAUCCAAUAAUCUUCAGGAAAUAAUGCACAGUACAAGAGACAUUGUUGUAGUGCUAGAUCAUCUAACCGAUCAUAACUAAACCUCAAUAACUUGAAUACUUCCUUGUCCCUAAAUUCUGAUUCUUUCAAUUUGUUCAAUGUAUUUCUCCACUCAUGUAGGUCAUCCACUCCCCUCAAGCUUCCUGCCACUGUAAUAAUUCCCAAUGGCAAACCAGCACAUUUCCUUGCAACAGCUUCCGCAAUUCCUUCCACUUCUGGUGAAAGUGCUACAUCAUGUCCAAGUUUCUCCAUGAACAAAAUCCAAGCUUCUCCCUUAGAAAGUGGCUUCACUUUGAUUUUGUGCUGGCAAGUCAUCCGAUGACAAACUGUUUCUGAUCGAGUUGUCAAAAUCAGCUUGCAUCCUUUCAACUUCUCAGGAAUUCCCACUUUGUGUAGCUCAAAAUUGUUCCACAAAUCAUCUAAAAUAAGAAUCCAUUUUUGUUUCUUCCUUAGUUCUUCUGACAAUUUAGCAGCUCUAUGCAGUUCAUCAUGUUUUCUUGAAAGAUCUAGAUCAAGAUGUUCAGCAAUAAGAUUCUGCAAUCUAUUAAUGCUGAAAUCUUGAGACACAGUCACCCACCAAACAUGAUCACAAAUAUCUGGUCUUUGUAGAAGCUCAUUAUGGAUAUGUUGCAGUAUUGUGGAUUUACCAACUCCCCCAUCCCAUAAAUGCCAAUGGUUGAGACUUCCCCAUCCAUUAACAAAGACCAUAUCUCAUUCGUAUUCUCUUCGAAUGCUUGACCCACUGGUUUUGUAGAGCUAGUAGGUAAUGGAACUCCUCUAGUCUUGUUGUAUUUCAGACUUUCAGAAGAUCUAGCUCCAGCACCAACCUGCACUGAUCUUCGACUAUUCUCCACAUCCUCCUCCACUAAUUCUGUCCUCACUCUAACCCGAUUAAUUCUCUCUUCCCCGGCACCUUGUUCCAGCACCCCCUGAACUCCCACUUGUAUCCUUCCAGCACCCCCUGCCAAAUUGCCAAGUACUGCAUUUCUUUGUUCCAACGAUCGAUCCACUUGUUCUGUCCUCGGUCUGCUCUUGAGUGCCCCUUCAGAAACUCCAUCUUCUUGUGCUCUCAUUCCGGUCAUGCUUACUACGUCGUUUCCUGCUAUUGCAUGUGAAGUAAUUCUCUCUUCCCCUACUCCGGGUUCUACAACCUGAACUUCUCGUUGUACCCUUCCAAUUCCUCCUUCCGUAUUUUCAAUCUCAAUGUUUUGUUCUUGUGGACAAGUUGAAAUUCCAAAAUCAUUAACAUUGACUGAACUUGCUGUGGUUUUAUGUCUUUUGUUGCCACCACACAUAGCUAGAAAGGCUGCUUCUUGAACUUCUGUAGUCACCCCAGGACAAAUGGCAACAUUAUGCCCUCUCUUUCUUGAUAAAUGCCAUUUGAUCCUCGAAAUGGAAGUAUCCUUGGCAUAUGUAUGUGGACAAAACUUACACUUCAUCCUACCAUCAGCCCUAUAUUCAACAUAAUUCCAAAACGGAUCAUUUGAUCCAACCAUUUCGACCUAUAGAAAAAAAGGGGGGGUCAAAAUAUAGAAUAAAAAUCAGUCAAAAUAAAGAAUAAAAAUCCUAUCUGGAUGGAUGAGAAACUACUUCAGUACUGUUACCCCUAUUUUGCUAUUAAAAUUGAGAGUUAGUUUAUAGCACAAUCAUAGGGGAAAAAAAGACUACGAUAAUUCAGUUAGACUUCUUACUUGUUGAGAAUUUAAACCCCUAUUUUGACUUUGCAAGGAAGUGUCAGGGCCAGGAUUUGAGGCAUUUGGCCUAGCAGUUUGAUUUCGCAAUCCUCGGACUUGGAGGUUAUCCAUCUGUGACCUAUAUAAAAAUGAAGUGAUCAUAUUAUAAAACCUUUCGAUAAUUGGUAGUCUCUCUCAAGCACUAAAAAUCAAUGGUGUAUCUAAUUAUCGAAAAGGUAUUAAUACUAUGUAGAAAACCUAAUUUUUUUUAUUACAGAAAAUACUAAAAAUGAAAAAUUGGAUACCAUGGAGCAGGAAAAGAAGGUCCAGGUUGAUUGAAGCCACCAUGUUGUGAAGUGGUUGCGUUCGGUGUCAUAUAGCCAUGUCCCGGCUGAGGUUGAUGAAUAAGGGAAUUAUGAUGCCUUGAUGGAGUUUGAGGCCAAUUUGGUUCAUUUUGGUUGAUCCAUGAUGAUGAUGUUCCAUCCAAACCUCCCAUUGUUGUCUGUUUGUUUAACAAUAAACAAUUAGAAGAUGCUCGAGAUAAAUCGAUACACUAAACUUUUUGUAUAAUACAAACACUUGCUAAUUCAAUGGAUAUUGUAGCGAAUUGGAGCAAGCAUGAGUACUCACCAUGGUUUCCGGAAAUGAAGUUGGAAACUGAGUUGUACUAUCGUUGAUCACAUUGUUCCAUCCAAACCUCCCUUGAUCAUUGCCUUGGUUGACUGGAACCUCCGAUGCCGGCCUGCUUCCAUGGAAUAAUAGGAUAAACUGAAGAAUAACUAAAUUGCAAGCAAUCAUCUUCUGAUAAAAUAUGCUUAAGAAUGACGUACGAGAGAAGCUCAGAUAUAUUGAAUGUAUCAUCUUCUGAUUGAAAAUCCAGCUGAUCCCAUGUCAUGUUGUCAACCUCCUCCAUAGAAGAUGGUUGGAACCCUUCCAUCUGACCAGAAAAGAUCAGAAAAGACAAAAAAAAAACUGAGGUCUAAAAUGAACAGAAAGCACAGAUCAGAAAAGAAUAUAUAUAUCCCAUUGCUGUCUGUUUGUUUAACAAUAAACAUUUUGAAGAUGCUCGAGAUAAAUUGAUACACGAAAACAUAAAACUUUUUUAUCCAAUGGGUGAUACAAACACUUGCUAAUUCAAUGGACAUUGUAGCAAAUUGGAGUAGGCAUGAGCACUCACCAUGGUUUGAGGAAAUGAAGGUGGAAACUGAGUUGUUUGUUGAAUACUAUCGUUGAUCACAUUGUUAUCCACUACCAUGUUCUGUCCAACAUGAUCAUUGCAUAACAUGAAGCUUUGGUUGCCUGGAACCUCCGGUGGCGACCUGCUUCCAUAGUCAGUAACAUUAUUGUUUCUUGGGAAUAAACUAUUGAAGAAUAACUAAAUUGCAAGCAAUCGUCUUCUGAUAAAAUAUGCUUAAGAAUGACGUACAAGAGAAGCUCAGACAUGAAUGUAUCUUCUAGUGAUUGAAGAUCGAACAGAUUCGAUGUCACGUUGACAUCAUCCUCCAUAGAAGAUUGUGGGAACCCUUCCAUCUGACCACAAGUACAAGACGAUUAGUAUGUACUGAGGUGGAAAAAGAACAGAAAGCUCAGAUCAGAAAAGAAUAUAUAUAUUAAAAAAAUAAUUAUGACUUGCUUAUUUGUUAAAGAAAUAAGGAUGAAAAAUAGGAAAUAUAAAUGUUGUUGUUAAUGAUUUAACCCUUUGUAUUUAAAGCUAAAUUAUCAUACUCAAAUUCUAUCCUAAAACUCUAGAAUGAUAGAUAGAAAGAUGCAGAAGAGGAUAACUGUUGAAGAAAGCAGGGGAAGGAAGGUCGAAGAGCUGAUUGUUUUGACGGGGUGAACAAAAACCUCUUUCAACUCCUAUUUAUUCAUAAUUUGGGGAGCAAAACAAAUGCAAGAUAUUGUUUUGUUCAAAAAGAUUCAGGUAAUUAUUGAUGAUCAAGUUAAUUCAUUGAAUCAUUGUAAGUUGAAAAAUAUUGAAUAAAAAUAAAUGGCAGUCCCAUUAAUUGGAAAAGAAAAGGGUGAAUCUAAAAUAAGGAGUUAAAAACAACAAAGAAUCUUGAAAAGACGAAAACAACGAAUUCAGUAUUAAUUUAGUAUGAACUCCACAAGGCAUGGAUUAUAAAAUCCGAGAAAAAGAUCAAUUUAUUUAUCAUGGAUUCCUUUAAAGAUUCAAACCAUACUUGCAUAUAUAAAAACAAAAACACCACCAAGAUAAAGUACAAAUAAUUAACCUGGAUUCAAGUGCUGGUUCGCUUGAGCAGUAAUCAGCCAAAAAAGAGAGGAGAAAUCACAUAAAUCUAGUUCGCACUGGUUAGAUGUGGAAAGGAAAAGAGGUAGAAGAUGAUUAGUACGUCCUGAGGAUUAAAAGAGAAGAGAAAUCACAGAUCGGAGAAGAUUAUAUGAUUAGAAAACUAAUAAAGUUGCAGUCUACAUAAAUUAUUGUUUUGUUAUAUGUGGAAGGAAGUUGCUAGGAAGCAACCCACUACUUUACCUACCCAAUUAUGAAAGCUUAGAAGAAGAUGCCUAGAAAAUGUGAUUAAUAUGUGAUUAAUAGGUGGUGGCCAAGAGUUUGGGACCAAGAGGUUUGAUUUCUAUGUGGUAUCAGGUUCGAGCCCUGGGUUGCUCAUAUGAUAGCCACUGGAGGCUUACAUAGUCGUUAACUUCAGGGCCUGUGGGAUUAGUCGAGGUAUGCGCAAGCUGAUCCGGACACACGUUUAACUAAAAAAAAAUACAUAUAUUAUAUUAUAAGAUAUAGAAAGUUAACGUGUGGACCCGCCCCAAUGUUGAAACUUCGAAGAAGCUGCCAAGAAAAUGUAAACACAUGAAAUUUUCAAAAAAGAAUAGUAUAUUUAUUAGGUUACUUUAAUGAUAAAUCAAUAUAGUUUUUAUUUUUAUUUUUUAUUUUUGGAUUUUCAUCUUGGAGAAACUCAAUAGGAUGAAAAUAUAAUAUUAAUCAAACUUCAAAUUAUAAUUAUUUAUCUAUCGAGUUAAAAAAAAAGUACAAAGGGAUGAAGGAUUAUUUCAAUAUUAAUUAAUAAGAGUAUCCUUGUUGAUUUAAAGGACUAUUUUCAUAUCGAAAAUAAUUAUGUUUUGCACCUGAUUUUUAACAAAAAUGAUUGAAAAAUGAUAUAUUAUUGAAUAUGAGCAAAUUUAAGAUAACAAAAAUGAUUAGUAUUUUUACAGAUGGAUAGAAUUGAUAAAUGAUGCAACAAAAAAGGAUACGUAUUAUUACAUUUAACGGAGUAAUUAACCAUUCUACAUAUUAAUUAUUUCGAGAGAAAAAGGUUCUUUGGACAUCCUUUGCAUUAUGAUAGAAUUGAUAAAUGAUGCAACAAAGAAGUAUUCUAACAACGAAAGGAUUAACAAUACGAAAGGUACAAUUCGAUUGAGAGAGAUUAUGCUUACCCUCUAUUCUAUAUUAUAUUAUAUUAAGGGCAGAGUAGUCUUCUCCUAUACAAAGUGUACAAAGGGAAGAAGGACAUCCUUUGUAUUAGGAUGCUCCCACUCCACUACUGUCUCCCACCAUUCUUCUGGAUAUGCCUUGAUUUUUCUAAGAGAAGGGGGAGGAGAUGGCUGCCCAUUUUCAUGCAACGGAAGACAAAUUGGAAUCCUCUUCAGCUUCUCACAAUAUAUUACAGUAAUAUAUUCAAGAGAAUUGCAUAUCAAUUUUACACUGCAAAUGCUUUUCAAUUCUGGUAAAUGAUACAAUUCCAAAAUUCUUAAGUUUGGGAGAAUGACUUCCGUGAUGGAAUUAGAGGUGCUGCUUUCUUCAUCUGUUGUUCCUAUUAUCUCCUCCAUUUUCUCACAUCCACUAAUUUCAAUAUGUGUAACAGGUUUAUAAGGUUUGGCAGCAAUACAAGUGGGAACACCUCCUUCAUACUGUUACAUCCACCACAAUAAAGCCUUUUAAGACCAGAAAACAUACCAUUAUAUGAUGGCAAUGGUGGUGGAGCAGAGCAGAACCAAGAAGAUGAAACCAUGCUCUCCAUGCUAUUGCAAUCCCCAAUGUCGAUUUCCUCCAGUUCAGUUGCAUUCUCUAAUGACAAAAUAUCACAUAAACUUCUUGCAUCGAUGCUUUCACAAACCAGUCCUUGAAUGCCAUUUAAGAACAUGACCUGAAAAUCUCCAUCUCCGUUGAUACUCAAAUUACCCAACCCAACUGUUUUACUUGGAAAAUAAUUAUUGCCAAACCAAUAAUUUAAACUCACCAUUCCUACUAAAAUUUUAUAUGUGCUUAAUGAUUGGAUCCCAUCCCGAGAUUUGAGAUAGUCCACGAAGUCAGAGAAACCUUCAAAAUGGCAUUCCAAACUUUCCAAAUUUCUCAAGGAUCCUACUUCCUUUCCUUUAACUGUUAUCGGAGCAAUCGUAAUCCCUUUUAUUACAAAGACAUGUAGGUGAGAGAGUUUUGGUAAUAUCCCACUAGGAAACUCCUUUUCACCACAUCCAUCCAUACUAAGAUACCUCAGGUUGGUUAGGCAUUCCAUUCCUUGCGGCAUCUUUUCAAGCCUAGUAUAAGAGAGAUCCAACCUCUUCAGUGCCGUGAGCUUCUUUAAUGAUGGAACAUGUUUUAAUUCAUCACACUUACUAAGCAAUAAGGCAGUAAGACUCGCCAAAUUAGAGACAGAAUCUGGCAAAUUUUUAAUACCUGUGCGAGACAGAUCAAGGACCAUGAGCCUAUGCAAUUGCUUGAAAAAUGAAUCCGCAACAAAUCCCAACCCUUUAUUAUCACAUAGAAAUAGAGUUGACAGAUUUGGACACAUUGGUGAAUGGUCGAAAGGAACUUCUUCAAUCUCGUUUUGCAUUAGUGAAACUAUUGUCAGAUUCUUCGUCCACUCCUCUGCUUCUGGCAACUCUUUUAACUGCGCACCUGCUUUAACCAUGCCUUGAGAGUUCUCUAGCAGUAUUUGGAUGGCCAUGUCCCUAAUCAAGUCAUGCAUCUUGACAUGUCUAAUAUCAUCAUAAUCCAUUUGAGCACUUUCCAAUAGGCAGACAUAUUCAAGUCUAUUAAGCAUCGUGUGGCCCUCGUCAAAUGCAUCUUUCCUGCUCCUCAUUCCUUUAAUUAUCCCGACAUCGAUCAAAUAACCUAUCAGCUGCUCCCUCUUAAUCCUAUGAUCUUCAGGAAAUAAUGCACAGUACAAGAGACAUUUUUGGAGUGCUGAAUCACCUAGCCGUUCAUAACUAAACUUCAAUAACUUGAAUACUUUAUUGUCCCUAAAUUCUGAUGCACUCAAUUUCUUCAAUGUACUUCUCCACUCAUGUAGGUCAUUCACUCCCCUCAAGCUUCCUGCCACUGUAAUAAUUCCCAAUGGCAAACCAGCACAUUCCCACAAAGCUUUUGAUUAUGUGUUAUGGGAAUACAUCAAUGAAGUAAUGGUUGCUAUGGGCUUCGGGAGCAGGUGGCGAGGUUGGAUCAUGCAAUGCAUUUCAAUAGCAAAGAUGUCUGUGCUAGUCAAUGGAUCUCCAACGACAGAAUUUAACUUGGAAAAAGGUCUACGACAAGGAGACCCCCUCUCACCUUUUCUUUUCAAUAUUGCAGUUCAGGGAUUGAGUUGUCUGUUGCAGCAAGGUUGUGAUUUGGGUUUGAUCGAGGGUAUUAAGAUUGGCCAGGAUGGAUUUUCAUUAUCUCAUCUUCAAUUUGCAGAUGACACUCCUAUAUUCAGCUCAAACUCUUUACUUGGUAUGCAGAAUAUCAAGCGCAUCCUUUUAUGUUUUGAAUUAAUGUCAGGUCUGAAGGUUAACUUUUGUAAAAGCAGCAUCUUUGGUGUGGGUAUAGAUGAUCAUAUAUGUAAUUACACUGCUCAAAUUCUUCGAUGUAAGCAGGAGCGCCUCCCAUUCAAAUAUCUUGGCCUCCCCAUUGGUGCAAACUCUUGUAGAACUUCGAUGUGGAAACCUAUUCUCCAUAAUAUCAGUGCUAGGCUGGCUUCGUGGAAAGGCAGACUUCUAUCUAUUGGGGGUAGAUUGUGCUUAAUCAAAUCUGUCUUAGGAAAUUUGCCCAUUUACUUUCUCUCUUUGUUUCCUAUGCCUGCGACAAUUGCAACCUCCAUUGAAAAGAAAUUCAGAGCCUUCUUGUGGUCAGGAAAAGAGGAAGGCAAAAAAAUAUGCAAUGUUAGAUGGUCAACUAUUUCUCUGCCGAAAAAUGCUGGUGGUCUUGGGAUCGGAUCUCUAAGGGACAAAAACAAAGCACUGAUGUUCAAAUGGUUAUGGAGGUUUGGGUCGGAGGAGUCGAGCAUGUGGAAAGAUGUGAUUACCAGCAUAUACAACACUAAAUGCUCCACAAUUAUUCCGAAAUAUCCUAUUGCAGGCACUGGAACAACUUGGUCUCGUAUUAUUAAUCAUUGUGUUUCAGAUUAUAGUCUGCAAGACAUUGUGAAACGUUAAGCUGUUAUGCUAGUUGGAAACGGUAAGAGGAUUAAAUUCUGGCUUGAUGACUGGACAUCUACUGGUCGCCUGGCAGAUCAGUUUCCUUCCCUAUUCCGGUUAUCCGAUGAUAAAGAAGCAAGCCUUGAUAAGAUGGGAAUAUGGGAUGGUCAUGCUUGGUUCUGGCUAUUAAACUGGACUAGACCCUUGCGAGGUAGAAACUAUAGUCUUCUAGACCAAUUGAAUGCCAUUCUUUUGAAAGUACAUCCGGAUAAAGAUGAUGAGGAUAGAUUAGUUUGGAAAGCCAACUCCACUGGUAGAUUCUCGGUCAAAUCUCUUUGUGGGCUGCUAAGUCCCAAUCCCCCUAUGGACACUAGCUUCUCUUUUUCUGGGAUUCGAAGAGGAAUCGUCCCUCCUAAAGUUGAAAUAUUCUGCUGGAUGGCUAUCAUUAAAAAAAUUAAUAAUCGUAGUAUGCUGGUCAGAAAAGGAAUUUUGGACAUCUCAGCUGCUGCAGCUUGUCCAAUUUGCUUUGUUGAGGAAGAAUCAGUGGAUCAUAUAUUGCUGCAUUGUCACAAACAUUGGAUAGUUUGGUCUAAAAUUAUCAAUUGGUGGGGCUUAGCGUGGUGUUGCCCAAAGGACUUGGCGGCUCUUUUCUCUUAGUGGGAUUCCUUGGUUUAUGGAAAAUUUCAAAAAAAAGCUUGGUUGAUGUUGUUCUUUUCAGUGACAUGGUCUCUUUGGCUUCUUCGUAAUGAUGUGAUAUUCAAGCAAACAACCCCGAAUUAUGAUACUUUGUUUAUCCUUAUUAUUACUCGUCUCUGCUUUUGGAUAAAGGCUAUAGAGCCUGAUUUCUCUUAUUCCGCUUCAGAAUUAAUAAGGUCAGCAGAAGGGCUGGUUCGAUGGACUAAUUCUUCAAAUCAUAGGGCAGUUGUUGUGUGGUCCCCCCCUAUGACUAAUUGCUUCAAAUGGAAUGUGGAUGGUUCCUCUCUUGGGAAGUCUGGCCCCUCAAGUAUAGGCGGAGUCUUGCGAAAUCAUCAUGGGAUUCUUCUUGGUAUAUUCUCCUCGCCAGUUGGGAUUUUAGACUCCAAUGUAGCUGAACUAAAAACGGUUGUCAAAGCUAUUGAAUUAUCAGCUUCUAACUGUCAUCUGCAUUAUAAACACAUUAUUGUUGAAUCUGACUCGACCAAUGUCAUUAGCUGGAUGAAUAACCCUCAUAAUAGACCUUGGCUGCAUCAUAAUCUUUUCUCCUCUAUUCAGAGAGUAGCUUCAUGUUUUGGUUCACUCACAUUCACUCAUUCUCUUCGUGAGAGUAAUCAUAUGGCAGAUCACAUGGCAAAAAAGGGGGUGUUUAGAAACUCUAAAUGGGUCGCUUGGCUCUAAUCUGCUUGAUAUUUGGGCCUUUCUUUUUUCUUUAAAUUCUGGUUGCGGAUGCAAAGGAAACUGGAUUGUUUCCCAGAUUACUCUAUUUUUAGAAAGGAGAAGAAUCAUCAAGCUAUACAGAAGCAAUUCCAGCUGGUCAGAUCUUUGUCUUUUGUGAAACUUCUUGGUUUCAGAUUCUGAUGUUGUAAGUCUAGGGGCUUUUGUUGAUGGGCUUCCUUUUGCCUGCUAUGAUUUUCUAUGUUAGUGUCUUGGUUCUUUUAUUGUUAAGUUGUCAAAGGCUUUCUGUGAAGAGUCCAUGGCUGGUAUUUUGUUUCGGAUAAGAAGAUGCAAGAUGGAAAGAUUUUGUUUUACUUCUAAUCUGGAUAUCGGUAGAAGUCUGUUUGGCUUCUCUUCCUGGUAUGGCUCCAAAUCUGCAUCUUUUAGCUGCUUCUUUGAUUUCUUGGCUUCAAAUAUGUAUAUUGUAGCUGCAUUUUGUUCUUUUCGUUUCUUGGUAUGUUGUUCAUUUCAUUGCAUAGUUCUGUUUAGGUGUCCUGUAAACAGAAUCUCUAUAUUCCCAUCAUCUAUUGGCGUCUUCUAAUGCAAUAUUAUACUUCUCAAAAAAAAAAAAAACCAGCACAUUCCCUUGCAAUAUCUUUUGCAAUUCCUUCCACUUUUGAUGAAAGUGCUUUGUCACAUCCAAGAUUCUCCUUGAACAAAGUCCAAGCUUCUCCCUCAAAAAGUGGCUUUACUUUGAUUUUGUGAUCGCAAGCAAUUCCAUGACAAACCAUUUCUGAUCGAGUUGUCAAAAUCAGCUUGCAUCCUUCCAACUUCUCAGGAAUUCCCACUUUGUGUAGCUUAAAAUUGACGUUUGGCAAUAAUAUUUUGCAGUCUAUUAAUGCUGAAAUCUUGAGACACAGUCACCCACCAAACAUGAUAACAAAUAUCUGGUCUUUGUAGAAGCUCAUUAUGGAUAUGUUGCAGUAUUGUGGAUUUACCAACUCCCCCCAUCCCAUAAAUGCCAAUGGUUGAGACAUCCCCAUCCAUUAACAAAGACCAUAUCACCUUCGUAUUCUCUUCGAAUGCUUGACCCACUGGCUUUGUAGAGCUAAGAGGUAAUAGAAGUCCUCUAGUCUUGUUGUAUUUCAGACUUUCAGAAGAUCUAGCUACAACACCAACCUGCACUGAUCUUUGACUAUUCUCAACAUCCUCCUCCACUGGUUCUGUCCUCACUCUAACCCGAUUAAUUCUAUCUUCCCCGGCACCUUGUUCCAGCACCCCCUGAACUCCAACUUGUAUCCUUCCAGCACCCCCAGCCAAAUUGCCAAGUACUGCAUUGCUUUGUUCCAACGAUCGAUCCACUGGUUCUGUCCUCGGUCUGCUCUCGAGUGCCCCUUCGGAAACUCCAUCUUCUUGUGCUCUCAUUCCGGUCAUGCUCACUACGUCGUUUCCCGCUAUUGCAUGUGAAGUAAUCCUCUCUUCCCCUACUCCAGGUUCUACAACCUGAACUUCUCUUUGUACCCUUCCAAUUCCUCCUACCAUUCUUGAAAUUCCACAAUCAUUAACAUUGAUUGAACCUGCUGUGAUUUUAUGUUGACAGUUGCCUCAUUUGCUGCUGAAGAAGAGGUCUUCGAUGCUGUGAAGAUCCAGUCAAGAUUGACUCCAGAUUGUUAGGAUGUUAGUUGCAAAUAAAGCUGUCAUAGAUCAGCUCUUUCUCUGUUUUUAUCUUUUCAAUAUUUUUCGGAAUUCUGUUAUCAAACUCUUCUAUAAAAGAGUGUUUUAUCAAUAAAGAAAGUACACUUCAAUUCACAACAUUUAUAUCUUUAUCUUAUUGCUGAGUUCUUGCCUGUUCUUAUACAAUUUGUUACUGUCGUAAACAACAAAUUGGUAUCAGAGCACAUUGAUUUUAAAGGGACCAGCUUGUGAGAAAGAGAGAAACCUGUGAGAAACCCUUCUUCCACCAAAAAACCACAAAACACCAAAACCAAAACCUUUCAUCAUUCUUUCAAAUGGCAUCCAACACUUAUUCUCUUGCAACACCACCAGUAUUUACUGGUGUGAACUACCAAAUGUGGGCUGUGAGAAUGAAAACUUACUUACAAGCCUGCGAUUUAUGGGAUGCUGUUGAACAAGAACAUGAACCUCAGCCUCUUCCUGCAAAUCCAACCAUAGCCCAAAUCAGAAAUAAUCGUGAGGAGAGAUCAAGGAAGUUCAAAGCCAAAACUUGUCUCUAUGCUGCUGUUUCUGAAGCAAUAUUUCCAAGAAUAAUUGCUUUUGAUACAGGCAAACAAAUAUGGAAUUAUCUCAAGGAGGCGUUCCAUGGUAAUGAGAGGACAAUUCAAAUGCAGGUUUUGAAUUUGAGAAGGGAGUUCGAAAUGCAGAAGAUGAAGGACUCAGAAACUAUCAGAGAUUUUUCUGAUAGAUUACUCUCCAUAGUCAACAAAAUAAGACUAUUGGGAGAGGAGCUUUCUGAUCAAAGGGUUGUUAAAAAGAUCCUUGUGACUUUACCCGAGAGGUUUGAGUCAAAGAUAUCCUCAUUAGAAGAAGCCAAAGAUCUGUCAAAAAUAUCUUUGGGAGAAUUGUUAAAUGCCUUACAAGCUCAAGAACAAAGGAGAACUAUAAGGCAAGAAGAAUCCAUGGAAGGAGCUUUUCCAGCAAAGGUGCAAGUCCAAGAAGGUGACAAAGGGAAAAGGAAGAACAUCAAAUACAAGGGAGCAGGCAGUAACAAUCGAAGAAUUGGAACCUUUCCCCCUUGUCAACACUGUAAGAAAACAAAUCACUCACAAAACUACUGUUGGUGGAGACCUGAUGUUAAAUGCAGGAAAUGCAAUCAGCUGGGACACAUGGAAAAAAUCUGCAAGAACAGAACAAAUCAAUAGCAUGAAGAGGCUCAAGUUGCUGAUCAACAACAGGAGGAACAAUUGUUUGUGGCCACCUGUUUUGUAAGCAAGCAUGCAAGUGAUUGCUGGUUGAUAGACAGUGGUUGCACAAAUCACAUGACAAAUGAUGUGAAUUUGUUCAAACAUCUUGAUAAAUCAAGUGUCUCAAAAGUCAGAAUUGGUAAUGGCGAAUAUAUUCCUGUCAAAGGAAAAGGGACAGUGGCCAUCGAAGGGAAUUCAGGUAUUAAACUCGUUUCAGAUGUCCUUUUUGUACCUGAAAUCGAUCAAAACCUGUUGAGUGUUGGCCAACUUCUUGAAAAAGGAUACUCGGUUGUUUUCAAGAACAAACACUGUUUAAUUUCUGAUCCUACUGGAUUAGAGAUUUUCACCAUAAAAAUGCAAGGGAAAAGCUUUUCUCUAGAUUGGAUGGAAGAGGAGAUAGCAGCAGUAUCAAACACAACAAAUGAAGCUGAAUUAUGGCAUAAGAGGAUGGGCCACUUCAAUCAAGCAGCUUUGGUUCAUAUGCAGAGAAGGAAGAUGGUGAGAGGGGUGCCCAGCCUAGAAGAAAAAAUCACGGUUUGUGUUUCUUGUCAAUAUGGCAAGCAACACAGACUUGGAUUUCCUCAAAACAAAGCUUGGAGAGCAAGUGAAAAACUUCAGCUUAUUCACACUGAUGUUGCAGGCCCUCAGAUGACAGAUUCAUUAAAUGGCAGCAGGUAUUAUGUUGCUUUCAUUGACGAUUAUACAAGAAUGUGUUGGGUGUAUUUUUUAAAAUCCAAAGCUGAAGUAGCAGGUGUCUUUUUGAGGUUUAAAAACUGGGUUGAAAAUCAAAGUGGUCAUAAAAUUCAGAUUGUGAGGUCUGACAAUGGCACAGAAUAUACUUCAAACAAAUUUGCCCAGUUUUGUCAUGAUGCAGGGAUUGAACAUCAAUACACUACACCUUACACACCUCAGCAAAAUGGUGUGAGUGAGAGGAAGAACAGGACAAUCAUGGAGAUGGCAAGGUGCUUAUUAUUGAGAAAGAUUUGCCCAAGAAAUUCUGGGCAGAAGCUGUGAACACUGCUGUGUUCUUGUUAAACAGGCUGCCAACAAGAGCAUUACAACACAAAACACCUUAUGAAGCUUGGCAUGGUUAUAAACCCUCACUUCAAAACUUAAAAGUGUUUGGAUGCUUAUGUUUCACUCAUAUACCUCAGGUGAAAAGAGAUAAGCUUGACAGGAAGGCUGAAGCUGGAAUUUUCGUUGGCUAUAGCAAUGUCACAAAAGGCUAUAGAGUUUAUCAACCUGCAACUGAAAAGUCAUAAUCAGCAGAGACAUUAAAUUCGUUGAAGCUGAAAAAUGGAAUUUUGAAGAUACAACAAGCAAUGCAAGUAAGGAGAUCAUGCAAGAUUUUGAUAAAGAUGUUGAUGACACACCAGUCAGAGGAACCAGACUUCUUGCAGACAUUUAUCAAAGCUUCAAUGUGGCUGUGCUUGAACCUGCAGAAUAUGAGGAGGCCAAAAAUGAUCCAAGAUGGGUCACAACAAUGAAAGAAGAGCUAAGCAUGAUUGAGAAGAAUCAAACAUGGGAAUUAGUGGAUAUGCCGACACACAAAAAACCCAUUGGUGUGAAAUGGGUUUACAGAACAAAAUUGAAUGCAGAUGGCACUAUCAACAAACACAAAGCUAGGCUUGUGGUCAAAGGCUAUGCACAAGUCUUUGGUGUGGAUUUUUCAGAAACAUAUGCCCUAGUAGCUCGACUUGACACCAUCAGAAUGUUGCUAGCAAUUGCAGCUCACAAAGGUUGGAAAAUAUUUCAACUUGAUGUGAAGUCUGCAUUUUUGAAUGGUUACCUGCAGGAGGAGAUUUACGUGGAACAACCUAAAGGUUUCAUGGUAGAAGGAGAAGAAGACAAGGUUUACUUAUUGAAGAAAGCUUUAUAUGGACUGAAACAGGCUCCAAGAGCCUGGUAUAGCAGGAUUGAUGAGCAUUUACUCAAACAUGGCUUCAACAAAAGUUUAAGUGAAUCGACCUUAUAUAUCAAGAGUUCAAACACUGGUUUUAUGGCUGUUUCACUUUAUGUGGAUGAUUUAUUUGUUACAGGUAACAAUUCAACCAUGAUGGACAUCUUCAAAGCUGAAAUGAUGGAAGUUUUUGAGAUGACAGACCUUGGUGAAAUGUCCUAUUUUCUUGGCAUGGAAGUGCAGCAAAAUCAGCUUGGGAUCUUUGUUUGCCAACAAAAGUAUGCCAAAGAGAUUCUGAAGAAAUUCAAAAUGGAAGACUGCAAAUCAAUGACCACGCCCAUGAAUUUGAAAGAGAAGUUCAGUAAAGAAGAUGGGGCAGACAAGGUGGAUGAAGCAAUUUACAGGAGCUUAAUUGGGUGUCUAAUGUACCUUGCGGCAACAAGGCCAGACAUCAUGCAUGCAGUGAGCUUAUUAUCUAGGUUCAUGCAUUGUGCUAGUGAAAUACACUUCAAGGCUGCAAAAAGAGUGGUGAGAUACAUAAAAGGUACACUAAACUAUGGCAUUCAGUUUAGUUGUGCUGAAAAUUUCGAGCUACAAGGAUAUGCAGAUAGUGAUUGGGCUGGCAGCUGUGAUGAUAUGAAGAGCACGUCUGGAUAUUGUUUUAGUUUUGGAUCAGGAAUUUUCUCCUGGUGUUCCAAAAAACAAGAAGUUAUUGCUCAAUCAACGGCAGGAGCAGAGUAUGUUGCAGCUACUGCAGCUGCAAAUCAAGUCUUAUGGCUUAGAAAAAUCCUAGCAGAUCUGGACAUGGAGCAAAGGGAAGCUACUAAAGUUAAUGUUGACAAUCAAGCUGCAAUUGCAAUAUCUAACAAUCCAAUUUUCCAUGGGAAAACAAAGCAUUUCAAGCUCAAGUAUUAUUUUCUAAGAGAAGUUCAGAAAAAUAAAGAACUGCAACUGAUUUAUUGCAAGACAGAAGACCAGCUUGCUGAUAUAUUAACCAAGCCAUUGCCAAAAGCAAGGUUUGAAACUUUGAGGAACAAGAUAGGAGUCUGCAGCAAAAGAUGCAAGGAGGAGUGUUGACAGUUGCCUCAUUUGUUGCUGAAGAAGAGGUCUUCGAUGCUGUGAAGAUCCAGUCAAGAUUGACUCCAGAUUGUUAGGAUGUUAGUUGCAAAUAAAGCUGUCAUAGAUCAACUCUUUCUCUGUUUUUAUCUUUUCAAUAUUUUUCGGAAUUCUGUUAUCAAACUCUUCUAUAAAAGAGUGUUUUAUCAAUAAAGAAAGUACACUUCAAUUCACAACAUUUAUAUCUUUAUCUUAUUGCUGAGUUCUUGCCUGUUCUUAUACAAUUUGUUACUGUCGUGAACAACAUUUUAUGUCUUUUGUUGCCACCACACAUAGCUUUCCAAGCUGCUUCUUGUUCUUUAGGCACCCCAUGAAAAAUGAUGGUCUCAUUGUAUGGGUGACGAACCCCAGAAAAAUGAUGGUCUCAUUGUAUGGGUGACAAACCCCAGAAAUAUGAUGGUCUCAUUGUAUGGGUGACGAACCCCAGAAAAAUGAUGGUCUCAUUGUAUGGGUGACGAACCCAAGAAAAAUGAUGGUCUCAUUGUAUGGGUGACGAACCCCAGAAAUAUGAUGGUCUCAUUGUAUGGGUGACGAACCCCAGAAAUAUGAUGGUCUCAUUGUAUGGGUGACGAACCCAAGAAAAAAUGAUGGUCUCAUUGUAUGGGUGACGAACCCCACGUGGAAAAAAUGUGAAGUGCGGUCUCAUUGUAAUGGGUGACCUACCCACGUGGAAAGAAUAUGAAAAAGUGGUCUCGUUGUGAUGGGCGACCUACCCAAAUAGAAAGAAUGUGAAGUGCGGUCUCAUUGUAAUGGGUGACCUACCCAGAUGGAAAAAAUGUGAUAUGACAAGUGUGAAAAAUAGGACUUACCUGGCGAAGUUCUGAAGGGAUGAUAGAAGAAAGGGCUGGAAAACUUGGUGCUUCCUGAUAAUUCUUGAUCAUAGGGUUUGAAAACUCGGUGUUUCCUGACUGCAAGGGUUGAAAACUCGAGGCUUCCCGAUUGCAAGGUUGAUCUUUUCAUUUCUUUGGGAUUUUCCUAAUGGUAGGGUUCAUCCCAUCGUCCUUUUAUUCCAUGAUCAAAACCGAUUCUUUAUUUAUCAUCACCACAAUGCUUCUUUCUCUUUCCACCAUCUUGCUGGACCCCAUUAGGGAUUUUCCUGUAACAAUUCAAAAAUACGUGCAAAUGUUUUUUUUUUUUUUUAGGUUAGAUGAUAUACAUGCAUCCUUACCUGAUUUGAAAUAUAGGUCCCCCCCUCUUUGAUGCUCCAUCGCCAUAGGGUGCCUUUGUUUGCAUUCCACAGCAUUCCUUGUUCUUUCGAUGUAUUGGCUCAUUCAUGUGCUAGCCAUCCACUCAACUGUAAAUGCAGUGCCCAUCCCGGGUUGUCUUUGACAAUUACUGCUCGCAUCGUUCAUCAAGCUUGACCCUGCCCCCAAGUGUGGUGCUGCUUGAUUCAUUAUGAAGGAUUUUCUCUCUUGGAUUCUUCUGAGAGUUAUCCUUUGAUUGAUUGUGUGCAUCAUGUCCAUACCCCAUCAAGAUUGUUAAUCAGUCAUUGUAAGCGCGAUGUAUUUCUCUAUGGAUUCCUUUUAGCUUGUCAAAUCAGAUCGUGAAAGCAACUGCUUUGGCAUCAUCAAUGAUGUUCAUGUUAUCACCCAUAUUCAUGCGGUGAAGUGCGCAUUUGAGCUUCAGAAUAGAUGGUCCCAUAGUCAAUCUUGGUGGUAUGCAUAUGUUCGAUGUUCAUUCAAAUGCACUCACCCGAUAACAUCUGUCAGGAGUCAUAGCCAUGUUUUACAGGGUAACCCAAGAUGAAGAUAUGAAGAUAUCCUUCAAGUGCAGCGUUGCUCAUCAAUUGCUGCUGAAGUGCACUAGAUCAUGGAUUGUGUUUGAACAACAUUGCCCCCAAUAUGAUCUGAAGGUUCGCUCAUCGGUUUAUACUCAAGAAGGUUUUUCUUUAUCAUUGUCAGAUGUUAAAACUUUCCGGGACUUUGAUGACUCAUCAUCUGAUUCUUUCUUUGCCCCUAGCUGAUCAGGAUAUUGUUUGUUUUCCUUCUUCGGGUCCACUGUAUUGCCCCCAAGUGGUCAACCUUUCAAGGAGUUUUGAGAAGAGUUGAUGUCAUUUUUGUCAAGGACUUUGCAAACUCAAUUGAUGUUCUUGUUUGAAAAUCUUUCUUGUUCUGGAAUCAAAUCUCACAUUUCAACGAUCAUGUCUAUUCAAGUCUAAUUGUUGAAAUGAAAUCAGAGAGAUGUCUGUUUUUGAAAUUUUUUUUUUUUUUUUUUGAAAUUCAAACUUCUUUGGUCAAAGACCCAACACACUAUUCAAUGCAGUCCUUUGAUUGUCUUGUAUCUUGAAAACAGAAAUGAACCGUUGUAAGAUUUAAAAUGACUUUUUCAUGGUUCUUUGUGUCCACUUUAAACUCUGAUUUUGGGUAUAUCUUUUGAUGGUCUGUGCUGAGGUGACAUUUUUAUGAAUUUCAAAUGACUAGAUGCUCAGGCUUUAUCAAGAAAGGUUGUUUCUUUUCUUAGCAUUUAUUUUAUCAGCAUGCAUAAUAACCAGUAGCUUAAUUCAUGAAGUCACGACCCUUAUGGAAAAGCUCUUCAAGUUUUGAGAGCGCCAUUUUUCGAUUCAAAUUGCUUGCUUGAUUAAAAAGGGCUUUUAAAAGCACGUAAUGCAGGCUAUGGUUCAUGGCUAUGAAAGAAAAGAAUUGCAAAGGCUCAAAAGGUGUUUGAGGGUUUCAAACUUAGGAUCAACAUUAACUAUUCAUCGAUUCUCUUUCUCUUGUCGUCAUUGUAGAGAAAGUGACAUAUAACCUUGUUAAUCUUAAAUAUCAGACUUCUCUUAACAUAAGUCAUAAUGCAAAUCCACUUUUCCUUGAUGAAUAACCAACCUUAAUCAUCUGAUAACAUCGUAGGCUUUAUAAUGGAUCCCAAAAGUCAACGUUUAUAGCUUAGUCUUUUUUCUAGUAUUGACUUUUGUUGUGCCUCUCUUUGAUUGAAAUUUCUUUUGCUCUUCCUAGACUUGAUAGACGUUUUCCUUCCUUUACCUUUGACUUGUAUUUAAGUGAAGGCAAUUUCAACUUCUUCUUUUUUUCGUUUUUUUUUUUCAUUCUCUUUUUUCAUAGCCUUCCUCAAAAUUUUCUGAUAUGCCCCCAUGUCUAUGUGUUUUCUUUUACCUCUCUCUCAAUCAUUGGACCUUUGUUCUAAGCCUUCCCCUUUAUCCAUUAAUUAUAUCAAUGUCUCCAAAAUAUCUCUCAUUUGCCCCCAAUGUGGGGUGUGAUCCUAGUCAGGGUUUCUUUUUUUAAAAGAAAAUAUUUUACCAGGCUCAAAAUGGGACUGCAAGGGAUAUAAUCUUUAGAAAGUGAAGGGAUAUCAAAGAUGGCCUUUUCUCAUUUCAAACAAGGUCGGUUAGAACCGAUAAAUUUUGACCUCAACCAGUGUAAUGAUUGGGACUUGUAAGAAUCAUGAUUCACGAGUCCAUAACUACCGAAUCCACUACAUGUCAUUAUGCAUAUUGUUAAAACUUAGCUAUAUGAUGUGUGGUUCAGUUUCAGGAGGUAUGAGUUUAAAAUUGUUUAGUCACCUCAUGUCGUUUUCAAGCAUCGAGUCAUUUCUGUAAUCGAAACACUUUUAAUCUUCCGCAAUGAUUAACUUUUAUCGCAUGUUGGAGUUUGAUCAAAAUAUUUUGUCAGAAUAAAAUGUUGAACAUCUGUUGAUUUCAAAACAACAAAGAGACAAAAGCAAGGCAUGUUUCGUUGAAGGAUGAGAUGUGAUCCCAAAACAAAAUGCAGAAUUCCAUAACAAUAUGAUUGACUGUUCAUCACCAUUCUCGAAUCAGCUUUUCUGGCAAUAUCUGUGUUUAGCAAAGCAUUUUCGAUCACAUGUGAUUCUGAAGUUGUUCGGGGAACAAUAUAGCCAGUGACACCCUUCUUCAACGACUCCACCUGUCUCUUGCUCACCAACUUUCAGACUCCAUUCUUGCAAUUCUUGAAACUAUUCACUUGAAAUGGUUGAGGACCCCACCAUGACAUCACAUCUCUUAUCUGGAUUAUACCACUGAGAAAUUGGUGGUUGCAUGGGAAUUUGUCGGAGUCAAGCAAAAUUCUGGAAUCAUGCGGAUGCUGGUUGACAACUUAAACGGCAGAGGAAUGUCCCAUCUUGGCAAAGAUAUUUGGGCAAUUGAUGCUGUCGUGAGACCUGGCUAUACCACAUAAUUAAGGGUUCACAACGUCAAAGUCAUCUCCUGAUUCACCUCUCAUCAUUGUUCUAAGAAUUCAUGGCAGAUCCUUCAAUCUUUCCUCUCUUCAUAACUUGUUCAAUUUCGUCAGCAAUCCUCACAACAUCAUGUCAAUCUUCCAAUGUUGUUGUGGUUUGAGGAUUGUUGGAACCCUCUUAAACCCUCUUAAUUCUGGCAGCGCCCAAAAACAAAAGCGUGUGGAAUCACACAUUGUCAAAAUUGGAAGAGAACCCGAUGAAUCUACAACAUCUUCUAUUUCCUCUUUGAUUCUUCACUGAUGGUGCAGCAAACAACCACUUUUGUGUUUUAAUGCCGAUACUGGAAAAAGAAAAUUAUGGACAAUCUGAAACCAAUGCAUCCCUUCUUGGAUUUCCCAUUUGCAUAUCCCCAAACGGAUUCAUGUCGAGAGAUCUCUGCUACGUUGAAUUUGGAUGUCUGCUCAUGUUUUUUCAAACCAAGUCUGGCUCUUCAACCUGCUACAGUUUCUUCACGUUGAAAUCGAUGAGAGAAAUAUUUGUAGCAUAUGCAAUUAGUAAAUCCCCUCUUGCACUCUCACCUUGCAGCAUCAUCAACAGAUUUUUGUAGAGAGAGCUCUGCCACGUUGAAGUUUGACGACUACUCAUAUUUUCAGACCAGGCUUGACUCCUCUGUCUACUACAAAGUUUUGCUCGUGCCACAUGUAGAAAUUCAGUGUCUAAUCAUGGUUUUUCAGACCAACAUCUUGUGCUGCUGAAAUGGAAUUAAGCUCAUAAUAAGGGCAGCUUCCAAGAAGACUAAUGCAUCAUGUACAGGAGACCGGUUGUUUUUUGGUUCCAUUAGAUGAUGUGGAGGCGAUGAACAUUUAACAAUGCAACUGGAUAAGAACCAGAGUUGUCAUUAGUUGAUGACUGAAGGCGUUGUUGCUUUUGUUCAUGACGAAAAAGGAGAGAUACAGCUUCAAUUAGAUGUGAAGCAGUGUUCCCACAGAAGACUGUGCAGAUAUUCUCUUUCCAUUUGAUGCUCAACACUUGUUCGAGCAGAUCUGAGUCUAACUACUUCACAUUUAAUGCUCUCAACCUUAAUCUGAUAAUGAGCCUCUAUCUGACAUCUUUCUUCACCUCCAUCAUUUUUUCUCCAAUCACGUGCAGCACAACUUGUGUGGGGGACCUACCUUUCAACCCGGUACAUGCAUGAUAAAUGUAUGAACAUGUAAUCUAUAUGAUAAACUCACCCUUCGAGGGGUGACAAUAUGGUCGUAACUCUUGUAUGAUGGACAAGAAUCGUGAUUUUUGCCCAAACUCUACAAUGAAAAUUUUCGGAGCAACGGCCAAUGUGUCACCCACAAGUCUUGAGUUCAAGAUGCUUCAAGAAGGGUUUGCCCUUAAAAAACGAUAGCACAUACAACCUAAGGACAAGUUCUAUUCAUUAUGUGAACAUGGGUAGGUUUUCUAUCUGGUCUCAAAAGGGUCUCAUAUCUGCCCAGUGACAUUCUUCGUAAAGACAGUAUGGGGGCGUUGCAAAGAAUGGUUAAGGCACGUAUACCCCCCAUUACCAAGCAGGCACUCAGAUAUAAGUUGGGUGUUUCACGCAUCUGAACCCUGACCAAUAGUCUUAGGGCAGAUCGCUAGUUCCCCACCUAACCUAGAAACUUGUGUGUGCUUUUAAAAAUAAAUACAGGUGAUGCAUGAGACAAUUCUAUAAAAUGCAUGGAAAUAAAUAUUAACAAAAAGAUAAAAAUGCAAAAACUUAAACACAUCAAAUACACAAAGCUUAGUCCAAUAAUCGAAAAAAUACCUUCCGCAGUGGAGUCGCCAUUCUGUCGCACCCCAAAAAAAUCAGCGCGCGACAUCUGCUGGCGAUUUUUAUCGUUGUCGUGUUGUGUUUGAAUUUGGUUCGUUGGAGUCGCCACCUAGUAAUUGAUUUCGGGUUACUAGGAAACCGGAUGUACUGGUCUUGUCAGAGAUUCGCGGGUAAGGGACUGGUUGUGGUUAGGGAAGGUAUUAGCACCCCUAACGCACCCUACCUGAGGUAAGCUGCUUCGUGGCUUUGACGUGUUAAAGAAGUUUUAAUAAUUGUCUUUUCAUCAGAAAUUAGAAAUAUCACUUACGUAUAAGUUAAUAAUUCUUAACCGUGAUCCGAUCAAAAUAUUAAAUUCUUCUUUAAUAUAUUUGCAAUUUUAUCCUAAAAUAUAUAUAUAUAUAUAUAUAUAUAUACAAAUAAAUAAAACAAAAUACAAACACACCCAUUCACUAUUUUCAUUUCUUUUAUUUUUCUUUUCUUUUUUCUUUUCUUUUACAUCCACAAUACAAAUACAAAUACAAAUACAAAUUCAAAUUCAAAUUCAAAAUAAAUAAAUAAAAAUACACCAACACACACAUCCCCUUUUUUAUUAUUAUUUUUUUUUCUUUUCUUCUUUUUUUUUUCUUUUACAUUCACAUAUUACAAAUUUAAAAUAAAUAAACAAAAAUUACAUUAAAACUUUAAAAUUUACAAAAUGGUCCCUCAAAACUCCCGAAAUUGCAGGGAAGGACUUCUGCACCCGAAUGAACAGUUCUGGCGCGUCUUCCCACGUGCCACCGCCACUGGGAAGGACUUUGUGGGUUCACGCGCCGCCCAGAAAUUCAGGCGGCGUGAGGGGGCUGCAAUGGCUUCCUCCCCUCUUCAAUCUCUUGUUGUCUGUCACCUGCAAAUCCAAAAAAAAAAAAAAAACACAGCAAGGGCAGUCGAUUUUAAGUUUUUUUCUUAGUUUUUCAAAUCUGUUUUUUUUGUUCUUUCUUUUCAGAUCUGCAGUUCAUCCCUUCUCCUUCUUCGGAUCUGCUUCUCCUUCUCUUCGUCUCGGUUUCGGAUGGCCGGAGGUUGUAGGGGGAGCUGUGAGCGGUCAGUUGAAGAAGGAGCCCGGUGGCGGUCUGUGGAGAUAUGGUCGUGGCUGAGGAGAGACGGCCUGGUGCGCGGCUGUCCGAGUGAGAGAGAUUCUGGUGAGGGGCUGUAGGUGCUGUGUGGAGAAUGGCCGACCGAUCUACGACUGAUGGCGCCGUUGUGGUGGGCGGAGCUGCUGUGGUGGACGGCGCUGCUGGCUCCUACGGAUGAAGAAGAAAGGCAAGCCGGCUUGGAGAAGGAGUGGCCAAGAGUGGGGAGGGGAUGAUGGCUUUGAAAUGGCCGAGAAGAAGGGAAAAUCUGGUGAUGGGGGUGGCGGCCGGUUCUGGUUAGAGAGGGCAGAUUUGUGGCUGUUCGUUGGGGAGAAGAGAAACAAAAAAUGGCCUGGGGUGAGGCUUGUCCGGCGGCUGAGGGGAAGAAGAAAUUCAAACCGGCUGGGGGCUGCUGUUUAGCCGGUUCUGGGAGAAGAAAAAUUCAAAAAAAAAAAAAGGUGAGGGGCUGGCUUUUUGGUUGAGCGGCUGCAGGGAGAAGAGAAAAAAUCAAAAGGUGGGGGGGCGGCGGCUGCCUUCAUAAGGGGAGAAAAAAUUAGGCUCCUAGGGUUUUCUUUUUUUUGUAUCUUUUUUUGAUAUUUCAAAAUUGCCCCCCCCCCUUUAAAAAUCAGUUUAGCAUGGUAUUUAUAGGCAAAAAUAUUGCUAGGUUUUUCGACUUGGUCCCUCAACUUCUUUCUUUUUGUAAAUUUUGAUUUUUCUUAUUUUUUUGUAUUUUUUUGAAAACGAGCAAUAUCAACGUCGACUCAAAUGCGGAAAAUCAAUGAUUUUUAAAAAUGACGCGUGAAAAGUCGAAUGCGUUUGAAAAUAUUUUAACAAUUUAAAUUCUUUUUUAGACGACGUUGAAAAUGCUAAAAUGACGAAAAUAUAUUCAAAACACAUUUUUUGGAUUUUCUUUGUUUUUCUCAAUUUUUUGGAUUUUUAAAAAUAUAUCAAAACAUGGGUCAAAAAUUGGGUAGCAACAAUUUUAACAAACUUGUAAAUUAAGUUAAUUUUAUAUAAAAAAAAAAGAAUAAAAAUUAAUAAAUUAAAGCUGAAUUAUAACCAGCCUAUAAUAAAAUAAACAAAAACAAAAUUUUAAAAACAAAACAAAAAAGGCAAAACACCUUGAAUUACAUACUAUUGUAAUUUACAAUGAAAUAGGUGUGGAUAUAUAGUGAUUCUCCCAAGUCUCUUAGCUUUUCUUUUAAUGAAAAUUAAUAACUGUAUAAUAUACUUGUUGCAACUAAGUCAUUUAAUAAAUGUCCUAGUCUUUAGGAUUAAGAGAUAAGAUUUGAUUUAUUCCUUGUUUACUAAACCACGUUUGUAGGAGUGCUAAACGUGGGUUGCAUAUUUUUCUAUUUUCUGUUGUAAUAGUUGAUAUAUAUAUCAGCUCUAUUUCAUUGAAUAAACGUACUUUCCAUUCUCUCCAUAGUGGUAUCAGAGCACGUUACCAUCAGGGCCUGAUUGAGAAAUAUAAGAACCUGCAGUGUUCUUGUGAAGAGAGAGUGCAGAGAAGGAACAAAGUGAGAGUAGGAUGGCAUCCGAAGGAAAUUUUGUUCAACCAGCUAUUCCCAGGUUUGAUGGUCACUAUGAUCAUUGGGCCAUGCUGAUGGAAAAUUUCCUACGAUCCAAAGAGUAUUGGAGUUUGAUUGAGGCAGGAAUUCCAACAGUUGGAACUGGAACAGAACAGACGGAGGCACAACAAAAGACUGUUGAAGACAUGAGGCUGAAAGAUUUGAAGGUAAAAAAAUAUCUCUUUCAAGCCAUUAUGGAGACAAUCUUGAAUAGAGAUUCAGCAAAAGGAAUAUGGGAUUCCAUGCAUCAAAAGUAUCAAGGAUCUACUAAGGUGAAACGGGCUCAACUACAAGCAUUACAGAGAGAAUUUGAGCUUCUUGGAAUGAAAGCAGGAGAGAGUGUUGAUGACUAUUUCUGUAGAACUCUUACCAUUGCCAACAAGAUGAAAUCUCAAGGUGAAUGCAUGGAACAAACUGUUAUCAUUGAGAAGGUUCUACGAUCCAUGACAACAAAGUUUGAUUAUGUCGUGUGCUCCAUCGAAGAAUCAAAUAAUCUUGUUAUCAUGACCAUUGAUGAACUUCAAAGCAGUUUGCUUGUGCACGAGCAAAGAAUGAAGGGCCACAAAGAGGAAAAGCAAGCUCUAAAAGUUACUGGUGGGGAGAGGUUUGAAGCAAGGGAGGAUGAUAGAAUUGGGAGCAGAAACAAAAGUCGUGGAGGAUUCAGAAGCAGAGGCAGAGGUCGAGGAAGGCAAUCUUUCAACAAAGCUCUCAUUGAGUGCUAUCGUUGUCAUAAACUACGACAUUUUUCUUAUGAAUUUCCUAGUUGGGAAAAGGCAGCAAAUUAUGUGGAACUAGAAGAAGAAGAUGAUAUGUUGCUCAUGUCAUACGUGGAACCUAACAAUUCCACCAAAGAAGAGGUAUGGUUUUUAGACUCCGGUUGUAGCAGUCAUAUGAGUGGGAACAAACUGUGGUUUACACAGUUAGAUGAAGGGUUCAGACACUCAGUUAAGCUAGGCAACAAUUCUAAAAUGGCAGUGAUGGGAAAGGGAUGUGUGAAGCUUAACAUAGCUGGAGUGAUGCAAAAGAUUGAUGGGGUUUACUAUAUCCCUGAAUUAAAAAACAAUUUGUUAAGUAUGGGUCAACUACAGGAGAAAGGCUUAUCUAUACUUAUUCAAAACAAUACGUGCAAAUUGUUCCAUCCAACUAAAGGUCUCAUCAUGGAUACAACCAUGACUUCUAACAGAAUGUUUGUCAUAGGUGCAGUAAUGCCUUCAAAGGAACCUGUGGCUUUCUUUCAAGCUACUGAGACAGAAAAAACACAACUAUGGCACAACAGGUUUGCUCAUCUUAAUUUCAAAGGUUUAAGAACAUUGCAUUCCAAGAAGAUGGUUGAAGGGUUGCCAUUACUUUCAGCUCCAAUGAAAGUGUGUAUUGAUUGUUUAGCGGGAAAACAACACAGGAACAACAUUCUACAGAAAAGCUACUGGAGAGCAACAUGCAAACUGCAACUUGUGCAUUCUGAUAUUUAUGGACCUGUAACUCUAGAAUCCAACAGUGGAAAAAGGUACCUUAUCACUUUCAUCGAUGAUUUUAGUAGAAAGUGUUGGGUUUAUUUCAUUUCAGCAAAGUCAAAAGCUUUUACUAUGUUCAAAAAAUUCAAAAGCUUAGCAGAAAAGGAGGCUGGUUCAUUAAUGGGGUGCUUAAGAACCGACAGAGGUAGGGAAUUUACGUCUAAAGAAUUCAAUGAGUAUUGUCUUUUCAAUGGGAUCAAAAGACAACUAACUGCAGCAUACACGCCUCAGCAAAAUGGUGUUGCUGAGAGGAAGAACCGGGCAAUCAUGAAUCUAGUUAGAAGCAUGGUGUUAGAAAAACAUAUUCCUGGAGAGUUUUGGCCAGAGGCAGUGAACUGGUGUGUACAUGUACUAAACAAGAGCCCUACUUUGGCAGUCAAAGAUCUCACACCUGAAGAAGCAUGGAGUUGUGUUAAACCUUAAGUGGCAUACUUUCGUGUAUUCGGUUGUAUUGGUCACAUUCAUAUUCCAAAUGUGAAAAGAACAAAGCAAGAUUCAAGGAGUUCAAAGUGUGUAUUACUGGGAGUAAGUGAAGAAACAAAAGGCUACAGAAUGUAUAAUCCAAUCACAAAGAAAAUUGUGAUUAGCCGUGAUGUGAUCUUUGAAGAAAACGAAGUUUGGGACUGGACAGAAGGUGAUAUCAAUGUAUUGCUGAAAUGGGGAGAUGCUGAGAUCGAUGUAGCUGAAGAAUUUGAUGCUGAAAUUGAAGAGCAGGAUCAAGAGUAGUUUGGAGAGCAAGAACAAGAGCAGCAUGAAGUAAAUAAUUCUUCAGUUGGAGUAAUUAGUUCUUCUUCAUCAAAUUCAUCUUCAAUAAACUCAACUAAAGAAAAUGAGCCUAAUCAACCUGCUGCUGCUGAACACAAUCCUCUUGCUGAUGCUAAUCAACCUGCUGCCAGAAUUCGAAGACCACCAUACUGGAUGUAGGAUUAUGUCACAGGUACCACUGCUGCUCAUCAACCUGCUGAACACAAUCAACCUGCUGCUAAUGUCAUAGGUACCACUACUACUAAUCAACCUGCCAAACCCAAUCAACCUGCUGCUGCUGAUCAACCUGCUGCUGAUCAACCUGCUGCAAGAAUUCGAAGAACACCAUACUGGAUGCAGGAUUAUGACACAGGUGUAAAUUUUUCUGAAGAAGAAGAAACUCAAAACAUGGUAUUUUAUACCACUGCUGGAGAUCCAUACACCUAUGAAGAAGCCUCAAAAAGUCAUAAAUGGAGGAGCCAUGGAUACUGAAAUUUCAGCAAUAAAGAGGAAUGGUACAUGGGACUUAACUGUGCUUCCGAAGCAUGCAAGGAAGAUUGGUGUAAAAUGGAUUUACAAGACAAAGCUCAAUGAAAAGGGGGAAGUGGACAAAUACAAAGCAAGACUUGUAGCAAAGGGGUAUGCACAACAACAUGGAAUUGACUACACUGAAGUGUUUGCACCAGUAGCACUAUGGGAUACAAUCCGAAUGGUUCUCGCCAUAGCAGCACAGAGAGAUUGGACAGUGUAUCAGCUGGAUGUAAAGAGUGCAUUCCUCUAUGGAGAAUUAGAUGAAGAUGUGUAUGUAGAGCAACCCCUAGGCUAUGAGAAGAAGGGAGAGGAAUUCAAAGUUUACAAAUUAAAGAAAGCAUUAUACGGAUUGAAGCAGGCACCGAGAGCCUGGUUUAGUAGAAUUGAAUCAUAUUUUCUGAAGGAAGGGUUUGUUCGAUGUCCAAGUGAGCAUACUCUAUUUGUAAAAACUCAUCAAGAAUGUCAAGGAGAAGGAAAGAUUCUGGUGGUAAGCUUGUAUGUGGAUGAUCUGGUAUUCACUGGAAAUGACGAGGAAAUGUUUGCAGAUUUUAAAGCUUCAAUGCAACGGGAAUUUGCUAUGACAGAUUUAGGUAAAAUGAAGUUCUUUCUUGGAGUAGAAGUUGUGCAAAACGAUGAAGGAAUUUUCUUGAGUCAAAAGAAAUAUGCAUUGGAGAUCUUGGAGAGGUUUGGCUUGGAGAAUGCAAAUUCUGUUCGUAAUCCAAUAGUACCAGGUGUUAAACUGAUGAAGAAUGAAGAUGAACAACAGGUGCAUAUGAUUCAAUAUAAAUAGAUGGUCAAUAGCCUUAUGUAUCUAUCAGUCACAAGGCCAGACCUUAUGUUUGUAGUGAGUUUAGUGAGUAGAUAUAUGGAGCGACCAACAAAUAUACACAUGCAGGCUAUCAAAAGAAUUUUGAGGUAUGUAAAGGGCACAGUGGACUUGGGAAUUUGCUACAAACGGGGAGCUGCAACUAAUGAAAUGUUGGUGGCCUUUUCUGAUAGUGACUAUGCCGGCGAUCAAGAUGAUCGAAGGAGCACUUCUGGAUAUGUGUUUAUAUUCAGUGGGGGAGCAGUUGCAUGGAGUUCUAAGAAACAGCCAGUGGUUUCUCUUUCAACAACUGAGACAUAAUUCAUAUCUGCAGCUCAUUGUGCUUGCCAGGUAGUGUGGAUGAGAAGAGUGCUUGAAAGAUUGAAUUGCAAACAAGUUACACCUACUGUCAUUUACUGUGAUAACAUGUCUAUAAUUAAACUAGCAAAAAAUCCAGUUAUGCAUGACAGAAGUAAGCAUAUAGAUGUCAGGUUUCACUUUCUGCGUGAGCUGUGCAAAGAAGGUGUUAUUGAGUUGAAGCACUGCAAUACAAGAGAUCAAGUUGCUGACAUCAUGACAAAAGCAUUGAAGAUGGAUACAUUUGAGAAGCUGAGAAAUUUGAUGGGCAUAUGUGUGGUCUGAAAUGAAUAAACCGUUACUUUUAUUACUGCUGCUAAACUGCUUGCUGGAAAACAAUGCAGUUUAAGGGAGGAUUUGUUGCAACUAAGUCAGUUAAUAAAUGUCCUAGUCUUUAGGAUUAAGAGAUAAGAUUUGAUUUAUUCCUUGUUUACUAAACCAUGUUUGUAGGAGUGCUAAACGUGGGUUGCAUAUUUUUCUAUUUUCUGUUGUAAUAGCUGAUAUAUAUAUAUCAGCUUUGUUUCAUUGAAUAAACGUACUUUCCAUUCUCUUCAUUUGUGUGUUUAAAGGAUUCUGACUUCAACAAUACUUUCUUGUGGAUGCUCUAUCGUUGCUAAAUUAAAACAUCUUUUUUUUUUUAUCUACAUCUAUGUGAAACUUUUUUAAAAUAAAAAUAUUUAAAAAGAUAAUGUUAAUAAAAAACAUUGUUAUUUUAGUUUUUUUUCUUUUAAUAAAUACCAUCAUAAUAUGAUGUGGUUUUGUUUUUUACUCAGGUUAUUCAGUUAAUAUGUGAGUCAACUAGUAAACUAAACUUUGGAAUACUUUUCGUAAGCUUCCUAUUUAUUCUUAGUAAUCGAAAUAUUUUUGUAUUUUUAAUAUUAAUAUAUUAAAAAAUAUUUAUUUAAUAUUUAUUUUAAAAUAACCAGAUUUUUUAAUAAACAUAAUUCUGAUUACAAAAACAAAUCAUGUUUAGAUUGCGGGCAUAAGCAUAACAAUCUUGACAGUACCGUUGUUGUUUGGACUUUGAGAAUGAUAAAACAAAAGAGUUAGAAUAAAUUUAAAAUAAAAAAAUUAAUUUUUAAAAAAUAUUUUUAAAAUACAAAAACAAACUAAUAAUAAAAUAGAUUUUUAUACACUUGUAAAAAUCCCAGGAACGCAACAAUCAGGCAUUAGCUUCAAGCAACCAGAGGGAGCUUCACUGCAGUAGAAAACUUCAACAUAGCUUGAUUUGCUAUCCAAUCUGCACACCAGUUGGAUAGCAAUUUCUUUUCAUAACAUUUACCUUUGUAAAAACUUUCUACUUAUUUUUAGUUUUAAUAUCAAAUUCAGUCUUGAAUAUUGAACAUUCAAAAAUUCACUUAUUUUUAAUCAAUUAAAUUGAACAAAAUCUUGUUAAGUCAAACAUCAACUCUACAUUGAAUUGUUUUUUCUUCUUAGACCACAAGAGCUCCAUAACAAGUUUAUUGAAAUAAAUUAUCAAAUGAAAUUUUAAAAAAAUGCUUUAUAAAAAAAAAAAAACAGAGAGACAUCUACCUUGUUUUCUCUAUUGGUACAUGGUAAGAGUCUGAGCAUAUUUAUUUAUUUUUAUUUUUAUUUUUAUUUUAAUAAUAGUCCUGUUUUUUCUACCGUCAAGAAAUCAAGAACGAUUCUAAAGUCUAUAUUUAGAUAAUUUCGGUUGAUUGAAGCCACCAGGUUGAUUGAAGCCACCAGGUUGAUUGAAGCCACCAUGUUGUGAAGUGGUUGUGUUCGGUGUCAUAUAGCCAUGUCCCGGCUGAGGUUGAUGAAUAAAGGAAUUAUGAUGCCUUGAUGGAGUUUGAGGCCAAUUUUAUAUAAAACUUAAUGAUAAAAAAAUAUCAUAAAAAAUGUCUAAAUCUCCCAAUUGUUGUCUGUUUGUUUAACAGUAAACAAUUUGAAGAUGCUCGAGAUCGAUACACUAAACAUAAAACUUUUUGUAUAAUACAAACACUUGCUAAUUCAUUGGACAUUGUAGCGAAUUGGAGCACUCACCAUUGUUUCAGGAAAGGACGUUGGAAACGGAGUUGUUUGUUGAAUACUAUUGUUGAUCACAUUGUUCUGUCCACCUUGAUCAUUGCAUGAUAUGGAGCUUUGGUUGACUGGAACCUCCGGUGGCGGCCAGCUUCCAUGGACAGUGACGACAUUAUAUUGUUUUUUGCGAGUAAUAGGAUAAACUGAAGAAUAACUAAACUGCAAGCAAUCGUCUUCUGAUAAAAUAUGCUUAAGAAUGACGUACGAGUGAAACUCAAGCUCAGACAGUAGUGAUUCAAAGUUGUCAACCUCCUCCAUAAAAGAUGGUUGGAACCCUUCCAUCUGACCAGAAAAGAUCAGAAAUUAAAGACAAAAAACUGAGGUCUAAAAAGAACAGAAAGCACUAAUCAGAAAAGAAUAUAUAUAUAUAUAUAUAUAUAUAUAUAUAUAUGACUUUCUUGUUGGUUAAAGAAAUUCGGAUGAAAAAUAUGAAAUAUAAAUGUUGUUGUUAAUGAUUUAAUCCUUUGUCUUGUAAGAUAAAUUAUCAUACUCAAAUUCAGUAUUGAUUUAGUAUGAACUCUCUCCACAAGGCAUGGAUUAUAAAAUCCGAGAAAAAGAUCAAUUUAUUUAUCAUGGAUUCCUUUCAAGAUUCAAACCAUACUUACAUAAUAAUUUACCAACAAGAUUCAAGUGCUGGUUUGCUUGAGCAGUGAUCAGCCAAAAGAAAAGGAAGAGAAAUCACAGAUCACAGAAGAAUAUAUGGUUUAGAAAAAUAAUAAAGUUGCAGCAUACAUAAAUCUAGUUCGCUCUGAUCAUGAGAUGUGGAAAGGAAAAUAGGGAAUUCUAUAAUGAGAUGAGAUGUGGAAGAGAAUGUUACAGCAGCAAUAAUAAUACUAUUUUUUAGAAAAGUCAGCUCAAUAAUAAUAAUUAAUUAACGUAUUGCUUGAUAGGAAGGAAGUUACCAGGAAGCAACCCAAACAUUACAUUAUAAGAUAUAGAAAGUUAACGUGUGGACCAUGUUCAGACUUCGAAGAACCUGCCAAGAAAAUGUAAACACAUGAAAAUGAGAAAGAAGCAUGCCCCAUCUCGUGAAGUUCUACGUGUACGUAUUUAACUUUACAAUAUUCUUUGCUGUGAAAAUAUAUCAUAUAUAGUAAAUAAUAUAAGUGCUUAUACAUCUUCUUUUCUUUUCUUUUUUUAACUUUAAACAGAGAGGUGGCUGCCCCAAUACAUUCAGCCUGCCGACUCUUAUUUUUUUGGGAGUAUUAAUUCCGUGAUGGAAUUGGAGGUACUGCUUUCUUCAUCUGUUAUUCCUGUUAUCUCCUCCAUUAUCUCACAAUCACUAGCAUCAAUCAUUUUCAGGUUUACGAGGUUUGACAGCAACACAAGUGGGAACAGCUUCUUCAUACUCUUACAUCCAUAACAAUAAAACUUUUUAAGACCAGAAAACAUACCAUUAUAUGAUGGCAAUGGUGAGAUGGAGCAUUGCAGAACCAAGAAGAUGAAACCAAGCUCUACAUGCUAUUGCAAUCCCAAAUGUUGAUGUCCUCUAGUUCAGUUGCAUUCUCUAAUGACAAAACAUCACAUAAACUUCUUGGAUCGAUGCAUUCACAAACCAGUUCUUGAAUGCCAUUUAAGUACUUGACUUGAAAAUCUCUCUAUGUUGAUACUCAAAUGACCCAACGCAACUAUUUUACUUAAAAAAACUCAAUCCUACCUAAUUUAUUUAAAAAAAAAUUAGGAAAAUUAAGAUUUUUUUUUUUAAUGAUAUGCCAUCUAUCUGCACUCCCUGCUAACUCUUCGCUUCAUAUCUUAAGUUAUAUCUAUCAAGUUAGAUUUAUCAAGUUUGCUUAAUUAAGACGGAAUAUUUAUGACUUUUACAUGUAUUAAGUUAAUAUAAUUGUACAUGGCAUGCACUUUAAAGCUCCGAACAUCAGUCAAUGAUUUAAUAGAGAAUAAAAUUUAAUUUUAAAUGCAAAUUAUAGGAUUUGUUGGUGCUGGUUUUAUUAAAUCAAUAUUAUAGUAAAACAAUUAAAUCAAUACAGAUAAAUAAAUGAUCCAAAUAUAAUAAAGAAUUAAUCCAUUUAAUAGAGAAAACAUGACUGAAUCCACAAACUACAUAAAUCCCUUUUUCUUUCUUCCCCCUUUUAUUCUCUAGUGCAACUCCCACGCGUCUUCUUUAUGCCAAAUGCCCCUCUUUUCAAAUUAGGCAUCUUCAACCUCCUUUUUCAUCACUCUCCAUGAUCUGUCAAAAACAAAUUGCUUAGAUUUUAGGAUUUUUUUUUGGCAGCCACGUACAUGCUUUAGGAGUUCCUUUUUUGAAAUCCUCACUAGAGGCUAAUAUCUAGCCCUUCAAGAUACCUUUACAACGCGUCAAGAAUCACAGCAAUCCUGUGAGUGGAAAGUUAUGAUUAAAAAAAAACUAAAAGGGAUCAGACAAUCACUGUAGAUUGUGUCUAAAAUCACUAUGGAUUGCACUGUUUACAUUUAAAAUUCAUUGUCGCCGCAAGUGCCAAUUUUGUUUCACUGUUUUUUCAUUUAUUUCGUGGGGCACGUGGAAAGCUUUUCAUCUCUUUGUUUUUUCUGAUACAAACACAGAGAACGCCUCCCAAACUCAAAUAACACAUUCACAAUUCCAGAUCUAUCUCUUCCCUGAUCUGUUUUAGUUUUUUUUUAAUUAAAAAAAAAUGCUAAAAGGGCUUAAGGAAACAUUGUGCCCACUGUGUGUAAUUACUGUGGGCUGGAGCUUAGUGUCUUCUCGCGCUAAGUUGGAAUUCAUGGAGGGAAGAUCGUCUUGGUUUCACUCCAAGAUCUCAGUUUGCAUUUGAGUUCUCAUCAGGAGGUCUGGGCGGAGCUUGCGUUUCGUUCACUCAGAAAGAAUGGGAUCCGGAUCUGUAAGUGAUUUUCUUCCUUGCUUUUGUUUGGAUGUGAGGUUUUCGGUGGGUUAAUUGGAAGCAAUGCUUGGCAGCUGGGAGCAGUGAAGUCAAGGUGGGAAGAAAGGUAUUAAGGUGUGGGUGUAGUCAGGUGGACACAUGAUAAGGUGUGAGCAUAGCUUUCAUUAGCUCUCCAUUUGAUGGAGUCCUACUAUUGAUUGAUUAUCUGAUUGAUGGUCGAGAUAUGGACAUAUUGUUUGUUCUGCUAAGAUCAAGAGAUCUAGAAAACAAUAGGCUUCGUUCGUUAAAGCGCGGGGCUCCUGGCUAACAAACGCCCACUAAAUGUCAUUUUGAUUACCAAGCGCGUGUAACUGGUAAUAUACUGGAUUUAUUCGUGAAUGACAUAUUGUAUUUUAAAUUGUUACUGAAAUAUAUUAAAAUAAUUUUAUUUUUUAAAAUUUAUUUUUAAUAUCAUCUUAAAAUAAUCAAAUGAUAUAAAAAAAAUAUAUAAUUUUUUUAAAAAAAAAACACAGUUAAAUCGCAUGCAUGACCAUUAUAGCAUGACAUCUUGCCAUUAUUAUUAUAGAAAAUUAUUAUAACAAAAUCUAAAAGGCAUGUGGGAUUUAUUUUGCAAAUCACAUUGUGUAUUAUCUAUUCAUAUGUAUUAGUUAUUUACGAUGUUUUUUAUUCCAAGGCUUUUUUAAAAACAAUUUGCCCUUUUUAGACUAAAUAGAAUGCCAGUUUAAAUAAAACCAUCAAGGUAGUAUAAAAUUAAAAAAAAAAGUGAAAAAAAAGAAGAAGAAAUUAGAUGGAGGAUUUGAAGUUUGCGGAAAAAAUAAAUUGGUUCUUUUUACUGUUUCAAUUAAGCAUUUUUUAUUAUAUCUUUAUGUUUUUUUUUUAGCAGGUUACAGGUAAAACUUUUUAUCGCUUUGUUUUUUCUGGUACAAACACAGAGAACGCCUCCCAAACAAAUCAAAUAACAUAUUCACAAUUCCAGAUCUAUCUCUUCCCUGAUCUGUUUUAAUUUUUUUUUAAUUAAAAAAAAUGCUAAAAGGGCUUAAGGAAACAUUGUGCCCACUGUGUGUAAUUACUAUGGGCUGGAGCUUAGUGUUUUCUCGCACUAAGUUGGAAUUCAUGGAGGGAAGAUCGUCUUGGUUUCACUUCAAGAUCUCAGUUUGCAUUUGAGUUCUCAUCAGGAGGUCUGGGCGGAGCUUGCGUUUCGUUCACUAAAAAAGAAUGGAAUCCAAAUCCGUAAGUUAUUUUCUUCCUUACCUUAUAGCGCUUUGUCUGAUGGGGAAUUUUAGCUCCUCCUUUUUCUUGCUUCUUGGGUCCUCACGGGCAGAUUUUAUAAUUGCAUAAUAUAGAUCCCAAAAGGAAAGACCAGGAAAUGAAGAGUGAACGACGACUUGGAUUUCAUGAUGGCUUAGGCUAAAAGGUAGAGGGACUUUAUUUUGCAGAGACGUCGCCGCCACCAUAAAAUAUGGCUUGAUUUUAGGAGUCCUUUCUUCUGGGUUGUGUGUGUUCUCAGUAUGCUACAUUAAAUGCAACGCCCACUUGGUUAGAUUUGAUUGAGAGAGCAGGUGAGUUUAUUUGUGAUUAGUAAUUUGGUCAGAUUUUGUAUAUUAUUGCAGUGAUUGACUGACCAGUUUUGGUUUUUUUUUAAAUUAAUUUAAUUUUUAGUUUGCUUUUUUGCAAAAUAUCACUUGACAAUGAAGCUUUGUUUGUUAGGUGGCUUGGCAUGGAUUAAAAGUCUUUUUGUGGUUCUUAUUUAUAUGUCUGCUUGCAUUUCUCUAUGCUGGUAUGUUUUUUUUCCAAGAAUUAAGGUGUUGACAUGCAUUUGGAUGUCUCAGUUGAGAUGGUUGAGAGUGUGUUGGUUCAGCAUGCUGAUGAAAGGAGAAGAAAGGUAUGGUUUUAAGCUGUUUCAGCUGACAGGCAUUUAAUGCAUGUCAAGGUUGGCAUGUUGCUGCCAUUGUGAUGUGCAGUGUUUUUCUUGAGUGGGAAAUGUGGAGACAAAGUGAGGGGGUUGAUUUGUUAGUUUGAUUCUGACUUGGGUAGGUGAUGGGUUGUCCUAUUGGAAUAUUUUUUAAGAAAUCUAUUUCAUAUCUGGUUAUUUUUUCUUGAGCGGGAAAUGUGGAGACAAGGUGGAGGGGCUGAUUUGUUAGUUUAGUUCUGACUUGGGUAGGUGGUGGGUUGUCCUGUUGGAAUAUUUUUUAAGGACUCUAUUUCAUAUCUGGUCAGAUUAGUAACCUUCCUUUUUCAUCAUCGGAUUUUAAGAAAAGCAUAGAACACUGACAAAAAAAUUACAAUUCCAAAAGGGGAUGAAGUUAGAGAUUGAGUAUUUGUGUAUAUUUCUACAACAAAUGUUAGUAAAGAAUAGAUGAUACAGCUGGUUUUGACUUUAGAAGGUCUUCUGCUACUAUAGACAUUGUGUUUUGCAACAAUUACACUAGACACGCAGACAGUGGGCUCCCCUUCUUGGCAGGAUGAACCGGGUACCAUGUUCUGAUAGCAGGAUCACAACCCGUGUUAUACUAUGACAAAGGUUAGUUUUUUAAGAUUAUUCUAUGCUUUUUCUCAACUUUAGUUUCAAAUCAAUUUGGGUUGCAAGUUAUGAACUUUGUGCUGAGAGGUUUGCUUAGACAUGUCAAUGCUUUUUUCCAACUUUUUCCUUUCAUGUGAAAGCCAGAUCUCUUCAUUGUUUCUUAACUGUAUUUUUAAGAUUUUGCUCCUUUUAGUUGUCUUUAAUUUUUUUUUGUUUUGUUGAGUGAUUAUUUGUAGCAUUGUUUGUUGCCUUUUUUGUUAUUAGUAAUAUACCAAUUCUUAUGCCCAAGUAAUAUUUGACUAUAAACAUUCAGCAAAUCAAAUUUAAUAGCAUUAGCCCACAAGGACACUCCAAGCACAAAAUUACCUUAGCCAAAACAGCAAAAGACAACUGGAAUAGACCAUUUUGAAGCACGAACUGAUCUUUCGGCCAAAAACUUAUUGCGUCUGGAUUUUAAUUCCUCUGCUUCUAGAUUUUCAGAUUCAUUAGCAAGUAAGGAAAAUACAGAAUCAGUGGCAGGGGCAGUCUUCGGCAUUGAUGAAGUGCGUGCUUAACUUCUAUGAAUCUUUUUUCAAUGGAUAAAUGAAGUCCAGGUAGAUUAACUGGUGUUGUUCUCUCUCCUGCACUUUGCCUUCCAGAACAGUUUGUGUUUGGCUAAAAGCAGAUAACUAUGCACAAUUUGAUUUCUAUGGCUUAGACAAUUCAGGAAAACGAAAGACAUGGUUUUGUAACACUAUGUUAUUUGCAAUCUAUAUUUGGGCUAGAAAAAACAGAGCCUAAUCUUCUAGAACAUUUAACACUGUUUGGCCAUGGAAGCCUACAGAGUUUGACAAUUGUGCUGCACGCUUUAGGGAAUUAAAAAAAAAGCAGCAGAAUGGAAAGACCAUGGAAUUUUCAUAGUGUUAGCAAAAAACCUCUGUAUAUCUUCACUACCUCUUUUUUUUAAACGCCUUUUCAUAACCUGGACUAGAAGUCUAGCACAUAAAAAAAGAUUUUCAAUCAACAACACAAGAGAUUUAGGGUAAGUGUUUUUUGUUCCAUCUUGCUUUAAUGAGAUUCUAUCAUCUACUGUCCAAUACCCGCACGGCCAGCCAGCCUGACUCAUCAUAGUUCAUUCAUUCAUAUAUGAUUAAUUAUGUAUGGGGCCAGUAUUAUUUAAUUUCUUCUUUAUUUUCUCAUCACAGCUCUGCGUUUUCUUCUCUAUACCCAUUUUGAUUUACAAAUAUUUCAAAGGGAAUUUUUUAUUUGUCUCACAAAUUGAAACUGUUCUUGCGUUCUGGCAAGAUUUCCCUUGAAAGAUAUGGAUCAAGGCUCCUGAAAAUGUCUUAUAGCAUUGUUACUGUUACUAUUCUAUAAAUGUCGGUGUCCAAAAAUCACAAAUAAAUACAAAAGUGAGCAUAAAUGUUUUUAUUUGACAUAACAACUGCAAGUCAUGCUAAACAAAUAUAUAUUAACUUGCAUAACAUAUAGGAAAACAAUCAUGUAUGCAUACUAAAUAUGUAUAGAAAUUAUAUUUAAAUAAAGGUAUUUAGGAUGCUUUUUAUUAAUUUAGAGUAUUAUCAGUUUUAAAUCAUCUUGAGAUAUCUUUAUUUGCAUGCAAUUUGUAAGACUUUUUUAAAAUUUUCAGAAAAAGAUAUUAGCUACUAAGUAAAUCAUUGUUCUGGAAAUUCAAUGCAUUUGAAACUUGAAAUGUUUGCUUUCAUGGUUUUGGUAUAAAUUAACUACAAUUUUCAAACUGAAUUCCACGUAAAGCUGGAGAAUUAAGAUUUUUUUUUUCUUGAUUAGGUUAGUGCCCACGUAGAGGAAUUGCUUGAGUCGUUGACUGACCUCUUCUCAGUCCAAAUACAUAAUAAUGAACCUGUCUAGACUGUAGUUAUUAAUUAGUACUAUCUUUUUUCAUUAAGCAUUAAACAAGUAUGUUGUAUCACUUUGUGUUCAAUUCUCUCUAUGUGAGCAAGGCAGUGGAAGUAGGGAACAACUUUGUUGUUCACCAAGCUGAUCAAGUCAUGGCUGAAAAAGCCAAAACCUUGCAAGAUCGCAUUGUAAUCUCUCUUAACAUUGAUUUUUAAUUGUAAUUAGGGUUUUUGACUUGGCUGGAUACAUUUGAUUCUAUCAUAGUUUUUUUAAUUAGUUUAUUUGUUCCGUAAAAUGAAUAGAUUAGUUGUUUAAUUUUCAAUUGGUCUUGAUGCUUUAUUCCUUAAUUUCUUCCCUCCGAUUUUGUGUGCAGUCAAGAGAACUAGCUAUGCUUGCAAUUUCAGUUCUCGCUGUCAUUUUCUUAGACAAUUUGUGUUACCAAAAAGCUUUGGUUGAGACAGGCAACUUCUUAACUACACCAUCUUCACUUUUGUCUUUUCUACUUUGAAUAAUUUUGUCACUCAAUGGAAGGCUGGUUGAAUUUUAAUAACUUGAGUUUGGGGUGUUGUUUUGCUUUGCUGGAAAAUAUAUGAUUGAUGAUGUGUAUUUUUUAAAAAGGUGUUGCUUGAACUCAUGCUUAGUAAUAUGUGUUCUUUUUAAAAAAAAUAAUUGAACUCAUGUUAAUGGUUAUUUAAAGAGAUACAUGCUGAAAUGAAAGAUACUUAAGAAUAAAAAAUAAUAAUAUGUUGACGAUUUUUCCGUUUGCUUCUAUGCUUCAAAACGAAGAAUUAAAUUGGUUUUUGGUUUGGCAUUGUAAUUUAAGGUGUUGUAUGUUGAAUUAAGAAUUUUUAAAUAUUACUUUGUCCAUACAAUUUUUUUUAUAUAUAUUUCGGGUCCAUGUUUUUUAUAGUUGAGAGUUUUUUGCUUUAUUCCAUGUGGUCUUUUUAAUUGGCAAGGGCUAUCAUGUGGCAUUGUUUUUUUUUUUUUUUCCAUUUCAGUAACUACAGCUCCCCUUAUUGUUUUCAUUUGCUUAUGUGGUUUUGUUUGUUUUUUUUUCCUUUUCCUGUCAUCUUAUAUGUAUGCCUUUGAAUGGGUUCCAUUUUUUUUUUCCAGUUUACUAGGUAAUGUGUGAGUUGUAUUGUGUUCUCUCAUUCCUUUGUAACAUGAUCAACAUAAUGCAUACAUUAUCUAAUAACAUUUUUCUCCUGCACUAUGUUCCCACAAAGCCUUAGGUGGCUUCAUUGUUGUUAAGCUUCACGUGUUUUGUUCCCUUUAAAAAAAAAUGUUAUUUAAGAUGAGGCAUUUGAAGUUGAUUGGUGCUUCAGAUAUGAGAAAAACAAUUUGUUUGUGGUUUUUUUCCAUCUGGAUUUUAGGUGCUAAUUUGGCUGAUUAGUGGAUUUAUGCAUAUGAAAAUGUUUAAUUUACAGGUUGUUUUAUUUUGUGUGGAUCUUCUUAGAAUGUUUAAUUGUGUAGGCUAUUGAUCUUGCUAUCCACUUUCAAGGAAUAUUUCACAAGGUAUUUUCAUGCCUCUUUUUUUUUUAUUAAACAGUGUUCUGGUUCUUAGUUGUUUCAUUCUUUCUUACAAGCUAUUUUCUACUAAAUUUUUUAGAAUAUGUUUGUUGUUGUUGAAAGAGCUUAAGUUAAGUUAAUCAAUGCUUAUUCUUUGUUUGCAUGAUAGCUUGAGAUUAGGGUGUUGUUUUGCUCUGUUGGAAAAUAUAUGCUUGCUGAUAUGUGUGUUUUUUUAAAAAAAAAAGGUCUUGCUUGAACUCAUGCUUAGUGAUAUGUGUUUAAAAAAAGAGUUGAUUGAACUCAUGUUAGAGGUUAUUUAAAGAGAUGCAUUCCGAAAUGAAAUAUGCUUAAGAAUAAAAAAUAAUAAUAUAUUGCAGAUUUUUCCAUUUGGGUGUUAAUUUCUAGCUUAACUGAUGAAAUAAUUUAGGCAAUCAAUUUUAUUACUUCUAUGCUUCAAAAUGAAGAAUUAAAUUGUUUAUUGAUUUGACAUGGUAAUUUAAGGUGUUGUAUGUUGAAUUAAGAAUUUUUGACAAGUUGUUUUAUAUUUCGUUGGCCUAUGAAUUAAAUUAUAUAUAGUUAGCAAUUAAAUUACGACUUUAAAUUUCAGUGUGUAUGAUUUCUGCCUGAAAUGGUUUAAAACUUUACGCUUAGCCAUUAUUGUUUUAUUGGGUUCUAUUUUCUCUCCACAAAUAUACAUUGCUCAUUUCAAGACCUUUCAAUUCAAUUACAUAUGAUUGCUGGCUACUUUUUUUUUCAACAAAACUUGCAUAGAGAAAAUUCUGUUUCUGAGAAUGUAUUGUUAAUUGCCAUGACUUUAAUUAAUUUUGGUUGCAUGUAAUUGUAAUGUGUGAGUUGUAUUGUGUUAUCUCAUUCCUUUGUAGCAUGAUCAGCAUAAUACAUACGUUAUCUAAUAACAUUUCUUUGCUGCACUAUGUUCACACAAAGCCUUGGGUUACUUCAUUGUUGUUAAACUUCACGUUGUUUUGUUCCCUUUUAAAAAAAUUGUUAUUUGAGAUGAGGCAUUUGAAGUUGACUGGUGCUUCGGAUAUGAGAAAAACAAUUUGUUUGUGGUUUUUUUCCAUCUUGAUUUUGGGUGCUAAUUUGGGUGAUUAGUGGAUUUAUGCAUUUGAAAAUGUUUGUUUUACAGGUUGCUUUAUUUUGUGUGGACCUUCUCAGAAUGUUUAAUGGUGUAGGCUAUUGAUUUUGCUAUCCACUUUCAAGGAAUGUUUCACAAGGUAUUUUCAUGCCUCUUUUUUUUAUUAAACAGUGUUCUGGUUCUUAAUUGUUUCAUUCUUUCUUACAAGCUAUUUCUACUAAAUUUUUUAGAAUAUCUUCGUUGUUGUUGAAAGAGCUUAAGUUAAAUUAAUCAAUGCUUAUUCUUUGUUUGCAUGAUAGCUUGAGAUUAGGUGUUGUUUUGCUCUGGUCGAAAAUAUAUGCUUGCUGAUAUGUGUUCUUUUUUUAAAAGGUGUUGCUUGAACUCAUGCUUAGUGAUAUAUGUUUUAAAAAAGAGUUGGUUGAACUCAUGUUAGAGGUUAUUUAAAGAGAUGCAUUCCGAAAUGAAAUAUGCUUAAGAAUAAGAAAUAACAGUAUGUUGAAGAUUUUUCCAUUUGGAUGUUAAUUGUUAGGUUAGCUAAUGAAAUAAUGCAGGCAUCAAUGUUAUUUCUUUUAUGCUUGAAAACAUAAAAUUAAAUUGUUUAUUGGUUUGACAUGGUCAUUUAAAGUGCUACCGUUGAAUAAAGAAUUUUUAACAUGUUUUAUUUUUCCUUGGCCUUUAAAUUAAAUUAUAUGUAAUUAGCAAUUAAAUUAUCACUUUAAAUUUCAGUGCAUAUAAUUUGGGCCUAAAAUGGUUUAAAGCUUUGUGCUUAACCAUUAUUGUUUUAUUGGGUUUUAUUUCGCAACAAUAUACAUUGCCAUAUCAAGAUUUUUCAAUUCAAUUACAUUGAUUGCUGGCUAUUUGUUUCCAACAACACUUGCAUAAAAAAUUCUCUUUCUGAAAUUAUGUUGUUAAUUGCCAUUACUUUAGUUAAUUUCAGUUGCAUGUAAUUGGUGAUUGAAUUGUCGCUGCUUUGAAGUGGAUGCAUAUAAUUAGUGGUUGAAUUGGUUUACAACAAGAUUUUGGUGGAAAAUAGAAUAGUUCAUUUGGUAUCACCUUUGUUUGUUGCAACAAAUUCUACUCACUUUCUUUAUUGUUGCAUUUGCUUCUUUUCAUUACAACAACUAUUAUUUUUGCAGCAGAUUAAACAUAUUUUUCAUAAUUUUUUUCUUUUGAUUUUCAUAAUCACACAUUUUUUUAUUAUUGUUGUUGUCCAUCUUUAAAGAUCAAAUUUCCUUGCUAACUUUCUAUUUUUCACCAUAUGUUACAGGCAUGUUAUUUCAAUAGCUGUUGAACUAUCUCCAGGUUGCAGGAAGCUGAAACACCACCUUUUUCCUGUCUCACUCAAGCUAUAGGUACACCUUUAUUUUCAAACUUGACCUGUUUUUUGCUUGCAACUUUGUCACUGUAUUUUUCUUUUCCACUAUAUGCUUGCUUUUUUAUGGAUUAAUUUGGAUUUUUAUAUAUGUUCAUGUUUCCAUUAUUACAUAAUUAACUUUUUUGGUGAAUUUUUUAAUCUUAUUCUUUCAUUAAAUAGUUUUCUUUUAAUUGUUUUCCAUUGAAAUUUUUGAUUUUUACCAUAUUAUUAAAAUUGCCUUGAUUGGAAAAUUAGAAACCAUUUGAUUUAGUUUUAGUUAGAUUUUGAGUUAGAUUGUAUUUAAGUGGAAGUUGAAUUAUCGCUUUGGAUUUGAUUUCAUAUAAUAUGGUUGAAAUCAUUGACAACAUUAUGCUUGGCCGUUAUUUUGUUUUGUUCUUUUUCUCCACAACAAUAUACAUUGCACAUGUCAAGGCUUUUCAAUUCAAUUACAUAUGAUGACCUGCUAAUUUUUUUUGAACAAUGCUUGCAUGAAGAAAAUUUUCUUUGUUAUAAUUAUGUUGUUAAUUCCCAAGAUUUUAAUUUGAGUGUAAUUGGUGGCUGAAUUAAUGCUUUUAGUUGCAUUGCAUAUAAUUAAUGACUAAAUUGGUUUACAACAAGAAUUUGGUGAGAAAAAGUUUGUUCAUUUCGUAACAGCUCUAUUUAUUAGAACAAUUUCCACUCAUUUUCUUUAUUUUGUUGCAUUUCCUUCUUUCUAUUGGAACAACUCUAAAUUUUGCGGCAUAAUGAACACGUUUUACGCUUUGAAUUGAAUUGCAUAUAAUUUGUGGCUUAAUUGGUACUAUUUUUUUUUAUUAAUCAUUUGCAGGACAAUGGCUCUACCUAUAAAGAGAUUAAAAAAUACAACUUCUACCCUUCAUUACGAGCUAGGGCCUGUCGAGUUUGGAUUGCUAAAUUUAAUGGUCAGCCAAGCAGUUUUAAUUGUGUUUUUGUUGACAAUCAGGUAUAAUUUAUCAUGAAAAUAUAACCACUAAUGAAUCUUAUUUUCUAUAUAUUUAAAUGUUUGAAUAAUGCAUGUCCAACUCAUUUCUGAAUAUUUUCUUUACUUUGGCAAUUUAACAUUUUUUUUACUUAACCAGGGUACUUAUUUGCUCUUAAGAUUCCCUAUGGAAAACCAAGUUUCCUUUCCUUUUUAAUUCAUUACUAUAGAACUAUAGUUAAGUUCACUACUAAACCACAAUUGCUUAUUCAACUUAUGGAAAAAACUUUUCAAUAUUGAAAUUGUUAAGAAAAACUAACAUGAUCAAUUUUUAGCAUCCAUUUAUGAUUUACAAUCAACUUUGUUUUCUACAUGCUUAAAAAACCAGACAAUCCCAAGCAUUGCAUUUGCUUUAUAUAAUCCAUAGAAAAUUUCAUACAGGUCAAGCAAAUUUCAUUUUUCUAUUACUUGACAUGAUUUAUAUAAGAGUUUGAGAAAUUUUACGAUGCAUCACUGCUAACUACCAAUUACCAUGAAAAUCUCAGUUACAAUUCCAUACUAGAGCCACGGUUUACCAGGUAUAUUACAUCCAAUUAUAAACAACAUUGAGAAGCAACCAACAAGUAUAUUUAUCUUUUAUUCUAUACAUCUUUUAUAUGCAGCUUUCAUUUAUACAAUGGUCUACUAAUUAAUUAUUAUAUAUGUGCAUCCUGCUAGAAAUAAUGUUUCACCUUCACCUCAAGACAUGUUUGUUGACUUAGAAAAUCUUGCUUCAAAUUCAUAGACUUUAUACGUAACAACCAAUUUAAACAUUUUAAGAAAUAUUAAGACAUAAAAUCUCUUAAAUUCAUUAUUAAAACCAGUCUUUUAACUUAAUGUUCCAGUAGUACCAAUACCUCACUUCCAAUGUCAUCAAAAAUCUUCUUGAAAUAAUUUACAAAACCUUAUUACAUAUUGCAUUCAAAAUUCUAAACCUUAUUACAUAUUGCAUUAAAAACUCUAUUCCAUUUGGUUGUUGGCAUGGUGAACAAUUAUUUUUUUCAUUCCAACGUUAAUCUUUUUUUUAUAUAGGGUGGAGCUAUUCAAGCUGUAGCUAAAACAAGAGAUCUCCCAACAUUUGCAGCAACAGUUAUUGAAGGAAAUCACUAUGAAAUCAAAGGAUUUUAUACUUAUGAAAACAGAGCAGUAAACACAGUUGCUGCCCAUGAUGUUGUGAUUGAUCUCAAAUCUAACACAAAGAUUACAGGCAUUGAAGCUAUUUCACCUUCUGUUCCUAGAUACUACUUUAAUUUUAUUGACUAUGCACAUAUUAUGACCAAGUCAAAAAGCUCCAGAAUUCUUACAGGUUUACCAUUUACUUCAUUCAUUUAGCCUAUUAUUAAACAUUUUUAUUAUUGAACUCAGCUUGAUAACAUCACUUAAAAGCAUUCAUUCCUGUUUUUUAAGAUGUCCUUGGAAGACUUAAAGCAUUGCAGCCACUUGAACAAGUUAUGGUUCGUGGACAGACGCUCGAAAAUAAGAGAGAAUUCAUGCUUGAGAACAUUCGGUGAGUUGAAAAAUUAAAUGCAAAUUACCUUACUUUUAUCAAGCUUAUUGAUCAAAUUUGUUUUGUAUUUUCUUUCAAAGUGGUGAGGAGCUUCGCAUAACUCUUUGGGGUGAUAGUGCUAGAGAUUUUGAUGGACUCGCUCUUCAUAACCUGCCAUCUCCGGUUAUCAUUGCGUUUGCUGGAUUUCGUGUCACGGAAUUUAAGGGUAAUUUUAACUUCUAUUUCUUUUUUUUCUAAAAAUUUUUUUUUUUUUAUUAUCAUUCUGAUCCAACUAAUUCUCCUUUCAUUUUAUUACAAAAACUCUUUUGUUCACAAGGAAAACCAAAUCUUAACAGUACAGCCGCCUCUCUUUGGUACUUCAAUCCAGACAUACCAGAAUGCUUGGCAUAUAAACAUUUGUAAGUUAUUCAACAUCAACCAUCUCUCUUAUGCUUUACCAUUAUCAAUUUUUUUCUAACUAAUUAUUUUUUCACCAUUUUUUAAUCGAUUGUACACGCAGCUUUGCACAACUACCCGUUGAAAUACAACAACUCCCUUCAUCAUCAAAUGUUGUUUUAUCGAUAGAGGAACAAAUCAAAUAGGAGAACAAUACAUGAGAUUCUUUGCAUGAAUCCUUAUGAGCACAAGGUUAUUUUUUAAACCCUUUUAUUAUUAGCUUUGAUAACAUACUUUACCUUCUUCAUAUAAUUAGUUUUUAAAUUUCAUUAACACACUUUGAAACAUGUAUUUCCUUUCCAUUACCAGCAUCUAAGAUUCACUGUCAAGCUUCGAUUGUUGACUUUGAUUUUCCCAAUGGCUGGUGGUAUCCAAGCUGUCCAAAAUGCAACAAAAACUUAGGGGGCGAAACAAUUACACAUGCAUGGAUCAUGAUGCUAUCACCUCUCUUCCAUUCCAUGGUAAGUCAUCUAAUUUCACAACUAAAGCAAUAUUAAGUUGUUAAAUAAAAAAAUCAUAUUCCUUGAUACAUUAUCAUGCACUUCUUAUUAAUGAACAUGUAUCAAUUUUAUAUUAUAGGUUUCGCUUAGAAUGCAUUGUUACCGAUGGAGAAGAUGUCACUAAUUUUCUUCUAUUUGGGAAAACUGCUGAGAACUUUUUUGGAUCAUCGGCCACCAUUAUGUCUAUGAUAAAAAAUUUAUUGAUCCCUCAGUUCUUCCUCCUGCCAUGGCAGCAAAGUUAAACAAAAGCAUGAUUUUUAGCUUCGAUUUGGUGCUUUCAGAUCCAUCACCAACAGAUGUGAGGUUAUCAUUACUAAUAUCUUUGACGACAAAUAAGAGCAUCCAUCCUCUAGAAACAGCAACUCCAGAAGCUAAAUCAUCUCCUACAUCCAAGACAUCUACUCCAUUAAGCUAUAUGAAACAGGUUCUCAAGCUCCAUCAACUCCACAAAUACUGUCACACAACUCAGGAUUGCUCCUGAUUCCUUGGAGACACCACCUCAGAACAUAUCACCAAACAAGGAAACAAGCAUAAACAGUGAAGCACGACGUGCACUUGAUUUUGAAGAUGCACAGCAGCUCAGGCAAGUUUACAUUUCCCCACACUUUCUUUACAUUUUUUUUCCUUAACACGUGCUAAAUUUGAUGGUUCUGCCUUGCAUCUCUUUAAUUCCUUUGGUUACAAUAGUCAUGAAGAUGAGCAUGACAAAGCAAUUGAAGUCCAAGGAAACCUGGGAAACAUAGCUACAUCUGAGACAUUUGAUCACUCACUUCCACCUUUGAAAAAACAACGGGCAACAUCCUCAUCAUCCUCGAAGGUUUGAUUUUUAACCUCACAUUCUUAUAAAUCAAUUUCCAAUUUGUCCAACAUGCCUUUUAUUUGUUAUUUAUUUUGUAAUUCUAUUUGUUUUUUAUUAUUUUACAUUUACCUAUUUCUCUUCACUUCACAGCCUAUAAUUCCUGAGUUCUUUUAUUCUUUACAUGCUAAUUAUACAUUGAAAACAAUUCUUAAAAGAGAAAAAAUCAUUCCCUGGAAAAUUUAUAUAUCAAUAUUAAUACUUUUCAUUAAAACCAAAGAAUUAGUAAAGGUAUGAAUUAUUAACAAUGAGAAGAAAACAUAAUUAUUAUGUGCACACAUAAAUACUUAGAUAAAGAAGAUCAUUACUUUAUAUAUGUGCAUAUGUUACUUAAACAAUUGCAAUAAUAUGGUUACUUUCUUGGUGAAUGCUGUAAAUUAAAGUCAUUCCAGAGGUUGGGGAACCAUGACACCAAUUCCUGAUACAUGAUAUGCACAAUGGAUGUCCACAUUUAGGCAGGACUGCAAGCCUUCUUUUAGGUGUUGUAGGCUUUGAAAGCACACUAUCCAGGCACACUGCACUCAAUUUCUUCACUAUGUUUUAAUGCCACAAGAAACUUUUGUUUCGUUUCUUCUCACAUGAUUCAAAUGCUCCCCUCUUUCAUCUUCCCUGAAGGAAUAAUCAGCAAUGUGAUGCUGGAGUUUUUUGAGAAAAAAUUUUUCCUUUUUUUUUUCAGUUUAGGAUUUUUAUUGCUUUGAAAAAGGUUUUAUAAUGACUACAUAAACUGUAUAUACAAUAAUGUAAAAAAAAAGAACAUGGUCAAUUUUUAUAUCUUGCUUCAUCACACAUUUAACUUCAUCUACUACACAAAUGUUCACAGAAUUUUCAACCUUCAAUUACAUCUAUAAACAAAAACAAAAAAACCAAAAAUUUUUGUGAAGGCUAUUUAACAUGUCCAAAAAAUACUAACAACAAUGACUUGGAUUUGUUGUCUUUACAUUUUUUUUAUUGUUUACAUUGCAGAAACUAGCAAUUCCUUACAAUGACUUGGUUUAGAUUCCUGUAGCAAGACAUGGAGAGGAAUCUGGCAGCUUAUUUCCACUUUUGAUGUUGUUUAUAACUUAAUCUAUAUUAUCAUGACUGCUGCCUCUGUAAUUUUGAUAUAGUUUGGAAACAACAAUGUCCUUUAAGUGCUCAGCAAUCUGACAGUUUAUUUGCAUUUUGUUGUUAUUUAUAACUUUAUCUAUAUUAUCAAACCUUUGAUAUUAUACCUAGCUGCAGUUUUUUUUAUUAUUGCUUAGCAAUUAUUAUUUUUCAUGCAUGUUAUGCUUAUUCUGGUAAAAAACUGCAUUUUCAUUCAUAACCUAAAAUCGCCCGCAGCAAAGCGCGGGCAAUCAAGCUAGUUAAAAUACUAAAGUGUGUGGAGGUUGUUUCCAAGAAAAAAGAACAUUACUACUACUUUUAAGUGUAUCUUUUGAUGUUUUCCGGUUUUGAAAAUGCGCUUAAGCUUUUAAAUGUUUUUUUUUAUUUGUCUCUAGAAAAUAUUAAUUUGAUAAUUUUUCUAGUAUGUUGCAAUAAUUUUAGUAUAGUGAUAUUAAAAAUAAAAAAAAAUUACAAAAAUUAUCUCUAAAAUACACUUUUAAUAUAUACUUUAUAACACAAUAUGUCAUGAAAACAUAGUCCCAAAAGCCUUCGACCGAGCAUAAAAAGGUUUUCAACCCAAUCAUGCUUUUUCCUUAUUAUAAAUACAAAAUAAAGUUCGAGUGAAGUAGUAGGGUACAAUCUUAAAUGGUCCAAACAUUAUUGUUAGAAUGUGACUGUGGUCCCAACAUUAUUGUAGCAUGUGCCAUGUCUCAAACUCCUAUGAUCAAAAAAUCAGGUUAUUGGUGUUUGAUGAAAUUAGUUGUCACUAAAAAUAAAAUAAAAUCCUUUGUGAAUUAAUUAAUUAUUCAAUUAAAUCCUCAAUUAGUUCUUGUUUUCCACCAAUAUUUUAAGAAUAAAAAUAUUUUAUUAGAUGUUUAGACACUCCACAAUUAUAAUAUUUUAUUUAAGUUUAAAUUUUUAUUUUAAAUAUCGAAUUUUAUGGAGGUUGACGCCAUCAUACCUUGGAAAUUCAUGUUUAUAUGUUUUUGUUUUCUAAUAUGCAUGUUUAAAUAUAAUGUUCUUAUAGCAUCAACUUCAUUAUCUACCUGCAUUUUUUUAAAUUUUAAAUUUUUUUAUUGAAUUUUUUUUAAAAUAUUUUUUUUAAAAAAUAUAUUAUUUUAAUAUAUUUCUAAACAAAAAUAUUUUGAAUUGCAAUGGCUAUUAUAAUCACAAAUAUAUUUUUAUGAUUUGCGAGGUAUUUGUUUUGCACCUGUUUUUAUGUUUAGGAUGAAAAAAAAUAAAACAAAUCAAAUUUUUAAAAACACUAGGUUUCCAAACAAGAUAACGCAUCAAGAAUCAUAGCAAUCCGACAUAUGAGAGGAAAGUUGUGAUUAUAUUUUUAAAGUGCAUCCAAGAUGUUUCUAAGGACAAAAAACACUACUACCUUUAGAGUGAUUUUGACAAUGCAGAAGGAACAUGGAUGUUGUUAUUUUAAAAAUUUUAAAGUAUUUUUAUUUAUAAAUAUAUUAAAAUAAUAUAAUUUAAUAUAGAAUAACUCAAAAAUUAAGACCAGUCUUCAAUCUUCACAAACUUUAAUAUGUAUUAAGUCAAAUUUGUGUAAUUAAAUUUAUCAAGUUUGCUUAAUUAAGAUGGAAUAUUUAUGACUUUUACAUGAUAAGCUUUUAUUGAUAUUCUAUUUUUAUUGACAGUAGUGUGCUUUUAUUUAAGAGGUUCUUCAGUCAAUGAGUUUAGAGUACAAUGAACGCCAUACUCCGUUCUUUCAAAACUUUUCAUGAUCUACAAAAAGUUUAAUUUAAUUAAUUAAAUUUUAAAUUUAUUUUUAAAAAUUAUCAAUUUAAAUUCCAAAAAUUUCAGAACCACUGAUAAUUUAUAUAGUCGUUAAUUUCAGGACUUGUAAAAUUAAUCAAGAUAUACACAAGCUAACUCGAAUAUAUUCGUUAGUAAAAAAAAAAACAUGAUCGGGCACUCUUCCAUAACCGUGGAAACAUCUCGCUCCUCCCCCGUCAAUGCUAAGGGUUGUUGCAAAGUAAAUAGGAAAGUUCGUCCAUAGACAAAUCUUUUCUGAUCGGGUUGUAAGAAUAUCUAGACCAUCUAAAAUCAGAAUCCAUUUCUGUUUCUCCAUUAUUUCUUUUUUCAAUUCGACCACUCUAUGCAGCUCCUCAUCUUCAUUAGAAAUAUUUAGACCAAUACGUCUUUCAAUUCCACCAUGUUCUGCACAUCACACAUAAUGACAUCUUUGUUUAGCGAUUGGAGCCCAGAGUUGAUCAUAAUAUAUAUCUUCCAUGGUCAAGACACAAUGGAUCUGUUGGUUGAGAUGAAUCUCCAUCACAGCCCAACAUCAUUAGGUUAUCUGCCAUCCCUUUCAAGAGAAGAAGAUUUCGAAUCAGUCCAUUCAUUCCCAUCUGUAGGCAUCUUUCUCAAACAUUAAGAAAAAAAAUGAAAAAUAAAUAAAAAAGGAAAAUUUUUUUUAUCUUAAGCUAUAUAUCCAACACUCACUUGAAAGAUAUUAAUAACCAUGUAAGCAAUUUACUUGUCAGUAUUUGACAAGGGGUGAGAGAUAUCGAAGACAAAUUAGAGUACACAAAUAGAAUGUAUUAGGUGAAUUGCCCGCGCGGUGCCGCGGGUCAUAACAUGAACUGAGAAAAACCUAAUUAAAAGCACUGAUAUCGAACUAAGCAACCAUAUGCAGUAGGCUAUUUGGCUGCCAGAACAAUUCAAAAAGGGCCUCAGAUUAAACAUCCCGAGGGCAAAUGUAAACACAUGAAAUUUUCAAAAAAGAAUAGUAUAUUUAUGCAUGCUGUAAAUUUAAAGGUUAUGAACUCUAGUAGGAUUAUAUUUAAAAAAAAAUUAUUUAACAAUAUAAUAAAAAUAGAUAAUUAUAAAAUUAAACACCAGCCCAAUAAUAAUAUAUAUAUUUUUAGGCAGCAAUAACAUCAUACAAAGAAAAAUAAAACCAAUUAUGGAACUAAAUUCUAAACCAACCCAAAUAUUAAAUAGACAUUUUUUUAAAAAAAAUUGAUAACCAAAAAAAAAGAAAAUAAAAUAAAAAGCAAAACACUAUAAACACGUGAAUAGCAUUUCUCCCACACCGUUUAGAUUUUUAAAAAAAAUUAAUAAGCAAAAAAAUACUUCAUUAAACCAGUAAACUAGUAUAAAACAUGUUAAUUUUAUAUAAAAAAAAUUAAAAUUAAAAUAAAUAAAUUAUAAAGUUAAAUUUUAAAUCACCAAUGUAAAAUAAACAAAAAUAAAAGAAAAAAACAAAAGAAAUAAAACAAAACACAUUGGAUUACUUAUUAUAAUUACAAUGAAAUGGGUGUGAAUACGUCUCUUAACUAUUCGUGAGCUUCUUAUUCGUUCUUAGUUUUUCUUGUUUUUUUUUUUCUGGUGGAAUUCCCACACGUCUUCUUUGUGGGCAGCCCCACUUUUAAACCCACUUUUUCUUCACGUCCCCAUGGUCCCCGUGUCCCACAUGUUUUCAUCAAAAACCUAAAUUUUAGAACUUCUUUGGCAGCCACGUACAUGCUUUAGUUUUUUAAAAAAAUACAAUCAUCAUCAGAGACUAUUUUAUAUACGGGGGAGCUUGUUUUGAACGCGGUAGUAAUGAUAUUUUAAAGUAUGUAUUAUCUAAAAAUAUAUAAAAAUAAUAUUUUUAUUUUUUAAAAAUUAUUUUUAACGUUAACACAUUAAAAUAAUCUAUAAAUAUAAAUGAAUUAUUUAAAAAAAUCAAAAAUUUUAAAAACACAAGCAUUCCCAAACAAGGUAACGCAUCAAGAAUCAUAACAAUAUGUGAGUGGAAAGUUGUGAUUAAAAUACUUGAAGUGCAUCCAGGCUAUUUCCAAGAAAAAAAAUUUUACUACUUUUAGAGUGAUUUUGACAGCGAAGCAGGAAAUGUAAUUAUUGUUAUUUUUAAAAUAUUUUUUAUUUAUAAUUUUAUUAAAAUAAAGGUUGUUCGUUUCGUUUUAUUUGUAAUGGUUUCAUAUUAAUUUAAAAAAUAAAAUAAAACAAAAUAAUUUUUAUCUCAUUUUAAAUCUCAGUCCCUUCUUGAUUUUUUGGCUAAAUUUAGUUCAGAAUGUUCCGGUUUUAUUCCACAUGUUCUGUUCCGAUCUUAAAAAGCCAUUAAAUCAAAUUGAACCUAGUUCAAUUAAUUAAUUAAACCAUUAAAGUAUAAAAAACACUUUUCAUUACUAUUUUCAUUAACUAUGAUAUUAAUUUUUUAAAAUUAGAUUUAUUACUAAUAUAUAUGGUUUAUAUUCAUGUUGUUUUUUUUCAAGUUUAUACUUUGUAGGAAUUUAAGCAAAAAUAUGGAUGUUUUAGAUCUCAUUGGCCUUGAUAACAUUGACCUAUUUUUAUAUUUAAAUAUUAGUGUAAAAAUAUUUUAAUUUCAUGAUAUUUUAAUAUUUUAUUAAAGUUAAAUUGUUUUAAGUUAAAAAAUUAUUUAAUCUUAUCUAUUUAAAAAUAUUUUAAAUUUUAAAAUUAUAUUUCAUCACGUCUACAUGAUCCCCUUUGUGUCAAAAACAAAUUGCCUAAAUUUUAGGCUUUAGCAGUUCCUUUUUUGAAAUCCUCAUUAGUGAAAUUUCACGACUGCUUUGGCAAUUCCUUUUUUGUGUGCUUUCAUCUUAAACUUGUGACCAAAAGGUAAACACAAUAAAAUUUUAGAUUAUAAUUAAAAAUAAAAAAGAUAAUAAUUAUUGGGAUCAGAAUUUUAGAAAUCACGCAUAUUCUACUUUCUAGUUUUAGUAUUAAAUUUAGUAUUUAAAAAUUGUGUUUAUGAAUAUGGCAGUUUCAGGUUUAGAAACCAAAACUGCCAUAUUCAUACUCUCUUAAGACAUUUUAAAAAUGUUAUCAUUUAGGUGGUGGCCUAGUGGUAAGAACUUGGGACCAAGAGGUUUGCUCCCUUUAUGGUUUCAGGUUCGAGCCCUAGGUUGCUCAUAUGAUGGCCACUGGAGGCUUACAUGGUCGUUAACUUCAGAGCCCGUGAGAUUAAUCAAGGUGCACGCAAGCUGGCCCGGACACCCACAUUAAACUAAAAAAAAAAAUGUGUGUAGAAAAAUACUUUCAGUGAUGAUUUAUAAUAAUGAAUAGAUUUAAUAUUUUAUUAGGUUACUUUAAUGAUAAAUCAAUAUAGUAUUUUUUUUAUUUUUUGGAUUUUCAUCUUGGGGAACUCAAUAGGAUGAAAAUAAAAUAUUAAUCAAACUUAAAAUUAUAAUUGUUUAUCUAUCGAAGUAAAAAAAAAAUAUGACAAUUCAGUAGUCUUUAAUGAAAUAAAAUUAAAAUAAAAAAUGUUAUUUAUGUCAUUAUAAGCACACUAUAUUAUAUUACUUUACAAAGGGACGAAGGACAUCCUUUGCAUUAGGAUGCUCCCACUCCACUACUUUCUCCCACCAUUCUUCUGGACAUGCAUCGAUGUUUCAAAGAGAAGGGGGAGGAGAUGGUUGGCUAUUUUCAAGCAACGGAAGACAAAUUGGUAUCCUCUUCAGCUUCUCACAAGAUGUUACAUCAAUAUCUUUAAGAGAAUUACAAAUCAGUUUUGCACUGGAAAUGCUUUUCAGUUCUGGUAAGCAAACCAAUUCCAGAGUUAUUAACUUUGGGAGAAUGACUUCCGUGAUGGAAUUGGAGGUGCUGCUUUCUUCAUCUGUUGUUCCUAUUAUCUCCUCCAUUUUCUUACAGAAACUCAAUUUAAUCCUUUCCAGGUUUACGAGGUUUGGCAGCAACACAAGCGGGAACAGCUUCUUCAUACUUUUACAGUCAUAACAAAAAAACCUUUUAAGACCAGAAAACGUACCGUUACAUGAUGGCAAUCGUGGUGGAGCAGAGCAGAACCAAGAAGAUGAAACCAAGCUCUCCAUGUUAUGGCAUUCCCGAAUGCUGAUGCGCUCCAGUUCAGUUGCAUUCUCUAAUGAUAAAACAUCACAUAAACUUCUUGCAUCGAUGCAUUCACAAAUCAGUCCUUGAAUGCCAUUUAAGAACUUGACCUGAAAAUCUCUAUCUCCGUUGAUACUCAAAUUACCCAACCCAACUGUUUUACUUGGAAAAGUUUCAAUGCAUUGCUCUAAAUAUCUACCCACCUCUCCUACUAAAAUCUUGCAUGUGCUUAAUGAUAGGAUCCCAUCCCGAGAUCUGAGAUACUCCACGAAGUCAAAAAAACCUUCGAAAUGGCACUCCAAAGUUUCCAAAUUUCUCAAGGAUCCUACUUCCUUUCCCUUAACUGUUAUCGGAGCAUCAUCUUGCGGCAUAAACUCUUCUAGUACAAAGACUUGCAGGUGAGAGAGUUUUGGUAAUAUCCCACUAGGAAACUCCUUUUCACCACAUCCAUUCAUUAUAAGAUACCUCAGGUUGGUUAGGCAUUCCAUUCCUUGCGGCAUCUUUUCAAGCCUAGUAUAAGAGAGAUCCAACCUCUUCAGUGCCGUGAGCUUUUUUAAUGAUGGAACAUGUUUUAAUUGACCACACUUACUGAGCAAUAAGGCAGUAAGAUUCACCAAAUCAGAAACAGAAUCUGGCAAAUUUUUAAUACCUGUGCGAGACAGAUCAAGGACCAUGAGCCUAUGCAAUUGCUUGAAAAAUGAAUCUGCAACAAAUCCCAACCCUUUAUUAUCACAUAGAAAUAGAGUUGACAGAUUUGGACACACUGGUGAAUGGUCGAAAGGAACUUCUUCAAUCUCGUUUUGCAUUAGUGAAACUAUUGUCAGAUUCUUCGUCCACUCCUCUGCAUUUGGCAACUCUUUUAACUGCGCACCUGCUUUAACCAUGCCUUGAGAGUUCUCUAGCAGUAUUUGGAUGGCCAUGUCCCUAAUCAAGUCAUGCAUCUUGACACAUCUAAUAUCAUCAUAAUCCAUUUGAGCACUUUCCAAUAGGCAGACAUAUUCAAGUCUAUUAAGCAUCGUGUGGCC
rnacentral:lncRNA from 1 species